AAAAAAAAAAAAAAAAAAAAACUAAAAAAUCAGAAAGGGAACCUUUUCCAGGAAGUCAUAACAUUGGACCCUUUCUUUCCCCGUUCGGAAGAGGAAAACGUGGGGUGAAUAACUCCCUUGGGGAAAAUCCGUCCUCGGAUUCAAACAGCGGAUCCCCACUUGAGGUUGUUAUUCUUGAGCUAGAUCUGAAAGAGGAUAGCGGCAUAGUCUCGUUUUUCUUACAAAAAAAAAAACUACGAGUCUCUCAGGAUUCUUUUUAAAAAAACAAAAAAGCUUUCGGACUCUUUAAAGGAAUAAUAUAUAAUGGACCUGCUAAAGCAGAUUUCGGGUCCAAUUAAAACAUGGCCCAACACUUUCGGAGCCAUUGUUUAGGUCAUGAUCGAAACCAUUACCUGGUCAUUCUUAUGACAAAAUUCUCACGAAUUGUAAAAACCUUAUCCCUCGAUAAAAAAAACCUAAGCCGAGCUCUAUCCUCGCACCCGAGAGACCGAGGAAAAAUACUUGUUAAGAUUUUUUCGUUAAAAAAGGCAAGUGAGCCUGAUCAGCUCAUCUCUCACAAUUCAUAAAACCUCUUUGGUGGGCUAAGACUUGCAAACCUAGAAUCGCAUCCAAACGUUUCACCUUUAAAAAUAUAUAUAUAUAUAUAUAUACAUACAUAAUGGUGUUCAAUCACACUAAUCAAAAACAAAACAUUUUCGUCAAACGGAUUAGUCCUUAUGGAUACAGCAAAACAAUUUUUUAAGAGCGUCCCUCUGCCUCAGGAGAACCCUCGUGUGGCCGAGAGCCUUCACCUACCUCGAAUUGAGAGGGGGAAUCUCCAAAUACCAAAGAAAAUUGUUUUAGAUCGAGAGUAGGACGGGAAGCCGAGGAUAACUCGGAUUCAACCACAGCGAGUUCGGCAGCAACUUCGCUCCUCUCGCUCUCGAACGAAACUCUUCCAGCCUCUAGUUCCUUAAUCAGGUCUAGAUUGCUCUUCAGUUCGGCUCGAUCUGUUAGAAUUUUAGUCCAGACCUCCUCGUCCUUGAUGAACCUCGUAACAGAUUGAAUAAGUUGCCUACCGAAUCCCCUCAUCUCUUAUCGAGCAUUAUGUUCGGCUUUAGCGAUAUCGCGAGCCCUGUUCCUAGUUAAAAGCUCGAUCUCUUGAUUCGAUUCUUCGAACAAAGCCGUAUUCUCCUCUAGCUCAGCCUCCAAGCGAAGAACAUUAGACCUCGCAGAAUCUCUUUCAGCAUUCGCAAUUCGGAUGCGUUGUUCGUUAGCUGCUAGAGUUUUCUUCAUAUUUUCAAAAGAUGACUCGAGUGCUUUUUCUCGCUCAAGUCGCUCAGAUUGGUUGGCUAAUUUAAGUUCGUCAACCUCCUUCUUUGCGGUCUCUCUCUUCGCUUGAUGAAGAAGGUUCUCAUAAUGGAAGAUCAUUCCAUUAGUCUCCAUAAACGUCUUCGGAGUAAAAAAAAAAAAACGUGUCGUUUUGACAUAAAGCUUUUACCUAAGGAAGGGAGGUUGUCAUAAUCUAAAAAGAUCCGAACCUGGGAUAGGUAGCAAGCUCGAUUGGCGAACAUCUGAUGGAUUUCCGGCCUCCAAACCGAAAAAGGAGGUAGGGACGCCCCUUCCCUGGUUUGGAAACUUCGGAAGAUGUCUCCAAUCUCUUCUCCGCCUGCGAAGCAGAGGAGAAUAGCAGAUUAAUAAAUAGAUGCAAUCUGUAACAAGUUUUGCUAAUGCUCGCUUUCCAAGUAAAAAAUUACUUGAAAUCGAAGCAAGUAAAGGAUUUUGAGUCCUAACACUCAGUCCUUGAGAUAGGGGAGCCUCCGGUCUCGGCUCAUCUAUUUCCUCUAAAAUUACUCUGUCUCCCGGAAGAGGGAGCUCAAAAUUUAAAGGUUCUGAAGAGGGAGAAACAGAACGUAGAGGGCUAGAGACUCGUGGCGGAGAACUUAAUCUCACGGUUUUAAGUCUCUCGUUUGAUAGAUUAUCGGAAUCUGGAGCCUUCCUCUUUGUAUAAGGAGAGGAGGUUAUUUAUCCCUCACGCCCUGGUUCAGAAGGACAAAUUGCGGUGGCAACUGGAGGGUCGUUAAGAAUCUCGGCUCCAUGAGUAUCCACCGCGGCCGACAGGGCCGCUUCUAAUGAACCAUCAUCAACCAAGAGGGUCUUCCUGUGGAAGUUACCAACCCUGGAGAUUGCAGCUAUCCGUUUCUUUCUCCCGAUUUUGGAUAGCUGAUCCUUAAGAGCCUUGAUUUCAGCCUGCAUCUUUCUUUUAUCUCGAACAUUCAGGCUCGAGACGUCUUUCUCCUCGGGAGGAGGAUCGAGGGGGUGAGUCUGACCGUCUUUAAUGGUGAGCCCCGCUUUAUGAAUGCGUUAGAGGGUGAAGGAAUUCCAAUUUGUUUCGCCCUCGGAAAUGAUUCGAAAGAAGGACAAGAAGUCAACAGUUGGGCGGGGGAUCGUCUGGUUCCCUGAAACAAAGUGUUGGGUUAAGAAUUCUAUCUCUUUUACAUAAUACAGUGGAAAGUAAUAAAGGUUGGAUUUUUAACCGAGUUUAGCCGACCAAUUGGCGAGAAGAAGACCGGAAAGACCUUGAACGGAAUGGGGAUUGACUCGGAAAAAGAACCAGUAUUUCCUCCAAGGCCCAUCAUUUGAGGGCAUUCCGUCGAUUAGGUUACGGUCAAGGAUAGGGUUUAUAAAAAAAAUACCCGCUGCUGCGGAUUCACGGGCUCGAAAUAGCCCUAAGAGUUCGCUGGUGGAGAGGGAAAACCCUGCUUCUGCCGAAACAGUCAGGGUGCUCAGAACGCAUCGAAGAAAGUUGGGAGCCAUUUGGGGAAAGGCAAUCCCUAGGUGGAGGAGGUAUAAAAGAAGAACUUCCGGUACGGGAAAAAACAAACCACAACCUUUGAAAUAGACUUCGUACGCACAACAGUAACCCUCUCGCACCACUUCCGGAGACUCGUUGGGUCUAGGAAGAGAGAAUUCAAUUUCCUGGGGGAUGUUACAAAGGCGGCGAAGAGCGCCAAGGGAAGCAGAGGUCGAUUGAGACCUGAAAUGCGGACCAAAUUUGUCUCCCCUUUGGGUGAAGACUUCGUCCCCUCUGGGAACAGGGAUUCCUUGACUGUCAUCUUCGUUGUCCGAAACAUAGACGGCUGGGGAAGACAUCUUUUACUAAGAGGUUUCUCUUUUUCUGGUUUAGUAAAAGCUUUAAGAGAUAAAAGUACGCUGCUGUAAAAGCCGUCGUUCCAUUUAACCUUAUUUAGCAGAAAACCGCUUGGAGAAUAAUGGGAAGUGGGACGGUUUUCCCUGCUAUAUUAAUAUAAAAUUAGAAAAUUAAUGAUGACGGUUGUCAGGGAUAUCAAAUCAUUUGAUUAUCCGAGAUCGGCGUAAUAGCGUAAAACAUGGAAUAAUUCCGGAAUGUUAAAGAUCUCGAGUCAUUAAUUACUGUUUACUUAAGUCUUCCAAGCCGAGCACUCAGCUCGCAAGACUUGGGGGGCUAAAUGUUGGGGUCGGAUCCCACACAUUUUUGGUAGGAUCCACUUGGAUCUGUCCACGUCAUUAUUACAUAAUAAUCAUCUUGGAGUUAAAGAUAUUUUAUUAUGAGAAUCAAGCUUGACUAGUCGGGAGUUCGAUUCGGUUUACUAAAAGAGUUCGAUCUUUACCAGUACGGAGUUCGCUCUUAUUCAACAUACAGUUCGCAUAGAGAAAGGCCGAAGCGAAGAGAAUAUUGUUCGAGGUUGGCGGCAGCGUCAAGACGCGGGAGUUCGGAGUCAACAAGAAAGAGUUCUGAAGAUCCGCGCGAAGCCCAAGAUAGUUCAAAUUCAAGCCGUUUCGGUCAAAAUGUAACUUAAAUGAUUAAUGCGGAUCAAUGCGAUUGUGAGCAGUAAAUGACCGCAUUGAUCAUGUUUUCUCUAUAAAAACAACCUCAAACAUAUGUGUUUGACGGAGAGGCGACUAUUCAUUACUUCUGAGCAAUACAAUAUAUUUUUCUCUCUUUACUAUCUUUCGCAAGGCAUUUUGUACUUCGUCUUUAUCAAUUUUUUCCUCAUUUCUUUUCUUGGUUGAUUUCCUUUUCAAAUUCUCAUAUUCAUUUCCUGAUUUUACAAGAGUUUUUCUCCACAAAAAUACUUAAAGAUAAUCGAGUGUGAAUCAUACAUCCACAGUUUUGAAUGUUGAAAGAUUAAUUUUAGUUUUGUGGUAUUUUUGGAAAAACCAGAAAUCAAGUGGAGUUUGGAAUAUUAAACUAAUAAUGAUAGUUUUGGAAAAUUUUCACAAAACUUAAUUGUGUUAUUUUUUUUGGAUUCUCCUAUAUUUUUUCAUUCAAAAUAUUAUAUUUUAGUUAAAAAAUUUUAAUUGUUAAAGAAACUAUUUAAAAGUGAAAGUAAAGAAACAUGAGAAAAGAGAUAUACUUUGCCUUAUAUGUUUAGGUGGUAAUAAAUAGCAGAUUUCAAAAAUAUAAUAUGAUUGAGUAUAAAAAAAAAAAAUUGAGUGGUAAACAAUUACAUUGUAAAUAAAUGUAAAUAAGAUGAUGUUUGACCGGUGGUUUAUAUGUAAAUCUAUAUUAUUAUAUAAAAGUCGAGGCUAUAAGCUUCUGAGGCUGUCCACGUGGGAUUUAGAACGACCAAUCCCGGUUUACCACCUCAAUAAUUAGCAUUUUUACAAUCCUUGCUAAUUAACAUUUUUAAAUUAAAAUAUUUUAUAUACUAAAAUAUUAAUAAAAAGGAAAAGGAAAACAAUAUGGAAAGAAGUAAAAUGUGAAUUUUUGAAACAACAACAUAUAGAAAUAAGACAAAUGUAAAGAAUAGAUUUCAAUAUUAUCUUUGGUCAUAUUUUAAAAAUGUUCCUUUUUUAGUAAAUCUUGAUGCAAUAUUUUCCAAAUUAAAAGGUCAUAUAAAAAAUCGAUUAAUAUCUUAUAAGAAAUAGAAAGAUUUUUUUCAAGUUUACGAAGAUAGUAAUUAAAAAAUAUUUAAAAUAUUCAAUUUCUUUUUUUUUAGUUAAAUUUUGUCAAAAAGUUUUAAUCUCUUUUUAAAUUCGAAUAUUUUCUAUAUUAAGAUUUAUAUAUAAAAUAAACAUAAAUGGUAAAUAUGUCAAUUUACCUUUUCUAAUUAAUAAACUUUUCUUCUUAUUUCUAUUUCGUUAAUCUUUUUAUUUUCCCCAAAAAAAAAGAAUAAAAAAAGAAAAUUAACAAAAAAAUAUGUUAACCCUAGAUCUUUUCAAUAUAAUUUGAAAAUUUCUAGCCGUCAGUCACAAUUAGGGUUGAUUACUACUCUUAAACGCCGCUUUAUAUUUAUUUUCGUCGCUCUUGCCACUGUGGACACUUCUCUCUUAGUCGGGUUGUUUAUGCUUUAUAUCUAUUAUGAGCCGUAAACAUUGUUUGUGUAUGAUGUUAUUAGAGAUGAUUUGAUGUUAUUUGCGUAAAAUUUUUGGGGUUUGAAGAAGAAGGAUUGACGACAAGCAUCAUUGGACGAUGUUUGUGCUUUUUCAUAUCGGUUAUGAAUCGGAAGACCUUGAUUUGUUAUUGUUUGAGUUAAAAUUUUAGGUCUAAAGAAGAAAGAUCGACGACAAGCACAAUUGUUUUAUUAGCUAUACAUGUAGCCAUGUUCAUGUUACUUACUUCACAAGAAAUUUGCAAUUUUGUACCAUUAAAGAUUUUGGUUUGAAAAGUUUCAAUACGUGUGGAUCUUAAACCAAAUAUAUGUGUGAAAGUAUCAAUAAUUGAACGCAGGUGGUGGCUACACUGGUCUUCAAUUGCACAAAUAUUACAAGAAAAAAGGCAACGAUUCUGAUCUUGGAGGUUAGUUGGGAGCAAGUUGUGGUACUCUAAAAUAAGUUAUUUUGAAUUUUUAUUCAGUGGUUCGGACGAAUGCAUCAUCAUUUGCUUGUGCCCAAUAAAUGUCACGGGCUAAUAAAUCUAAGGAAGUGGUAAUGGUGGUGAGAGUUGAGGAACAUACAUGUAAAAUCGUGCAAGAAAGCUCUCUUGAGAUACAUGUGUAGGCCAAGAUAGUGAAAAUUGUUUACGUGAAACUGCAAGUGGAGGCCGCUAUGACUAAUGAUGUAACUUCAUGUAGUGUUAUUUUUAAAAACUCAAGUUUUAUAUACUUCAGUUGGAUGAUAUCUAACCAAGCAAAAAGUAUGGGGAGUUGUGUUGAAAUUGUGGAAACAUUUGUUCUCCUUGGAAUACCAUUUCAAUCAAGAACGGGAAAUGGUGAGACGUAAGAAAGGUGAUAAUUUUAAUUAAUGAGAAUUAUUUUGGAUUAUGAACAAUUGACGUCAUAAUCUAGGUAACAAGGAAGGUUGCUUUUCAUGUAAAGCAAUGAAGGAGAACGAGAGAAACGCGGAUAUAUAGACUCACUACAAGCGAAAGAUAGAUAGAGAGAGAGAGAGCCAUUAUCGUGAGGGAGAAGAGGUCUAAUUGUGACACCAUAAGGCAAACUUGGACUGUCAUAUACGGAAAAGAAAAGUGAAAAAACAAUUAUGACAUAAUCUCUUUAAGGCAACAUUUGAUUCAUAUGUAGUUGAAACUUGAUGGCGAGGUUUCUGGUAUUACUGUCUUGAGGUUAUAUGCUGAGGAGUAUUUUGGAGACGUAGAACUAAGUUCUGGUAGAAGGGCAUUGAAUUUAGAGUUCAUAAGGUCAAAUGAACGAUGUCGUUUUGGGUAGUUAAUUUAUAGGCUUAUGAAGUUAUGUUUGGGUAAGGUUUGUAAGUUUAAAUUUCUUACUCUGUUUUUAACAAAUGUUUUACAUAGAAGAAGGAAAAAAAAGUAAGGAAGAGGAAGAAGAAGAGUAUAAUGAAUAAGUGGACGUUGAAAAUAACGAUGAAAACGGCCAUGAAGAAUUGAGAAUGAAGAUGACGAGAAAGAAUACAAGAGUAAAAAAACGAUGAAUGUGACGAGAAGGUGUUGGCGGCCAACUGAAUAUGAGAAACAAGAUUGAUUCAUGAUUAUUUUUUUAUCAGAUUUGAUUCUUAAACACUAUUGAUUUUUUUUAUUUCUCGUAUCUUCAGACACCGGAGCAUGAUAAACAUGAACAUUCAUGUACUAACAUGAUGUUGAUCUACCACGAAUUCCAGAAGAGACAAGAAAAAACUCGAAUUUGGAUACAAAACCUAGGGAAAGUCAGACUAUUAUGGUUGAAGCUCUGAACCAAGUUCGAUGCAAUGAGGCAGAGACCGGAUGUAAUUAAGUGAUUACUCGAGCAACGGGAAGUAAGAGAAAAGUAGCUCUCAAACCUGAUUUCAAUAUUGGUGGAAGACUAAGGCAGAUCCGAGAGAGCCAAAGUAGGCUUUAGAGAACGUUUUAAAGAAAAUGUAACUUCUUUUGUUAAGCUAAACUGUUAAGCGCUUUCUCUCUAACAUGUCCUUUAUAUUUUAGAUUUACGUUAUAAUUUUUCAAAUUGUGUAUUUGAAAUAAAAUUUUUGCCAUCAUAGUAAUUUAAAAGUUUUAGAGAUCAAAACAUUAUACUUUUAUAAAAUAAUAUUUAAUAACUAUCAUCAAUCAUAUACAGUAUUUUUUUACCAAAAUAUAUCAAAUAAACCCACACGUAGCGUGGGUCGAAACCUAGUAUAUUCUAAAAAAGUUUUGGAAUCAUAUUCUAGGCGAAACUUCAAACCACAUUUUUUGAGAUUUGACAUAAAUAAUAAUAAUUAAUAUCUUGACAAAAUUUUUGGUAAAUGGUAAUUUAAAUUUACCUUACUAUUAUAAUAAAUGUAACAACAAAUAUAAAAUAUAGAAAUGCAAAUAAGUGUAUUAAGGUAAAAGAUGACUAUAUAAAUAAAUCUUAUAUCUAAUUAAAAUUUUAUCAUCUUACUUCUUAAAAUAGUUUCUAUUCACAAUAAAAAGUUAAAUAUGUCUUUUUGUUAAAUUUAAUUUAAUUUAAAAAAUUUAAAAUCCGCAUCGGGCGGGUCCUAAUCUAGUUGAUAUUAUAAAUCAUUGAGUAAUUGAUUUUUUAAAAAAGUUGUUAAAACCAAUCUAAGAGUGACAUGCGUAUGAGAGAGAUGAUUUCUCAAAUUUCUCACCUUUUUUGAUUAUUUUUUUUUACUUUUGAUUAACUUUUAAUAUGGGUCUCUCAUGGAGAAACCACUGAUGAUGGAGAUUCUCUUAUACUUUCGAAAUAAAAAAAAAACAAUAUAUAUACUUUUUUUUUUCCCUUCCAUUUCUCUUCCCGCGUUUUGUUGUUCAACCGAUCUUGUGGUACAUGUGUUCUAAUUUGAACGUGGAAUAAAAACCAUAAAAAAAAAACUCAUCUCGAAAUUUCCUAACCAUUUGGUGGUGCAAGUUUAAGUUUCGCUCUCCUAAAACCAAAUCCGUUCUAUAAUUUGUUAGACUAGUUCUGGUGCGAAAGACGACACACACCAAUGUUACUUGAAUCCGUGUAAAAAAAAUCUAGAAAUCACACCUAAGAAAUGGUACGCAAUAUGUUUAAUGCAACACUGACUAACUUUAUUUUGAAAGAUUUGCAGUUUUGCACAAUUUAAGACCAUACACAAUAGUAUAAUCUUUGGUUGGGUGUGAGUAAUAUAAAAAAAAGAAAAAAUAGAAAAGUUGUGUAAAAGUUGUAUGUUGGGUAUAAGUUUACACUUGGGUGUGAGUAUUAAAAUAAAGAGAAAUAUUGCACUCUCUCUAUCUCUCUCUAUCUCUCUCUCUUUUCUUUGUCUCUUUAAUUAUAAUAAUAAAAAAUUAUUCACACCCAAACUCACAUAUGUGCCAUUGUGUAUGCUCUAAGUGAUGAUAUGGUGUAUAAUAUAUGUAUAUCCAAAAAACAUAACAAGUUUUUCUUUAAUUUUAAUUAUAUAUCUAAAAUAUGGAAUAGUUAAUUAUAAAAUCAGUGAAAAAUAAAUAUAAAAGAAAGCAAUAUGUUGUUUGCCAAAUUGACAAUUCUAAAUAUUGUGGCGUAUUUACAAAUUUUAGCAGCCCACUUGUUAUUUAUUUGUUUCAACUUGUAAAUUUCAAACAUAUCAUAUGUACCAAAAUCAAGUAUAAAUAUAAAUAAUCUCUACAAUAAUUAUUUGAGAAGUAGAAACGCACCAUAUUGAAAGUUAGGGCAUUGGAGGCCUGUGGUUAAAAGUUAGAAUGAUUUGUCCUAAACACCCUUAAUGAAUUGUUCUUCUCGAAAUUUCUCCUUCUUCGUAAUUAGGGGUAUAUAAGUCUAAUCGUGUGUUGAUCUCUAUUAUAAUGUCCUAAACACCCUUAAUUCAAAAUUUUUUGUUCUUAGUUGUUAAGGGUAUAUAAGUCUAAUCGUGUUUUGUGAUGAUUAGUCUUAAUCACCCUUAAUUUUUUUUAUUUUAUAGUAUGAUCGUUGGGGAUAUGGAGGUCAUAAUAUCUCGACUUUAAUGAUUAUUGAAUCUUAGCUUAAAUUUAUUUGUUAAUUUUUUGGAUAAUUCUAUAAUUUAGCAGUUAAAAUUCGUUUUUGUUAGUUUUCUGAUUUUGUUUCUAAUUAAAAAGUAAAAUUUCUUAAGAUAAUGAUUGGUGUUUGCCCUAAUCUUAAAGCUAUAUAUAUUGUUGAUCGGCCAGAGGAUUAGGUAUUAUUUUUCUGUGGCCAUUAGAUAGUUUUCACCGUUAUGGUUUUUUUAUAUAGCUACUACGAUUCUGAUGAAUCGCGUUGUUUGUCAUGCAAAUAUUGUUUUUAUGGACCUUUAAAGGUCGUGUGCAUAUUGUUUGUGUUGUUUGUUUUAUUUUUUUGCAUUAUUCGAUGAUUUAUUGUUUUGCUAAUUUGGUUUUUUGGUGUGUGUUUCAGUUUUGUAUAACGUGGGAGGUUCCAUCGACAAAGCUCUCUGACGAAGGUGGUGUUGACGAGCAAAGAGCGAGGUUUGGGGAGGUACUUCUAUAGUUUUAAUUUGUAUAUUUUUAUAUUUAUUUACCCAUAUACAUUUAUGUGUUUCUUCCUGUUAUCGUAUAUACUUUUAUAUGCGAUUUUAUUGCGUUUUAUUUUUUAGUAUUGAUUUAUAAUUAAAUUGUCAAAUAGUUUUGAGUUUAUGUGCAAGGUUUGACAUCUUAUUGUUUGAUUUUCAUCUUACCGUGAUUUUGAAGGUACUCGAUGAACUCAUAUCUCGGUUUGUGUCGGUUUAUUGGAAACAAGUAUUUCUCUUAUUUGUAUCUAAUAUGUUGGUUAUUGUGGAUCGGUUUUAGUUUGGUAUUAAUUUUCUAACUUUUAAAUGAUGAUUUGGCUUUUGUUUUUUGUAUAUAUAUUUCGCGAUAAUCAAAUGUUACGGGUUAUUCUUAUUUCGUACCGUUGGCUUAGGUAACCGCUGGUGUUUCCUUCUCCCGAAGAUGCACGAAUGAUAUGUUUUAUUUUAAUAAGGUAUUUUGUCGAAUCUUGUUUAUUUAUUAUGUAACGUAAUAAUCGUUUUAUGUUUAAUUUAUAUAUUUGUUUCUCUGAUGUUUUAGACCACACGGGAUUGGCGUAGAAGAGUUGUUGCUCCGUCGUGUUUUACGGAUCGCGUGGGCUUUUGUAAGCAUGUAUGUUUGUUCUCUUAUUGUCUUAUGUGUCAUGACUUGUAUAUAUAGACAUCAGAAUAUCUUACCAUUCUAUAAGGUAUGAUUUUAAUUGUUUUGUUUGUUUGUAAAGGUUUUGAGUUGGCUGAAGUAUUCAUUACGACCGAAUAUUUUGAAAGAGGUAUGUUGUGUGUAGUUUACGUAUUUGUUAGAUCCUAUGUCCUAUUAUUAUAGAUGUCUUCGUGUUUUCUAAAUUAUUUGUUUGUUUUCUAUUGUCUACUUAUUUUUUGGGUUUUUUUUUUUUUUUGAUGUAGAGGACUGAGAUUGGAAGCAAAGCUAGGAGUUACAGCAGUAUCUAUUUGUUGUUUAGUUAUAUUGCUAAGGGUAGUGAUGUAUCUGUUGAUAAAUACGGAUCAUAUCCUUUGGUGUUUGGUAUUGAUCAAACCGUACCAAAUUUUGGAUCGGGGCCUAUAUUUGAAGACUCUGAUGAUGAGUAAUUAUUUUAUUUGAAUUUGUUGCUAUUUAUUUGGCUUCUAUAUAUUUUAUUUAGUUAAUGAUUAAUAUUCUGUUUUAAAAAUUUAUGUCGAUCUAACUCAUUAUAUCAUAUUAGCGAUGGUUCUAAUUAUUCUUAUUGGCGUUAUCUAUCUUAAUAUGGUGUGAGUUUUGUUUUGUGUAUAAUCUAGAGAUUCACAUAGUUAUUAAUAUUAUUUUGUUGCUGUUCUUAUGUUUUAAAUAGUUAUUAGGAAAAAGAUAUUUUUUAAAUUUAAAAAUUUGUGGCUAUGACUGCUUAUUUCAAUUUCCACCGUGUAUGUGCACUGUAAACAAUUGUUUCAUUUAUUUCGAGAUUUUCUAUCUCUCUCUGAUUCCUAAAAGAAAACUGAAGGGUCUUGGGCGGUGGUUUCGUUCAAAGAUGUCCGAGCAAAUCUACCUUUCUAAUCUUUCUCGAGGUAGGACGCUUAAGUACAUUCGGGUGAAGAUUCUGAGUCUUUGGAGGGUUCGCAUCUAUGGAUUUAGGUGUAAAACAGAAAUGCUUCUUGCCGACGAGCAGGUGCGUGUGUCUUUGUCGUUUUUUCUUUUGAUCGGUUAGUUUGUUGAUUUUGGGUGGAUCUGCUAGAUUAUUUUUAUAGUUUUGCUUAUUUUAUUAUAAAUCUUUAAGGAUUAUUUGUCUUUGGUUUGUGAUUUGUUGUUUAGUUGUGUUAAGAAAUAUUUGAUUUUUGUUGUUUUGCAUGUACCUAGGGGACAAAAAUUGAGGGUACAAUCGGUUGUGGUCCUUUCCAAAACGUUGAUAUGAGGGAGUUAAGGGAAGAUGCGUGGUAUACUAUUUCUGACUUUGUUGUUUCUGUUCCGAUCCGGAGGACCCCGAACACACUUCACCCUUUCCAUAUCAAGUUCCACAGUGAUACAAAGAUGACAUUGAUUUAUGAUCUCUACUCGCCCAAUUUUUUUGAGUUUGCAAAAUAUUCUGUCAUUAAGAGGAGGCUUUUGGAGGCAAAUCGUCCCUUUGGUGUGUCACAUUCUUUUUAUUAGCUAAUCUCAUUUUUGGUUUCUAUUAUUGUUUGAAGUAUCUUUAGUUUUUUAUUUGUUAGAUGUUCUGUGUUGUUAGAAACCUCUUAUGUCUCUAUUGGUAUGAUUUGUAGUGAUAUGUGUUCUUUUUGUGAGUUUGCUAGAUUUAUGUGGAGUUGUGGUCUAUGUGUCUGAAAUUAAAAGGAUGACUUAUGUUCCCGGAGAGUAUGAUGCAAGUACUGCAUGCAAUUAUCUAUAUUUCCGUCUCAUGGAUCAGAAGUAAGUCUAUGAAUUUGAUUUUGUUUUGGUGCUAUAUUUAGUCCAUGGUUAUUCUUGGUUUUUUUUGUGAUUAUGUAGAGUUUAUUUAAAGACUGUCACUGAUCUUAAGUGUUUUUGAAACGGUGAUUAAUAAAACAGAGGUAGGGAGCUGCCAUGUUUUGCGCUUGGUCAUUAUGCUGCUGAUUUUAUGAAUGUGUGGACAAGCCGAGGCUACCAGGCUUCAUUCCGUUAUCAACCUGUUUUCUGUGUGUUGCGUUUCUGGAAAGUCGAUGAGUUCAUGGGUAUGCAUUUGGUGUAUUGAUGUCGAAUCUAUUAUGGAUAAUAUAUAUAAAGGGCUUAUUCAAAUUGUGUUGAUGUGGCUAUAGGUGAACCUUCUAUUUCCACCAGAAUUGGUUGUUCUAAGAUAUAUCUUGAGCCCACAUUACCGGAGAUCAAGGACUUGAGGAUGAUGUAAAUGAUUAUUGUGAUUUUUUAGUGUUUAUAUAUGUAGUUUGAUUUUGUUAUGGAUUCAAAUUUAUUAUUUUGUUUAAUGUAUUAAAUUUAAUUCUCAGGUCUGUUUUCAUAGCUAGGGUAACAUGGGCUAUUGAAGAAGGUGAGGAUUGUGAUGACGCCGGUGAAGUUGUUGAUCAGAAUUCUUAAUGUUCUUGGUGUAAAUCAAGAAUUGUAUCCCUAUUUCCGUAGUGUGCAUAAACAUGGAUACCCUCUUCUGUUGGUUUAAUUUCUUUUUGUAAAAAUCUCUUCUUCUUGUGUUAUGUUAUUAUGUCAUGUUGAGAUAUUUAUUUGGGUUUUGUAACAAUUAUCUUUUGUGUUCGAGUUUUGAAUAUGUCUUUAUCUUUAGAUUCGUUGAAGUUAUCUAAACUACUUUAUAGAUUUUCUAAUUAUUUUAUAUUGUAGAUUAGCUUGUGGUAGAGAUUAUGUCAGAUUUUUGAUGUAUGACUUGUGUUGUCAUAUCUUGCAUGGUUUGUAAUAAUUACACAGCCGAAAUAUGGAUAGUUGCUGUUUCCAAUCAUCAAAUCUUCUGAACGGAUAAAAACCUUUUUAUUUAAUUAUUGAUUAUUCAGUAAUCGAUGUUACGUUAGAUUGAUUUCUAUAUUAGUUGUAAUAUACUUCCAAUUCCACUUAUUAAUUCACGCUGCUACUUCUAAAAAAAAAAAACAGAGAAAAAAAAAACUCUUCGGUUUCUUGCUUCGUCUUUUCGGAUUAUCGAUAUUUCUUAUUGAAGUAUCUAUAACCAGUUAUCAAUUUUAGUUGUUUCCUUCACCAUGGCUUACUUCCAUGAUGUUUCGAUUUUGCGCCCUUGUAUUACGGGUUGGCACAUAAGAGUGAAGGUUCUGCGCAUGAUUACUGUUUGCAUAAAUCCUCGGAAUGCUCUCCGUUUGGUUCUGGUGGAUGAUAAGGUACUUUGGUUUUGUUCUGUAUAGAUUUGAUUUUAAAAUGCUAAUUCGUGUUAGUUACUAAACAGACUAUGUCGUGUGUCUAGGGUUUUAAGAUCGAUUGUUGGAUUAAUAGUGAAUAUGCGAAACAUUAUGCUGAGUUUUUGAAGGAAGAUCGAUGGUUUUCUUUUACGGCGUUUCGUGUUCUUGAGAACUCUGAUAGGGUCAGGCUUACCAAUCAUCAUUUCAGAAUGUCUGUCUUUGGAACGACUGUCGUUCUUCCCGCCGAUCCACCGUCGACUGAACCCCGUGACUCCUUUACUCCGUUCAGUUCGAUAAUUGACGGAACGGUUGACGAGAGUGUCUUGAUUGGUAAGUUACAUAUAAUGCUCAUUUUGUUUGUUGUGUUUGGAAAUACCUGUCUGAAUUAUAGUUGUGUCUGUUUCUUAACUAGAUUUGAUCGGGGUUUUGUCUGAUGUUGGUGAAUUGGUGAAUGUCAGGACAAAUCCAUCAGAUCUCACUGGCUUCAGACUGAGCUUUCGGAUUCGUGGGCCUUGGUUAGUAAAUAGAUAUUUUCUCCCUUUGUGAAUUUUGUCUAGGUAUUGUCCUGUUUGGUGUUAAAUGUUAAUUAUAUCAUUUUUAUUUUUGUUGUUUUGUUUGUGUUUUCUUGAAUAAAUAUAAAGCGGGAAUGCUAUCGAUGGUUUGGUGUCGGGACGCUCAGCGAUGGAGUUCCGAAAGCACUAUGACUUGUGUGUUUCGAAGCCUUUGGUCUGUAUUAUGCGUCUGUGGAAGGUAGACAGAUAUUUCGAUGGACCAAAGAAUGUUAGGAUUGUUAACCAGGGGCUGAUUUCUAAGGUUUUGCCAUAUCCUGAUGUUCCUGAGGCUGCUGAAUUUUGCACUAUGUCGGUAGUCAUUUCCUAUGUUCAUUAUUAUUUUAUUUUUUAUUUUUUUGUUUUUAUAUCUGAUUUUUUGUUUGGCUGCUUUGUCUUAGGUCUUAAUGUGUUGGUGAGACAAGUGAUUCGAACUAGGACAUUAACGGUGGAUGUGUAGUGCGAUUCGUCUGGACAUUGCCCGUGUGACUCUUUUGUGAAUAUCGGAAAUGUUAACUGUUUGUUUUUGGUUUUGUACUCGGAUCAUCUUGGUUUGUAUGAAUAUGAACUUAGAAUAAUAUUCUCCUUUAUGCGGUAUUGAUAUAUUAUCGUAUUGACAUAUGAUAAUCUUCUGUUUUUAUGAAUGAUGGUAUGUUUUGUAAUUAGUUUCAACCAUGGUCGCUAGAUUUAAACGGUCAUAUAUAUAGAUAGAUUACAUACAUAUAUAUAUAUAUAUAUAUAUAUAUAUAUAUAUAUAUAUAUAUUUUUAAAAAAUAUAUAUAGAUAAAAGGUUGAAUUUAUUUUCGAUAAUAUUUGAUAGUUUUCCUUAGUGAAGAUUUUAUUUAUGAUAGAUUCUGUUUUAGUGGAGAUUUAUCUUAUCAUAAGUAAAUUGUUUUGAUAAAAAAAAAAGUAAAUUGUUUUAUUUAGUAUGUUGAUAUUGUUCAAUUUCUAUAUUUUAUAUUUGGGAAUCUUCCUAAACUAAAUACUCGCGUAUAUAUAUUUUACUUGAUAUAUAUAUAUAUAUGUAUAAUAAAUAAUAUUCUCGCACUUUUCUUUAUUCCGCAAAAUUUGUUUCUAUUAUGGCUCAUCUUCUCUCUAAUGCCAUCAGGAACUCGAUUCGUAAAAGAGAAUGUUUUUUUAGUGUUUCUGAUUUGAAUCCCUUUGUUCAUGAGUGGAAGAUUAAAGUUAAAAUACUAAGAAAGUUUUAUUUGUAUGAGACGUUGGAACUAAUAUUGGUGGAUGAAAAGGUAAACUAAUGUAUAUUGGGCUUUGUCUUGAUCUGUAUCCAAUCUAAUGUUUCUUCGUAAUUCUCUGAUAAUCUAUUAUUUAUCGAUUGACAUGCCUUUUUCAUUUUUUCGUAUUAGGGUCAAAAUAUUCAUGCUGUAAUAAACAAGGAGUAUGAGGAUCGGCGCACUUCGAAAAUUGUUGAGGGCAAUUGGAUAAGUAUAACUAAUUUUGAUUUGGUUCCUGUUACAGGAGCUUUUAGACCGGUUCCCCAUCGUUUUAAGAUUGUAUGGAACUCAGGCACAACGAUUAAGGACAUUCGACCGUUGUGUUCCGCUGAGUUCUUUUCGUUUGUCGCUUUCGAGGAUAUCAAAAGUGGUUCUUUGGACCCUACUUUAUGUGUUGGUAAUAUCAAAUUUUCUUAUUGUUAAUGUGUUUAGUGUAAUUAAUAAUAUUUUAUCAUGUGUUGAUGUAGGAGAUUGUUUUGCUUUUCGUUUUAAUAUUAUCGUGUGCAAUUUGAUAUGUAGAUCUAAUUGGACGUGUCGUGAGGGUUGGUAAUGGAAGAGAGUCCGGCCCACCUGCUUCUGAUUGGAACGAGUUAUUUUUGGAACUGGAAAACGAAGAGUGAGUUUCUUUGUUGUUAAAUGUUUUUUUUUACUGUUAUUGUGUGUUUUGUUGUGGAUAUAUUUAUUUAUAUAUAUUAAUAUAUAAAUAUUUAUAACACUCUGGUCUCAAGGGGAGAGCGUUUGCAGUGUCGUUUACCAAAUGAAUACUCGAAUGCGUUCUUUAACGAAUGGAGGAAUUGUCUUGAUAACAUCAUCAUAUGUGUAUUGAGGUUCGCGAGGCUAGAAGUUACUCGAGGUAAUUCGAUUGACAUUUCCUGCAUGUGAUUUUUAUUUUUCUGUCGUGUGUUGGAUUUAAAUAUAUUAUUUAUUUGUGUUCAAUUUAUUUAAUGCGUUAUUGUUUUUUUGUUUAUUCUUUGUUUGGUUAUUAGAUUUCUGGGGAGCUACCACUGUAUACACAUGUACCAGGAUUUUGCUAAAUUAUCGAUGUGUUGAAGUUACAAGAAUGAGGGAUGUGUUUUACGCUAGACGGGAAGCGGACGAUUAGUUUUCAAAAUGGAUUUUGUAUGCUUUUGGCUUCACAUUUAUUACUAAUGAUUUCUUAUUCUGGCUUUGGCAUUUUAUUCGAACGAUUUGGUUUAAGUUCUUAAUGUUAGUAGUUGGUGUAUUCUUUUAUGCAAACGAAUUAAUCGUCAUACUUUAUCAUACAGUUAGUUAGUAAAUUGAUUUCUCUCUCUCUCUCUCUUUUCGGCCCGUUGUCACGCAUGUGGUCCUAAUAAAGUGGAUUUGGAAGAUGGAAAUAUAUAUGACUAAUUCAAAAUUUAUAUAGUGUUCGUGGUAAGAUUUGUAUAUAUAUAUUUUUUUUUGGGUUAGUAAUUGUGUACCAUCUACUUUUUAUUUGCUUACCUUCUUUUGUUCUUUUUAUAGAUGUUGUUGGUAAGGUCGAGAACGUGAGUGAAUUAUAUUUUGUUCCUUUAGUCGGCUCCUCCGGAGGAUGUUUUGAAAUCUUAUUUGAUUGGCGUAAUCCAGAGUAUGGUGUAUUGUUUCUAUUCGCAUUUUUAAAAAAAUGGGAUAGUAACAAAUCAACGAUUUCGAUAAACCUUAACUUUAUACGAUUGACAUUAUAGUACAGCAGCAAUAUUGCCCAGUGAUGAUAUUGGUUUGGAAUCUAGCAUUCCUACAGUAAGCAAUAUAUUCUGAUAACAGAAAAAGAUAGAAUAUCGAAUCUAUUAUAUUCUGAUUAACCCAAUAAAGUAAGAUUUCUAUAUUCUAAGAUACUGUUAUGAGAUUUUUAAAAUAAAAUAUAAGAUUGUUUAGGCCGAUGAAAAUAUAAGAUUAGGGAUAUUAACAAUAUCAAUUUAUGCGGAAAAAUAAGUUGCCUUUUUUAAAAUGUGAUAGUAACAAAUCAACUGUUUCGAUAAACCUUAACUUUAUACGAUUUACAUAAGGGUAAAAAUAGCAGUUUUGUCUAGCGACAAUAUCGUGUGGCUAUCUAGCGUUUCCAUGGUGAGCAAUAUAUUCUGAUAGCAUAAAAGGAUAUUAUAUCGAAUUUAUUGUAUUCGUUUGAAUCUAAUUAGGUAAAAUUCCAACGUUAUAAGAUACUGUUAUGGCAUUUUUAAAAUAUAAUGUUAAUUUGCGUAGACCGUGAGACCAAUGAAUAUCCCUGACAUUAUUUAUUAACUAUUAACCUCCUUAUUUGGGUAUAAAUAAAGGUGCGCGUGUCCCCUAAACGAUCACCUCUUGAUCGAUUAGAUAGCAUUCUCUCUGUUUCUUCAGUCGUAAAAUGUCUCAAAAUUCCUCACACGAUAUCACAAGUGACGUAGACCAACCGGAUGUUUGUGUUGAUUUUGCUGACUUAGGCCCCGGCAUGGUUACUAUGAGGGUUAAGGUGAGAAUUAUUAGGAGGUUCGUGUGUCCUGCGUAUGGCGCUAGGUUCGUGGAAUUCGUACUGGAAGAUCCAAAGGUACAUAAUUAUAUACUAUCAUCAAAACGUUUAUACUGUAUGUAUACUAAUUAGUCCUUUAUUUGUUUCAUUAGGGUCAAAAGAUACAUGCUGUACUUGGUGGGGACGUCGCGCAACGGUUCUCAUCUAUCCUCAUAGAAGGCAAUUGCAUAAUUUUAUCCGACUUUGUUGUACGAAUGGCUCUCGGAAGGUUUAGACCGUCUUCGCAUAGAUUUCGACUUGGUUCAAACGCUCUCACUUCGGUCAAUUUAAUAAGGCCUUUCUCUCAAAGUGAUAAUUUCCAUUUCGCGAAGUUUAGUGAUAUCAAAGAAGGACACCUAAAUCCUUGCUUCUGCGUUGGUAAGUGUUGUGCGUUACAUCGUUUAAAGUAUUUUUAAUUUGGAUUGUUUAUCACCCUCUGUAUAUUGAAACGCACAGAUUUGAUUGGGCGCCUUCUGGUUACUUUUGAUUUCCGACGAUCGGAGUCGAAUCGUGUUAACCAUCGCUUUUUUUUUCAGAUGAAAGACCGAAGGUAUGAAUUAAAUUCUUUAUAAUAAUAUUAAAACGGAACGGAUGUGACUCAUUUUCUUUUUUCGUGCUUAAGUGGUGUACGUCUAAUUUUUCGAUUGCCGGAUGUCUUUGUUGAUUCGUUUAUGAAUGAACGGAAGAAAUGGAUUGGUGAUUUCCAAAUUCUCAUCGUCAGAUUCGCUAAAUUGGAAGUCGUCGAAGGUCCUACCAUUGCAUUGUUACAAAUAAUAUUUAUAUAGAUUUCCCUGUUUGUGUUAAACUUGAGUUAUUUUAUUUUAUAGGCAACGUCACUGCUACUACAGCUUGCACGUGCACUCAAUUCUUCUUCGAUCAUGAAUGUCCUGAGUUUUUGGUGAUGCGGAGGUUCUUUACCCGUAAGUGAGAACCGCUGAUAGUAUUGGUUACGGAGCUAAUGUGCUGGUUUUAUUUUUUAUGCAUUGAUACUUGCAUGUGUUUUAAUUUUUACUUGGUUUUUUAUUAUUAUACAAGUUUUGUAGGCAGAAAUGCCAAGAUUUUAAAUAUUCCAGUGACGCAAUUUAUAUAUUUUAUGUUGCCAUGUUAUAUCUAAACGUAAGUGAUUUAUUUUAGUCAACCGUCCCGAUGUGGGAUUAUAUCGUACUAUCGUUAGAUAUUUGAACGUCAACCUCAUCUAUCGUCGUUUUUGUUCACUCAUGACAGACAUAAAUUAUACAUGAUAUUGAUAAAUAUAUGUGCAUGCGUACAAGUAUAUGCAUUAAAAAUAUUGAUAUAUAUACAUAUCGUAGUUAAUAUAAUGUUACUACUGUAUACGUAUUAAAACGUACAUACACUUGAUAAAUGAAAGUUAUAACCAUAUAAUGACGUCCUUAAUAUGAUAUUUAUGAUCAAUAUUAUUGUUAUAAAUCUAUUUUCAAUAUAAGUUUGGUAUGAUUAUAGAGAUAUAUGUAAUAUUUUCCUUUUUAAUUCGGAUUUCGUUAAAAUAUGUUAAAAGUUGAAUAUAUCUAAAAAGUAAGCUUACUUUGUUUUGAUCUUUCCAAAAAAGAGAUUACCAUUAUAAAGUAGCCCUAAUUACUAUUUGCUUUCGAACUCAAAAUAGUAUAAAUUGUUGCGUCGAUAGAAAUUACGCUUCACGGUGUCUAUACUAUGGGGAGGAUAAACUUAUUUCAUGACAUGAAGCGUUAAAUUCUUGCAAGUAUGACUGGAUUCUCCGCAUAUAAACAAAUACCAAAAAAGAAGUCCAUAAUUCAUAUAAAAUGUUUUAUAUAUUAUAAUAAUAAACUUUAUAUAGAGAUACAUAGAUUCGUAAUAAUAAUUGUUUCUUCACUCUUCUAAUAUCCCAUGUGCCCGACAAGCUUCUUCGUAUGUUGGGUAAACAAUACCUCCGUGAGUCCUGACUUCUUCGUCACAUGUAGGUCCUCUUAACAUUCCUGCGAGCCUUUUCAAGUGACGAUUGUUGUUAAUCUUACGCGAAACAUACAUGACUCCUCCUCUGGGGGGUCCUCUUCUCCUUGGCCUAAAUUGUUUUUUGGUCCUAUCCCACGUGGAAUGAUUUGGUAUUUCGUUGAAUGUUAAUUGUCUAGCCAUCGAGUUGAUUUUAUUUAGAUUCAACCAUGCCUUGAACACUUGAUCUUCGUCGUGAUUAUCACCCAUGAUUCGGUGCCUUAUGAUUUGAUGUAUAGGUUUUGUUAUAUAUAUAAAUAUGCUAUAGGUUUAGGUUAGAUGUCACGCCGACGUGGUGUUAUAUAUAGGGCUCCUUAAAAUAUAAAAUCGAUAACAUUUAAAUAUAAAAUAUUUUAGAUAAUAUUAAACUUUAUAUAUAUAUGGUUUCCAUUGUGAAUAUAAAUUUUAUAUUUUUCCAUUUGGCAAUUAUCUAUAAAAUUAGUUGAUCGGAAUGUAUAUAUAUUCCUUUAUGGUAUUUUUUGAUUAAAUAGUUAUAUGUUAACAUGCCUUCAUUUUGAUAAGUUUAUAUCUUAUUGUAUCUUUCCGAUUGGCAACUACAAAAAAUAUAAAAUAUUCUUAAGGUAAGUUUAAAUUUUGAUCAAAUAUAAUGUCGUUCUAUUGUGGAUGUAAAUUUUCUGUUUUUCGUUUGGCAAUGUUAUAGAAAAGUUAAUGGAAAUAUCUAUUUUGUUUAAUAAAAAAAUGUUUUAUUCUAUUGUUAAAUGUUAAUAUUCCUUUGCUGUGAUAAGUUCAUAUCUUAUUGUAUCUUUCCGAACAAUAUCUACCAAAUUUAACGAUGGGGAUUCAUUUUGUUUAUAUAUAUAUAUAUAUAUAUAUAUAUAUAUAUAUAGUUUUGCGGUUGGUUCUGUUAUACUAAAGUGUUUCCUUGCCUUCAGAUGGCUCGUCCCCGAAGUUCCAUCUGUGUAUCUGAUCUAAUUCCUUCUAUGAAUGAAAGAAUGAUGGGAAGAUUCAUAAUAAUUAGAAGAUUUCGUUGCUCUUCACGUUUGGACACGUUGGAGCUAAUACUAGCCGAUGAAAAGGUACCACGAGGCUAUAUAUUAAAAGCAUGCAAAAUCUAUAAAUGUUUAUGAUUCGUUACUACAUGUUCUAUCUGAGUUUUGAUUUUUUAACCGUUCAUUCGGUUGUUUCUAGGGUGACAGGAUACAAGCUUCAAUUGGUUUGGAUUGUUUGGCUUAUGAUUCGAGUAGACUUGUCGAAGGAACAUGGAUAUUUAUAAAAGAUUUUGGCUUGGUCGACGCUGUUGGGUCUGUUAGGCCAACUAGGCAUGCCUAUAAAAUUCUUUGGAAUCUAUCGACUUCUUUUCAGAGAGCUGUGGUUACUGCUUCUGUUGACUAUUUUAAGUUUGUACGUUUUGAAGAUGUUCUUGCUGGUUUAGUCGAUCCAAGUGUUUGUGUUGGUAAGUUUAACUCUUUUGUUUGGUAUGUUCAGUAAAUAUUGCAUGUGAACGUGAUAUUGUCGUCGUUUGUUUUGUGUAGAUUUGAUUGGUCGUCUCAUGUGUGUUGGAAAUUAUGACGAGGAUGAGGGAAUGAAUAGUACGUGGGAGCAGAUAUAUUUGGAGUUAGAGAAUGUUAGGUGAGUUCUAAACUUGGUUUAUAUAUCUUGGCUGUGAGGGGAUUUUGUGUAGUUGAUUAUAAUGCUUUAAAUAUACCAGGGGUAUUCGUAUUCGCUGUCGCUUGCCGAAGGGGUAUGCCACGAAAUUUUUUUCUGGUCUGAAGACUUGUGCUGAUAAUAUCAUCCUGUGUGUGAUGCGAUUUGCUAGACUAGAGCUUUCUCGAGGUACUUAUUUAAACACUAAUACAUUGUGUACGUGUUUAUUCGUUUAGUCAUGAUUUGUCUAUUGAUAUAUUAGGUGAUAUGAGGGCUACUACUCUGUGUACCUGCACAGAACUUUUAUUCAAUCCUUCGUGUGAUGAAGCUUCGAGGAUGCGUCUUGCUUUUGCUUCUGUGGAGAGAAAACUAUUUUGAACCCUUGAUUUCUUAUAAUACUUAGUUGGUGUUUUGUUUUUUUUUUUUUUUUUUUCCUGAUUCAAAAAUAUCUGUUAUUCGACAAUUGUGUUUUUUUUAAAUAUCACGGUUUGCAUCUUAUUCCUUGACUAUUUAAUCGAUUUUAUAUAUAUGUGCUUAUUGUCUAAAUAUCCAGUUAGCGUCAAAUAUACAUACCAAUUAAUUGUUUUAAUGUUGUGUCUUCGGAAAAAUUUUGACAUUCAAAAUUACAUCCGAAUAUUAUCUUUUAGAUAACUACAAUAUAUAUAAGAUGCAAUAUUCGUGAAACGCGCAUAAUUUAAAAAAUAGUAUAUUUUUGUUUUGAUCGGAUUAUACGGAAUAUAUAUUGACAUAUUUUUUUACUCAUUACUUUGAUAUGAAAUAUUAAUCUUCAAAUCUAUGGGAUAUUGCUAUAUCUUAUUUUAUAUUAUCUCCAAUUUCCGACAUUAUUACACAAGGGAGAAUAUUAUGGUCUAAAUUAUUCAAGCGAACAAAACAAAGUGCCCCGUAGUGGUGGAAUUGGUCAAUGGGAAAUUAUUGUCUGAUUCUUUACAGGCUAAAAGAUGCCCUGUUGGUUUGGAUUGAUGGUACUCGAUCGGUCUUGUAUUUCUAUGCAUGGUCAAAAUCUAUGCGUGUCUCGAUAAUGUUUUUAUCAGUUUUUGUGGUUUUUCCGAUGCAAUGCAUUGUAACGAUAAAUAAACAAUGUAAUUGUGCUUGCGUUUUAAUUUGAAAAUAUGUAUUUAAAAAAAAAAACGUUCUUGUCUUUAUAUGAUUGGGAAUUUUUUGGUUCAUAUUUGCAGCACAUGAAAAAAAUCUCAGUCACAAAAAAAAAAAAUUGGAUGAGCAUGUCGACGAUUUAAAACCGAUUAAGCUUUGUUGGUCUAUCCAAGUUAAGGUUCUUAACAAAUGGCGUGAGAGAUCUGAAGCCGGUUAUCGAACUUUACGCAUGAUUUUGUGUGAUAAAAGGGUAAUAGCAUUUGUUUAAGAUUAUCGAUGUUUAUCGUAUGUUGAUGUUAUGUUCUUAUAUACAUUUGGCGUUCUGUUUUUAUCAUAGGGUUCUAUGAUUGAGGCUAAAAUCAAUUCCGAACUCAUUACUGAGUAUGAUUCCGAGUUCAAAGAUGGUGACUGGAUAUCUCUUCACCAUUUUGAAUUAGAUUUGGUAACUGGGGAUAUGAGAACUACACGUCAUGCUUAUCGGAUCAAUUUUCUUCCUUCGACAAUUUUGAAUCUGAUACCUGACAAAGACGAUCUUCACUAUACACUAUAUCCAUCCUCUUUCCUUGACGUUUUGGAUGAUAAACUCAUAAGAACUUACCUGAUAAGUAAGUAUAUAUAAUAUUCUUUGAUUUUGUUCAUGUAUUCUGCUUUUUAAUUUUUAUGUUUCUUCUCUCUUUUUACCACUAGAUUUGAUUGGAUAUGUGGUUGAUAUCGAAGACAUAAAAUACUCUGACCCAAGUAAACGAAGCGCUGGUUAUGCGAUGACGUCUUUCAAAAUUAAGGACGCAAAGUGAGACUUAUUAAUUCCACCUAUAUUCGUAUCAUUGCUACGUGUAUAGGGGGGCUAAUGUUUACAUUUGUUUGUUGUAGCAAUUAUGUACUGCCGUGUGUUGCUAUCGGAGAUCUUGCUGAGCAUUUUCACGAUGAGUGGAAAAGGACUAGGAGUUCGCGGGUUGUUUGUGUUUUGCGUUGGUGGGGAGUCUAUAAAGUUUCCGGUUUGUAUCUAAUUUAUGUUUUGUUUAUUUAUAACGGCCGUUUGUCUGUAUAGCUCCCGUAAAAUGUUUUAAGCUGUGCAAUUCUGAUAAUUUAAUAAGCUCUAUGUAACGUGUUAAUUCAGGACAUAUGGUUAUCCAAUCGGUUGGUAGAUGCAGUCGUUUGGAUCUUGAUCCUGAUAUGCCUGAGGUUGCUGAUUUCCGAGUAAAGUAAGAAAUUUGAUGUUAAUUUUAGGUAAUUCAGCAUUUGGAGUUGUUUAGGUAUGGUAAUUGAUUUAUUAUUUCCGUUGUAGGUCGUCUGCUUCUACAGGCUCUUCGCGGUAUAGAGCCUGAGAGGAAGUUCAUGUGUUCUGGAGAAGUGCUUGAAGGGGAUGAGUUUUGGAUCUCCUGUUUAACUUAAAUGUUUGUUGUUUUUAAUUUCUAUCUUUGUUGUUUCCAAUUUGCUAAAAACGAUCGGAUUUGCAUAAUGUAAAUCUUGUAUGAAAAUUAGGCUUUAUCACUAUAGCGUCAUUAUUGACUCUGACUUUCUUGCUGUUCUGUUGUGUGUAGUGCAAAAUUCACAAGCCAGUUUUAUAAAAAAAAAAGGCUGGUUCGGAGAGUGAAUAUGAGAUUGACUGGGGGAUACCAAUUCAGCGUAAUUGGUAGAUGUUUAUCGAAACAGCGUGUCAUCCAUCUGUGCUAUUACUUGCGCUAAUAUAAUUGUAAUACUCUAUGGAACUGCGAACUGGAAGGAAACUAUGUGGUUUUUUCUGUCUGAUUUACGAUUUGAAAUCGUACUGUUAUCUUUUAUAUUUUGUUCUUGCUCUUUGUUGGAUGUCGAUCAGAUAACUUUCCUCUUUGUUUUUUUUUUUGGUGGGAGGUUUAUUAUUUUUCCUUUUUCUAUUCGGUUUAUUUUGCCACCAAAUACGUUAGGAUUGUUUAGACAAAUCACAAACUGUUAUUCCGUAGUUGGGCUUUGGCCCAUGAACGUAAGAUUCAGUAAAAUGUUAAUUUUUCACAUGUAUAAAAUCUAUACAUUAUAAUGCUGAGAUAUCAAUUUCACAAAUAAACCGGAUAUUUAUCAACAAUAAGUACAUUAAUAUGUAGUAAUAUGGUCGUAUUCUUAUAGUAAACUAGCUCACAUGUUGAUUUCUGUACGCACAUCCUGAUUUCCCUUUUUAGUAACUAUAAAAUGGUAACUACCUUAACCGGUUUUGUAUAUUUUCUAUAAUACUUUCGAUUUGUCGUCGACGAUAUGGCAAAUUAUCAUUUCGUUAUUGGGCUCCGGCCCAUGCAUUUAGGGUUCUGUAAAAUGUCAACUAAUCACAUAUGUAAAAACAAAUCUAUAUAACACCGUAGAGUUAGAUUUCAUCUUUCGGGAUAUUAGUUUAUAAAAUAUUUAAUAAUCUGUAGCGAUAAAGUCGUAUUCCUUAUUUCGUAAAAAUACGAAUGUUAAUUCCCUUUUUUUUAGAACCCUAAAAUGAUAACUACCUUUAACUUAUUAUAUAGAGAUAAAAUCGAAUAAGUUUUUAAUAAUAUUUGUUAACAUUUAUUCACGGUUUGUGAUAUAUAUAUGCAUGUAUUUCCGGGUGGAGAUAUCACGGAAAAAGUAUAUAAAUACUGGCAUCGUUUUCUUUUCUUUUAUCAUCCAAGUUAUAAUAUAUCUUCGCUCUGCUUUGAAUUAGGGAUUUUGUAUUUUUACGGAUGGAGCCGUAUCCUCUUUCGAAGCUGAAUCCUGAUACCAGCGAGUGGCGUAUUCGCGCAAAGGUUCUUGCUAUUUGGCAAGAGUACUACGAUCAUUAUUCGACGGUUGACGUCGUGUUGGUCGAUGAUAAGGUAUAACUCAUGUUCUGUGGAUUGUUGUUUUUAAUAUAGUUUGCAUGUAUAAGUCGUAGUGUAAUCAUGUGUUGUGUAUAUCGUAUCUCAGGGUGGGAAAAUCCAUGGUAUCAUACCUAUGGAGCUUAUGCCACAGUUUUCAUCGAGAAUCGUUGAGAACCGAUGGAUAGUGAUAACAGAUUUUAUUUUGAGACCUGUCGUGGAUGCGUUGAAGCCUGUUGCUCAUAGAUUUGAGCUGGUAUUUCAUAAAAAAACAUUAUGCGAUACUCUGCAGGAGAGAUCGGGUGAUGGUUUCUAUGAUUUCGUGGAUUUUGGGAGAAUCCUAAAUGGGGCGCAUGAUACGUCCAUUUGUGUUGGUAUGGUUUUUAUCAGUUGAUUCUUUUUUUUUUUAUAAAUUAGUGUUACGCUUUUGUAUUUCGACCGACGCUUUUAUUCAUGCAGAUAUCAUCGGAAAGGCCAUUAACGUUAGUAAAAUAACCUCUUUUGGUUGUAACGUGUAUGAGGAUCAGGUGGAACAUAUAGUCUUUGAUCUCCAGGAUACAAGGUACAUUAUGCCACUUUGAUACACAGAAGAAGUUGAUCAUUUAUCGAUCUGAUUUAUUUAAACUAUAUAACGCAGUGAAAGAGUUUUGAGAUGUGUUUUAAGCAUUACGGAUGCUUUACCUCUUUAUCGUUUGUGGAUGACUGAUCCGUCCGAUGUUAUCAUAUGUGUACUGCGAUUUGUCCGUGUCGAGUUUAGGGAAGGUACGUAGCAUAGAAGAAAUAAUUUAUAAACAUUGAUUAAUCAUGGUUAACGUGUGGUUUCAAUUUAAUAUGUAGGCAUGUGGAUAUGCUCAGGGGUGCGCUGUUCGAAACUGCUGUUGAAUCCUUCGAUACCGGGUGUAAAAAAAAUGAAAUCAGUGUAAGUUAUAUAUUUGUUUGAGGUUUACUCAUUUGCUUAAGAUGCUGAUGGGCAUCGCUUUUUUCCUGCUGAUACAUGUUUUAUUCGAUUGUUUGUUUGCUUUUUGUAGCUUCUCGAUCAAGCACGGUCCGAUUGCGAAGAAACAGAAGAUUGAAGACUGAACGUGACAAUAGAUCUAUAUUUUAGUUUAUCUCCUUAUAGAUGUUUUUACGUUAUGUUAUCGUCUCGGUCUAUCGGUCAUACAAAUUAUUUUAUUUUGGAUAUUUAUCUUAUACGUUAUUAAAAUAAAACAGAUUUAAUUUAUAUAUUGGAUUACUCACGAACGAAAACUACAUCGUAUUAAAAAAAAAAUGUAUAGUGUCGCUAAAAUUAUACUGUGUCUGUUGUUUAUUCUUGGGAUAUUGAGAUUAGAAUUGCUUUUGCAAUGAACAAUCUUAAUGAGGUAUAUAUAUAUAAUCAUUAAAUUAAUAACGAUAUGCGUUGUUAGCAAUAUUUAUUUAGUUAAAUUUAUACCUAAAUAGAAAAUCCCCGGAAACCUUAUCGAGUUAUUUAUAAAAUUCAUAUAUAAGUAUAUAUUCGAGUUAUUCGUGGAUUAGGUAUUUUUGGUUUCAUUCAUAGCAUAUAAAUAUAUAGUCCCUUACGCGUCUAUUCGUGUUAUAAUCGUCGUCAUGUUUACCUCCAAAACAUAUGAUAGUGUUUGGCGAUUGAAUCCUUCCAAGUACGAGUGGGUUGUCGAAACCAAGGUUCUUUGUUCGUGGACACGGCGUCUAGAAAACAGUGGCAGGCGUUUAGAGUUUGUUCUCGCGGAUCGUGAGGUUUGUUUAUAUUAUACUGUUUUAUUUUUUUAUAAGAUAAUGCUCUUGGAUCUUAUUUUAUGGAUUUGUUCGUUGUAGGGUAACAAGAUACAGUGUUCUCUAUGGGGAGAGGUUUACGAUAAAUUUGUGUCUGUAAUAGUUAGCGGUAGUUGGUUUCGGAUUAAGGACUUUAAAGUUGUUCAUCAGACUGGGGAUUGCAGAGCAACCUUGCACCGCUAUAAGAUGAUUCUUUUGAAAAACACUACGAUUGUCAAGAUACCUGGUAUCGAUAACAAUCAGUUUUUUGAUUUUGUUGAUUUUGGAAGUAUCUUGGACCGAAGAUAUUCUGACGACUUUUUGGUUGGUAAGAUUUGUGGUUCUAAUUGUAUCUAAACAUGUUAUCUGUUAUAUUCACUGUUUUAUUGACGUUUCAUAUUUCCGUUGUGCAAGACUUGAUUGGAGAGGUUGUUGAUGUCCAAACUUCUAAUAUCGAAGCUGAAACCAAUGGAACGAAAUUACGUGAGGGUUCCGUUGUUUUUAAUGAUAAGGGCGUCCCUUUAUCUGAUGAAGUUAUACCAGACUAUGAUUAUUUACUAGAUAGGUCGAAGAGAUACAACGAGGGUAGAUUAGUCGUAGAAAAUAAGGAACCUACUCGCUCCUUGAAGCGUAGUAACGAGGAUGUGUAUGGAUUUUCAUCCACAAAACGUUUUCGUCCUCUUACUGGUGGUUAUAAAGAAUUACUCGAAGAAGUAGGAGGAAUAAACGAUCAAGGCCAUGGAAGACUAGGAUCCGAAUUUGGUGAAGAUGACGAAGAGGACGAUGAUGAAGAAGAAGAAGAAGACACCGAAGGAGACGAAGAAGUUGAAGAAGAUGUAGAUGCCGAUGAAGGAGAAGGGGAAUACGAAGAGGAAGAGACGUAUGGGGAAUUUGGUUAUGAUGGGGAUGAUAGCAUAUAUCGCACAGUUUCUUUCUAUCUACGUGACAGACGGUACAUUCAUUAUGUUUAUAAUAGUUAGAGGAUAAAUACUAAUUAAUAUCCUUACACAUGUACUUUUUUACGUGUGAAGGAAUGCUAUGUUGAGAUGUCGCCUGUUUGGUAAAGUCGCUUUGACUUUCUACGACACAUUUAAAGAGCAAGCUGAUGGUGCUGUUAUUUGUGUUAUAAGAUGGGGACUUAUUCGUUGUUAUGGAGGUUUGUUUUGCCUGCUUAGUAUAUAAGCUGGUCGGGUUUGUUAUAGAUGUAUGCAUGUUAAAUAGUUAGUUUGAUCGAGUGCAGGUGAUGUGGCCAUACAUGCUACAGAUUGCUCGCGUAUUGAGAUUAAUCCAGAUAUCCGUGGAGUGGAAUGCUUUGAUGAAUUGUAAGUUUAGUUUUCCGUAUAAUUAGAUUUAUGAUGUUUGGUGUCUGGACUAUAAUAUUGUUAAUUCCUACGCUUCGGUGUUAUUGUGAAGGGUCAAGGAAAACAUGUAGUUGGGUAUCUUGAAGAAGAAGGAAGGAUUUAUAGUCUCCGGUGGUGGAUGUUAAAGUUAUUAUGUUUCAAUUUCCGUUACGUUUUAACAGAGUUGUUUCAGCGAUACCUCUAUUAUGCGGAUCACUAUUAUCCCUUAGUUUUGUUUAUUUUUUAUUCUAUAGUUACGUUCUUAUUAUGGAUCAUAUAUUUACGGUGAUACGUUCGUCAGCGAGAGCAUUUAAAUUUACAUCGAAUUUGUUAUUGCGUUGGGGCUUAAAAUAAUAUUUUAUAUAUAUGUUAAAUUGACCAUUUCGUUGAGGCUGCGAACAAUAUUGAAGGAUUCUUUUCUUUAGUCAUAGGCUUCAAAGUGUAUGCGUUAUAUAAAACUGGAAAGUGAAGGAGGACUUACACCUUCGUUAGUUUAAAUUAAUAACAUAAUACAUAAAUAUUUUUGUAAUUGGAUUCCAUUGAAAGUUUACUCUUAUCGACUUUGUUUACAGAAAAUAAAAAUAUGGAUUUGUCACAAAAUUGUAAACAUGCUUAAUCUAUGAUUUAGCGAGACGAUAAAAGUAAAUAUUGCGGUUUUUAUCUACGCAUUCGAUUCGAAAAUAUCUAUAAUAACUAUUUGGUAAAGCUAUAAUAUUUCCAGAAAAUUUUAUAUACUAAUAGCGAAGAUUUACAUUUAUCUCUUAAUUCGAUUUUGUUAAUAUCCAUAAUUAUUAAAUUUUAUUCUAUAUUAGUCGAAAAGGUCGGUUAAAUCCUAAACAUUUUAUGGCUAUAUAUAGGAUCUACUACUCGCUUUCAACAUUAACGAAAUCUAUUAAGAUAUUAUACUUUUGUGCGUUAAAAAAUGUCGUCAAGCAGAAAAAGCAAAAAUUCACUAACUUUCAUCGAUGAUAUCAAUCCUAUUCACGAUCAGAAUAAGAUUAAGGUGUUAAUCUUGAGGCUGUGGAAGGCGUAUCAGAGAGAUGCGGGCAAUACAAUCGAGAUGGUUUUGGUGGAUGAAAAGGUUAUGAUUUGAUUAUUAUUUGAGAUUAUGUCUUCUAUAUCAUGUGUUUGCUUUGUUUUUGUAUCGUAUAAGUAUGCUAAGCAUAUUCUCUUUUUGGUUUUAAGUAGGGUUCAAGAAUCCAUGCAAUUGUUGAAGACAAAAAUAUCAAAAAGUUCGACAGUGUCCUGAAAGAAGGUGAUGUCGUUACCUUAAAUCCUUUCAAGCUCAUCAAGUACUCUGGCGAUUAUAAGAGCAACAGUCUUUCUUUCAAGAUUUUGUUUUACCGAACAACCCAGGUCAAACCAUGUGAUGAUUUUCCAAAGGAAGUCCCUGAGAAGUAUUUUGUGGAAUUUGGUGAUGUUUUAAAUGGUUCACGAGACACGCGUGUUUUCGUUGGUAGGUCUGGUUUAAAUAAAAUAUCUUAAUUAGUUUGAUAUUUGUUUAUCUUUAUCGCUGUCAAACUAAAUAACGAUACGUAUUGUUGUAGAUGUUAUUGGUCAGAUUGUCAACGUUGGACCGAUAGAGGAUAUAAAAAUCAGAGGAAAGAGUACUCCAAAGCUCGACGUCGAGUUGCGUGAUCGUGGGUAUGUUAAUUAUGAUUAGUCAUUAUAAGAGUUUGGUUUUCUGUAUGCUUCGUUUUUUUGACGUGUUUAUCACGUAAAUAGGAACGUACGGUUAAUAUGUACUCUAUGGGCGGAUUUUGCUAAGCAAGUUAAGGUUUAUACUGAAGCAAAUCCAGCGGCUGUUGUUUGUGUGAUUAGGUGUGCUCAGGUUAAGGAGUGGAAAGGUAUAUAUGUUGGUCGAAUAAACUUCAAAUAUUCCGAUGACUGUUCUAAUUUUAAUUGUUAACUUAUUUAGGUAAUUGGACUAUAUCUAAUGCUAUGGGCGCAACACGUGUAUUACUCGAUCCUCCAGGCGUUUUUGUUGAUGAGUUCAGAUCAGGGUAAUAGACAUAAUAUUGUUUAUUUAUUAUGUUUUGUGUUAUUGUAUAUGUCUGUAUAGAUAUUAAUAUAGAAUUUUUUUUGUAGGCUACCAACCGAUGGCGUUGUCUUGACUAAUCAUGAUAAUAGUGAAUUGUUUGCUGGAUCAACUGUAUCGAUACGUGAUCAAUUCUUGGUGAAGAAUCAUAAACGAACUGUCCGAGAUAUAGUCGAGGCGUUAGAGGUAGACACCAUAAAUUUAUGCGUUAUUCUUUAUAUUCAUGCGUUUUAAAGGGUAAAAAAAAAAUUUGUUUGUUAAUUAGAACUGGUUGGUAUUUUAAGUCUGACCUCUAAAAUCUAUAGGAGGGUAUGUGUGUGACCAUGGUCACUGUUGGAUCCGUCGAGCGAACGUCGAAAUGGUAUUACGUUUCGUGUAAGAUGUGUAAUAAGAGUGUCGAGCCUUAUCCAGAAAAUUCUGGUGAUGAUGGAAAACCACCUCUUUACUAUUGCGGCGUUUGUGACAAGGAUGUAUCUGCGGUAGUGUUCAGGUGAUCGUGUCUUUUGAAUGCCUUGUUUAUAUCGUCUUGUGCAUGUUAAUACCGUCAUACUAUGUUGGUGUGUGUAGUUUUAGAGCUCGGUUGUUCAUUAUUUGUCCUGGAAUAACUGUUUGUUUUAGGUACCGAUUGGUUCUGGAGGUUUCUGAUGCAACUAACUACAAGGCAAGGUUUUUGUUGUUUGAUGCAAUGGGUAGUACCCUCCUCCGUAGAACUGCACAGGAGCUCUAUAAUGCAGUUUCUGAGGUAAUGGAUUCGCUUUUGCUAUUGUUUGUUAUGUUGUUUAUUCUAUUUUUAACGAUUAUUUGUUCGUAUGUUUAAUCUAUUUGCAUGGUUUAAUGAUAGAAUGACCCCUCUAUACUUCCCUCGGAGAUUGGGGCAUUGGUCGGGAGGCGGUUUCUUUUUAAAGUGAGUAUAGGUGGCGAUAAUCUGAAAUCGGAUCGGUCGCAUUACGUGGUACAGUUAUUUUCUGAUGAUGAUGAGCUGAUUAAAGACUAUUCUGAUAGUCUAGACUCCGAGGUUCGUGUUUUGUAGCUUGGGUUGUUCUGUUUAUAUGAAACUGUAUGUAUGUGUUAAGUUUACUAAAUAUUCGGUGUUUUGCUUUAUAUAUACUUAAUAUUGGUGUUUCUAAGGUUUUGGUGCCUUUGCCCGUAACGCCUAUUACAAAGGAGGCCAGUGUUCGCCGUGGCGGUGUAUCCGUCGAGAAUCCGAAACCUCCUACGAAGAAAAUCAAAAUCGAGGGCAAGAAAGAAGAGAGUUUUGCCACAACUUAAAGAAGAAUUUGGUUUUUUUUAUAUAUCUAGAUUUAGCGGUUUUAUUUAUAUUUAAAUAUCAUAGCAGACUUUACAAUACAUUGUGCGACUUUAUGUUCGUUUUUUGUUGUGACUGAGUCUGGAUGUUAUUUGGUGUUUUCGUUAUUUGUUUUUUUUGUUUUUUUAUACCUUCCCAAGUGUCAUAUUUAGAUAUUGUUCGUUUUUUGUUUUCUAUGAUCGGUCUGAUGUUGUUUGGCAAACGACAAACGCGACUUUCUGCUUAUACACGUGCAAGUGUUUUCGCUAGGUCUGAAUAUAUUCUAUACGCAACUAAUACAUGCAUUUUUUAUUAUACUAAUGAUAUGUGUUAGGUGUUAUUGUUUGACGCCAAUGUAUUCACUUAGAAAUAUUGUUAUAGAUUAAGAGUCGCAUGUAGGUAACAUGUGUUUAGCAAGACGUGGAUAUUAUUAUAUAUGUAUUAUUAUAAAAUAUUGGAUUUCGUUUUAUGUCGUAUAUAACAGUUUCACGUUAUUUGUGAUAUAUUUGGUAUCUGAUUUAGCAUGCUGAUUUAUAAUUAGUUAGGGUUAUGUGAGCAUUCACGAACUCUAUAUAUUUGCACGUUUUAUAUUAUGCUUAUAUGGUCUACUAACGUAGGUUGAUAUCCCGGCCGUUUCUCUGAGCAACGCAUAAAUUGGUAGGUCUAUUGUAUUGAGAUAUGUAACAUUAACAAUUCUAAAAUAUUAAAUAUUCGACGGAAUUAGAAUGUUUCUUUUUAAUUUGACAUGCGACAUACGCAUAUAUAAAAACAUAUAUACGGAUAAAUACUGUUUGUGUAACAAUAUGUUAGAGUUAACAUUUUAGGUAUUGAUAGAUUUGAUCAUAUCUCCUAUUAAUAUAGUGGUAUGUUUGUUAUUAUCCAUAAUAGAAAAUAUUAUUUUCCUUGGUUUUAAGUCGCUCAAUAUUUUACGUAAAAAUAUAGGUCUUAUUGGGUACCCUAAUACCUAGCUUAUAUAUACGUCUAUAAAUAAUACAUGCAUUCUUGUGUUAAUCAUUGCGAACGCUCGUGUUGAAAGAUGGAGGUAGUCGUUAGUAUUUUUACUUGAUGUUGGUCUGAUAUAGUUUAUUUGUUCGGCGUUAAGUUGGCUUUCUCUUUCCGAAAAUAACAAUCAUGUUUAUUGAUUAUUAAUACGUGAAUGUUUUGAUCGGACAGGUUAACAAGCAAAACACUAACUCAACCCAUAUUAGCCAGACGGAUGAAUGCAUCGUAGCUAUCCAACAAGCGGCUUCGUGGGUGUUGUCGGUCGAUAGAUUGCGUGGUUUAUUUGUUAUGCUGAUGGAUGUUUUCUGCGAGGCAGAUCCGUUGUCGGUCUGGGAUGCUACCUGGGAUGUAUUGUUUAAAGAUGUGUUGUUUCCACAACAAAUUAUUUUUAACGAUCAUGGUAAAUGUACACCGUUAGUUUUUGCCAAUAUUUACAAAUAUCGUCAGAUGGCUAAUGUUUUAUUAUUUUGUUCUAGAGCCGGAGUAUGCCUACAAUGAAAUCCAAAACUUUGAGACAUUUAUGCGUAAGGAAAACUCUACGUUCAAUGUCUAUGCGGAAUUACGGAAGAAAGUCGCUUUAGCUGGUGGUCCUACAUGUGAUCCUUCGUUGGAAUAUAAGAUGCGUGAUCAGUUUAACAAUCUUAAGAUAGAUUAGAUUGUUUGCAUCGUUUUGAUUUAUUUUUGUUUAUUUUAGGGUUUUAUAAACUAUGUUUCUGCUUGGUUCUCUCUAUACUAUUAUAUUUGUUUCGGCAAAAUAAUAGAAUAUUUUUUUAUAGACGGUGUUUUGAUCUAUCAACGCUGCAAUGAAGAUUUUAUUUUAUUAUUCCUGUAUUGCGUUCUCUUAACUUUUUUUUUUUUUAUUGACGGUGUAUCUUUAUAAUUACGCAAUGAGUUUUAAGCACCAUAAAACGCGAUAGUUAAAACACAUGGGUUCUUCUUCGUUGACCGUCAAACAACUUAUGCUAGAUGAAACAACGUCCUAUAAUGUGAGAUCCAUGAUAGCUGCUGUAUGUUGUGUAGCUUCUUCCAUUUGCUAUAUGGUUUCUUAUGAUUUUAUACAGAUCUCACGGUUAUGUUAUCUAUUCAUUUUAUCUCCAAGUGAUAUUUUAUGACCAUAAUUAUGAGGUUUAACAAGCUAUGGAAAAUUAAAUUUCUGUCAUUAUAACUUGUAUUUAUGAGUUGAGAUUAAUUUAAAAAGUAAAAUUCGUUGUGCUCGAAUCACAUAUAUGAUUAAUACUAUAUAACAUAUCAUUAAAAUAUAAUAUUUCCAGUUUUCAGUUUACCUUUUAUAUUUAUUUCCGUGAGAUUUUCAUCUUCUCUCAAAGUUAUGUAUGGGUAUUACCAAAUGCGUUUGCUGUUAAAGUAAAUAUUUUAUAAAAUUCCUUCUUUUUUUUGGAUACAAUCAGAAUAAAAAGUAAAAUUUGAAUAUAUCUAGAAAAUAUAUUGAUUAGUAAUAUAUAUCGCAAUAUUAAAAUAUAAUAUUUCUAGUUGUUCUAUUAAAGAAUACCAUAGUAGAUUAUUGUUAUAUAUAAUUUUCCGUUAGUUUCCUCUGUGUUCACGAUCUUCUAGGUUUUGGAGACAAUGAAACGUGGUAGAGGUCAGAAAUAAGAUCGCAAAGCUUGCAUACGUUAUAUAUUUUAUAUUGUCGUAUAACCAUAAUCCUUUUUUAUAAAACAUUCUUGUCUAUCACUCUGAUUUGUUUUCAUUAUGCCCGUCCAAAGGUGAUCAUCGACGUAUACAUCGCCGUGUUUAUAAUAACAACUUCGACUAUUUGCUCGAUGUACCCAAGGAUGGUGCGAAAAAGGCAAGAAAUUAUCGUAUGGAGAAACUCAGAGCACGAAGGACUGCCUUCCGUAAUAGAUUAUCGGGUUAAGUCUAUUAUCUUUAAAAAAUUUAUUAAUUUAAUUAAUAAAAACGCCCACACACGCGUAAUUAAGUUGUAGUGACAUAUUAUAUUUUCCGUUGUGAUUAAUAUAUAUUCAUAAUUUCUAGGCAUGGAGUCGAUUAAUCGAACACGUGUUAUCGCGGCAUAUGAAAACAUGAUAUCUGAUGAAUUACGUGCGUUAUUGAAUUCACGACCUCCUAAGGAUGUUUGUUGUCGUGCGAGAGCGCGCCGUGUAGCAAUACUUAAAUCAAGACGGAUAAAAGCGAGGACAAGACAACCAGAAACCGGUACGAUAGCCUUUUAUAUUAAGUUUUUAUUCUCGAAAUUGUACGUGUGAUUAACAAAUAAAAAAAUGUUAUAUAUAAGGGUUGGUGUUGCCGAUUUACGAAGAUGAUUACGUGCAUUUCCUCGCAACCGAUUCGGAUUCUGAUCAUGGUGAUAGGGAGGACCAAACAGACGACGAUAAUGCAAUGGAUUAUGAUUUUGUUGAACAUCUCGAUAACGCCGAUGAGUGUAUUAUGGAACAGGAAGGGUUUGGAUCCAUACCGAUCAUAAAUGUGAAACCUGGAUUAACAGAAAACGGUACUUACUAUGGUUGUUUUUUUUAUAAUUUUUUAAAAAAUAUAAUUGAUAUUAUUGUGUACAUGAGUGCUUCUUGUGUCAGGUUAUUUUGAUGAUGGAGAUCCGUUUUAUACCUGUCAAAAUUGCGGUGCUUAUAUGUGGUUUGGCGAACGUAUUAACAAACGUGGAGCUAAAAAUAGGCCUAUAUUUUCUACGUGUUGCAUGAAGGGUAAAGUGGAGCUGCCUAAACUAAAAAAUCCUCCACCGGUGCUUAUGUCGAUGUUGUAUGGCAAGGAUGAGACAAGCAAAAAUUUCCGUGCUUUAAUUAGAGCAUACAAUAUGAUGUUCUCAUUCACGUCUCUUGGUGGUCAAAUUGAUAAUUCCGUGAACCAUGGGAAUGCACCGUAUGUGUUUCGCAUGCAGGGUCAAAAUUAUCAUCGCAUCGGUGAACUUUUGCCUGGCCCUUCCAGAAGUCCUGCUUUCUCGCAGCUCUAUAUUCAUGAUACCGUAAACGAAGUCUCGAAUAGGAUGGGUGUUAUGGGGUGAGUUGUUUAUUGUAAUAUAUUUUUUAUAUUAUGUCCACGAAUUAAUUUCCGUUUUUUGUUGUUUUUAAUUGUUUUAGCGAGAAAGGACCGGGUAAGCAAAUAAAGAAGAGUAUCGUUAAGACUUUGAAGGAUAUGUUAGAUGCUAACAACCCACACGUCAUCGCGUUUAGAUCAGCUAGAGAUAGAUUAGCACAGUGUGAAGAUACCAGCGGCUUUAAGUUGAUUUUGAAAAAUCAUCGAGAUAGUGACGGUAGAGUCCAAAAUAUACCUACGACUGACGAGGUUGCUGGGCUUAUCGUGGGAGAUAUAAACCCUAAACCGCGUGAUGUAGUGCUUCAGGCUAAUUCUGGAGGGUUUCAGCGUAUAAGUGAGCUGCACCCAUCCUACCUCCCUCUACAGUAUCCUUUGCUUUUUCCUUACGGCGAGGAUGGAUUUAGGUUAGGUAUCGACAUUGGAUUCAUCGAUAAAGGCGGUCUAAAAAGAACAAAGGUGACGAUGAGAGAAUUCAAUCGAGACGAGGUGAAUCUCCUACUAUUGUUAUGUCCAGGAGAUUAUAUCAGGAGAUUAUAUCAGCAGUUCCUGGUUGAUGCGUAUACGAUGAUCGAAAGCAACAGGCUUCGUUAUUUGUUUUUUAACCAGAAAAAUCUCCGCUGUGAAAACUAUUCGCAGAUUCUUAAAGUUUCUAAGAAAGGAAAUAAAAAUCUUUCCAUAGAAGGUAAUAAAAUUAUGAUACCAUCUUCUUUCACCGGAGGGCCUAGGUACAAGACGCAGCAUUAUCUUGAUGCGAUGGCUACUUGCAAGUAUUAUGGCUUUCCUGAUCUAUUUAUCACUAUAACUUGUAAUCCUGCGUGGCCCGAGAUUACUAGGUAUCUGGAAAAAUACAACUUAAAACCCGAGGAUAGGCCCGACAUCUGUUGUAGGCUUUUUAAGCUGAAACUCGAUAAUCUCAUUCAUGAUCUUACCCAUAAUAAGAAGCUGGGAACUGUCUCUUCUGGUAAGAUUGACCAAACUUUUAUAGCGAUAUUUGUGUCUCGCAUAAAUUAUGUGUUAUUAUUAUAUAUAUAGAAUUUUAGAAUCUUAAAUUUUUAACCUCUUAUUCUGUAAUUUCUUGUAUAUUUUACAGUUUUAUACACGAUUGAGUUCCAGAAAAGGGGUCUACCACACGCACAUAUGGUCCUGUUCCUAGCUCCAGGAUCAAAACUUCCAACUACUGAUGAUAUUGAUAAACAUAUUAGUGCAGAAAUUCCUGAUCCAGAGUUAGAGCCGUUUUUGUAUGAAGUUGUAGCAGAUAUGAUGGUGCAUGGUCCGUGCGGAGUUGUUAAUCCCAGCUGUCCGUGUAUGCAAAAAGGCAGAUGCACCAAAUACUACCCUAGGCCUUACAGUGAUCAGACUAAGGUUGAUGACGAGGGGUAUCCUAUUUAUAGACGGCGAGCGGAUGGCAAAUUCAUCGUGAAGCAAAAAUUUAAUGUCGAUAAUAGGUACAUCGUUCCAUAUAACGCUUAUUUAUCGAAAAGGUAUCGUGCUCAUAUUAAUGUCGAGUGGUGCAAUCAAUUACGAUCUAUCAAAUAUCUCUUCAAGUAUAUCCACAAAGGACCCGAUUAUAUCAGAGCAAAAAUACAAAAGGACGGUCAAGAAGAGGAAGUCCAUGACGAAAUAAAACAGUAUUAUACAUGCAGGUGCCAAAUGAGACUAAUUGUUUAUAAAAUGUUAUGUUAUCGUCUUAGACUAAAUACUGUUGUUGGGAGUUUUGAAAUUAUUGCCUCAUUCUCAUUAUUUUUUAUGUCGUUUCGUUUAUAGGUAUAUAUCUGCAUGCGAGGCCACUUGGAGAAUAUUAGCUUUUGCUACACAUUACCGGUCUACACCAGUAGAAAAACUUACAUUUCAUCUUCUUGGUGAAGAGGUUAUUGUUUUCGAUCCGAAUGAUCCUGUUGAUGAGGUUAUAAGUCGUAAAUCUAUCGGCCGUACAAUGUUCUUGGCUUGGAUGGAAUGUAACAAAGCGUAUCCAGAAGCCAGAGAAUUGACAUAUGCGGAUUUUCCAUCUAAGUUUGUUUGGAAAAGCAGAGAGCGUGUCUGGAAACCCCGAGUAAAAGGAUUCUCGAUAGGAAGGAUUAUGUAUGUUUCUCCUUCCCUUGGAGCCAAGUAUUAUCUAAGGCUCCUGUUAAAUUCUGUGACAGGUCCUACAUCUUACGAUGACAUCAAAACGGUAAAUGGCAUUAUAUAUCCUGAGUUUGUUGAUGCUUGCAAUGCACUGGGGUUGCUCGCAGACGACCGAAUAUUUAUAGAUGCGAUAAAAGAAGCGAGUUAUUUCGUGAAAGGUUUACCCUUGCGAAAAUUAUUUGUGAUGAUGAUCGUCGCCGGAGAUAUAGUAAAUCCUUUGCGAGUUUGGGAGGAGACUUGUGAUCUACUGUCGGAAGGUAUCUUAUUCGAACGUAGAAAAGUGUCGAGGAAUCCGGGUAGGUGGAUCAUCUCUAUUGUUUAUGAAAUAUAUAUAGCUGUCUUAUUAAUUGAAUAGUAAUAAUAGCAUGUUUCGUGUGGUUUGCAGCUUUGACGCUUUCUGAUAAACAAAUAAAAAAUUUCACGUUGGCGUCUAUUGAACUCUUGCUGCGGGAUAACGGGAAGACUCUGUCUACUAUCGAAGGAUUUCCGCAGCCGGAUGAUAUAUCUCUUGAUACGAGUACAAAUCGGCUGUUGUUGGAUGAGCUUGGUUAUAACCACGAAAAAGAAGCGAAAGAACACGUGAGACUCCUAGCCACGAUAACGGAUGAACAAAAAAUAGUUUACGAUGAAGUGAUGCAGGCAGUUUUAGAUAAAAAAGGCGGUGUCUUUUUUCUAUAUGGAUACGGGGGCACAGGCAAAACGUACGUCUGGAGUAUUUUAUCGGCUGCUUUAAGGUCUAUGGGACUUAUUGUUCUUAAUGUAGCAUCGAGCGGGAUAGCCUCUUUGCUGAUGCCUGGAGGUAGAACUGCACAUUCAAGAUUUUCGAUACCUCUAACGGCUGAUGAAUUUAGUAUGUGUGCGAUGAAACCAUCAUCCCAUCUCGGUGAGUUGGUAAAACAGGCUAGCUUAAUUGUAUGGGAUGAGGCUCCUAUGAUGAGCAGACAUUGUUUUGAGACGUUGGAUCGUAGUAUUCGGGAUGUUAUGAGAUGUAUACUGAUCGGCCGUUCGGCGGUAAACAAUUGUCUUUGANNNNNNNNNNNNNNNNNNNNNNNNNNNNNNNNNNNNNNNNNNNNNNNNNNNNNNNNNNNNNNNNNNNNNNNNNNNNNNNNNNNNNNNNNNNNNNNNNNNNNNNNNNNNNNNNNNNNNNNNNNNNNNNNNNNNNNNNNNNNNNNNNNNNNNNNNNNNNNNNNNNNNNNNNNNNNNNNNNNNNNNNNNNNNNNNNNNNNNNNNNNNNNNNNNNNNNNNNNNNNNNNNNNNNNNNNNNNNNNNNNNNNNNNNNNNNNNNNNNNNNNNNNNNNNNNNNNNNNNNNNNNNNNNNNNNNNNNNNNNNNNNNNNNNNNNNNNNNNNNNNNNNNNNNNNNNNNNNNNNNNNNNNNNNNNNNNNNNNNNNNNNNNNNNNNNNNNNNNNNNNNNUUACAGACGAUGGCGAUGCUGAUGUGGAGAUUCCUGAUGAUUUGCUGAUUUCUAAAUGUGGUGAUCCUAUCAAAGCCAUCGUACAUAAUGUUUAUGGGUCAACGUUGGUCAAGGAUAAGGAACUUUCUUUUUUCCAAGAAAGGGCUAUUCUUACUCCGAGAAAUAAUGACGUGUGCGUGAUCAACGACUAUGCGCUAUCACACAUGGAAGGUAGAAAAUUAAUGUUAAAACUUUUAUAUAUUGAUUUAGAGUAUGUUUACUAUUGUUUAUUAUUUUAGUUUGAUAGUGGAUUUAAUGUUGUUUAUUAUUUUAAUUUUCAUUCAUGUUGACGCCCCGGGGUUGUUAGGUGAAGAGAGAGUCUAUCUUAGUUGCGAUAGUAUUGAAUUAUCGGAUGCGGACAAAAGAGAUAAUAUGGUUUAUACACCCGAGUUUUUAAACAGCAUCAAAGUCUCGGGGUUGCCAAAUCACAGGCUGGUAUUGAAAGUCGGAGUUCCAAUCAUGGUUCUACGGAAUAUUGAUCCUAAGAAUGGACUUUGUAAUGGUACAAGAUUACAAGUGACUCAGUUAGCGAAUCAGGUUAUAGAAGCUAGAAUUAUUACUGGUACGAGAGUUGGAGACAUAGUUGUGAUUCCUAAAAUGUACUUGAGUCCCACCGAGACGAGGUUCCCAUUUAGAAUGAAACGUUGUCAGUUCCCGAUUGCGGUUGCUUUCGCAAUGACGAUUAAUAAAAGUCAAGGUCAGACUUUGACUAAUGUAGGUUUGUAUCUACCUAAGCCUGUCUUUUCGCACGGGCAAUUGUACGUUGCACUUUCGAGAGUCACAUCCAGGAGAGGCCUCAAGAUACUGAUAACAGAUGAUAGGGGACAGCCUCAAAAGACUACUAAAAAUGUUGUUUAUCACGAAGUAUUCCAGAACAUUCGUUAGUUUGAUUCUAGGAUUUUUCUCUCCUUUUACUACCUGUUUUGGGCUUUCAGCUUACGAUAAUUUUUUUGUUUUAAUUAUAUUUUUUAUAAUACAUUUUGGGUUUUAAAUAAAAGGAAAUUCCAUCGGAUAUUGCCAUCUUUAAAUAAAAAUGCUAAGAAAAUAAAAUGGAAAAUGUCACGCAAAAUGUUAUUAAACAAAAAAAGGGUUGCGACGGUACGUGUCUUGACAAAGGAAGGAAAAUCGAACAUAAAAACAAAAGGGCUGCGACGUUUCAUUGUCUAGGUUAGUUCCCUAUAUAUACUUAGUUGUUAAGCGUUCUUGUGGGCAGACCAUUAUCUUACGCCGCAUAACGAAUUUUCGCAUAGGAGCAGAUAUGUCUUCUCGGUUCACAUCGUCUUCUAUUGAACGUUACAACGAUUUCUCUCGGUUGAACCCUGCAAUUGUUGGAUGGCAUGUUCACGUUAAGGUUUUGCGUCGCUUCCACACCGAUGACUAUAUAUCGAAGGGUGGGCUAGGGUUACUUCUGGUUGAUGAUAAGGUAUUGGUUCGAAAUAAGAUUUGGCUUUUCUUUAGAUAUGUAUUAGCCUUUGUUGUUAUGGAUGUUUGCGGUUUCCCGACUUUUGUGAUUUUGGUUUUGUGAUGCAGGGUAAUCAGAUCGAAGCGCUUAUUUGUUCGCCGUUGACUUUUCAUUAUUCAACGUUUAUUGAAGAAGAUGAAUUCUACGCUAUUAUGAAUUUCAGAGUUGUGGAGAAUUCGGGAUUCACUAAACUAACAAGGAGUGACUUUAAGAUAAUGUUUUAUGAUGGUACUAUCGUUAAAGAAGCGUCUUCNNNNNNNNNNNNNNNNNNNNNNNNNNNNNNNNNNNNNNNNNNNNNNNNNNNNNNNNNNNNNNNNNNNNNNNNNNNNNNNNNNNNNNNNNNNNNNNNNNNNAGCUGCUGCGCAUUUACCGUGGGCAGCCCCUCACUGAGAAUACGAAGAGGAAGAGACGUAUGGGGAAUUUGGUUAUGAUGGGGAUGAUAGCAUAUAUCGCACAGUUUCUUUCUAUCUACAUGACAGACGGUACAUUCAUUAUGUUUAUAAUAGUUAGAGGAUAAAUACUAAUUAAUAUCCUUACACAUGUACUUUUUUACGUGUGAAGGAAUGCUAUGUUGAGAUGUCGCCUGUUUGGUAAAGUCGCUUUGACUUUCUACGACACAUUUAAAGAGCAAGCUGAUGGUGCUGUUAUUUGUGUUAUAAGAUGGGGACUUAUUCGUUGUUAUGGAGGUUUGUUUUGCCUGCUUAGUAUAUAAGAUGGUCGGGUUUGUUAUAGAUGUAUGCAUGUUAAAUAGUUAGUUUGAUCGAGUGCAGGUGAUGUGGCCAUACAUGCUACAGAUUGCACGCGUAUUGAGAUUAAUCCAGAUAUCCGUGGAGUGGAAUGCUUUGAUGAAUUGUAAGUUUAGUUUUCCGUAUAAUUAGAUUUAUGAUGUUUGGUGUCUGGACUAUAAUAUUGUUAAUUCCUACGCUUCGGUGUUAUUGUGAAGGGUCAAGAAAAACAUGUAGUUGGGUAUCUUGAAGAAGAAGGAAGGAUUUAUAGUCUCCGGUGGUGGAUGUUAAAGUUAUUAUGUUUCAAUUUCCGUUACGUUUUAACAGAGUUGUUUCAGCGAUACCUCUAUUAUGCGGAUCACUAUUAUCCCUUAGUUUUGUUUAUUUUUUAUUCUAUAGUUACGUUCUUAUUAUGGAUCAUAUAUUUACGGUGAUACGUUCGUCAGCGAGAACAUUUAAAUUUACAUCGAAUUUGUUAUUGCGUUGGGGCUUAAAAUAAUAUUUUAUAUAUAUGUUAAAUUGACCAUUUCGUUGAGGCUGCGAACAAUAUUGAAGGAUUCUUUUCUUUAGUCAUAGGCUUCAAAGUGUAUGCGUUAUAUAAAACUGGAAAGUGAAGGAGGACUUACACCUUCGUUAGUUUAAAUUAAUAACAUAAUACAUAAAUAUUUUUGUAAUUGGAUUCCAUUGAAAGUUUACUCUUAUCGACUUUGUUUACAGAAAAUAAAAAUAUAGAUUUGUCACAAAAAUGUAAACAUGCUUAAUCUAUGAUUUAGCGAGACGAUAAAAGUAAAUAUUGCGGUUUUUAUCUACGUAUUCGAUUCGAAAAUAUCUAUAAUAACUAUUUGGUAAAGCUAUAAUAUUUCCAGAAAAUUUUAUAUGCUAAUAUCGAAGAUUUACAUUUAUCUCUUAAUUCGAUUUUGUUAAUAUCCAUAAUUAUUAAAUUUUAUUCUAUAUUAGUCGAAAAGGUCGGUUAAAUCCUAAACAUUUUAUGGCUAUAUAUAGGAUCUACUACUCGCUUUCAACUUUAACGAAAUCUAUUAAGAUAUUAUACUUUUGUGCGUUAAAAAAUGUCGUCAAGCAGAAAAAGCAAAAAUUCACUAACUUUCAUCGAUGAUAUCAAUCCUAUUCACGAUCAGAAUAAGAUUAAGGUGUUAAUCCUGAGGCUGUGGAAGGCGUAUCAGAGAGAUGCGGGCAAUACAAUCGAGAUGGUUUUGGUGGAUGAAAAGGUUAUGAUUUGAUUAUUAUUUGAGAUUAUGUCUUCUAUAUCAUGUGUUUGCUUUGUUUUUGUAUUGUAUAAGUAUGCUAAGCAUAUUCUCUUUUUGGUUUUAAGUAGGGUUCAAGAAUCCAUGCAACUGUUGAAGACAAAAAUAUCAAAAAGUUCGACAGUGUCCUGAAAGAAGGUGAUGUCGUUACCUUAAAUCCUUUCAAGCUCAUCAAGUACUCUGGCGAUUAUAAGAGCAACAGUCUUUCUUUCAAGAUUUUGUUUUACCGAACAACCCAGGUCAAACCAUGUGAUGAUUUUCCAAAGGAAGUCCCUGAGAAGUAUUUUGUGGAAUUUGGUGAUGUUUUAAAUGGUUCACGAGACACGCGUGUUUUCGUUGGUAGGUCUGGUUUAAACAAAAUAUCUUAAUUAGUUUGAUAUUUGUUUAUCUUUACCGCUGUUAAACUAAAUAACGAUACGUAUUGUUGUAGAUGUUAUUGGUCAGAUUGUCAACGUUGGACCGAUAGAGGAUAUAAAAAUCAGAGGAAAGAGUACUCCAAAGCUCGACGUCGAGUUGCGUGAUCGUGGGUAUGUUAAUUAUGAUUAGUCAUUAUAAGAGUUUGGUUUUCUGUAUGCUUUGUUUUUUUGACGUGUUUAUCACGUAAAUAGGAACGUACGGUUGAUAUGUACUCUAUGGGCGGAUUUUGCUAAGCAAGUUAAGGUUUAUACUGAAGCAAAUCCAGCGGCUGUUGUUUGUGUGAUUAGGUGUGCUCAGGUUAAGGAGUGGAAAGGUAUAUAUGUUGGUCGAAUAAACUUCAAAUAUUCCGAUGACUGUUCUAAUUUUAAUUGUUAACUUAUUUAGGUAAUUGGACUAUAUCUAAUGCUAUGGGCGCAACACGUGUAUUACUCGAUCCUCCAGGCGUUUUUGUUGAUGAGUUCAGAUCAGGGUAAUAGACAUAAUAUUGUUUAUUUAUUAUGUUUUGUGUUAUUGUAUAUGUCUGUAUAGAUAUUAAUAUAGAAUUUUUUUUGUAGGCUACCAACCGAUGGCGUGGUCUUGACUAAUCAUGAUAAUAGUGAAUUGUUUGCUGGAUCAACUGUAUCGAUACGUGAUCAAUUCUUGGUGAAGAAUCAUAAACGAACUGUCCGAGAUAUAGUCGAGGCGUUAGAGGUAGACACCAUAAAUUUAUGCGUUGUUCUUUAUAUUCAUGCGUUUUAAAGGGUAAAAAAAAAAUUUGUUUGUUAAUUAGAACUGGUUGGUAUUUUAAGUCUGACCUCUAAAAUCUAUAGGAGGGUAUGUGUGUGACCAUGGUCACUGUUGGAUCCGUCGAGCGAACGUCGAAAUGGUAUUACGUUUCGUGUAAGAUGUGUAAUAAGAGUGUCGAGCCUUAUCCAGAAAAUUCUGGUGAUGAUGGAAAACCACCUCUUUACUAUUGCGGCGUUUGUGACAAGGAUGUAUCUGCGGUAGUGUUCAGGUGAUUGUGUCUUUUGAAUGCAUUGUUUAUGUCGUCUUGUGCAUGUUAAUACCGUCAUACUAUGUUGGUGUGUGUAGUUUUAGAGCUCGGUUGUUCAUUAUUUGUCCUGGAAUAACUGUUUGUUUUAGGUACCGAUUGGUUCUGGAGGUUUUUGAUGCAACUAACUACAAGGCAAGGUUUUUGUUGUUUGAUGCAAUGGGUAGUACCCUCCUUCGUAGAACUGCACAGGAGCUCUAUAAUGCAGUUUCUGAGGUAAUGGAUUCGCUUUUGCUAUUGUUUGUUAUGUUGUUUAUUCUAUUUUUAACGAUUAUUUGUUCGUAUGUUUAAUCUAUUUGCAUGGUUUAAUGAUAGAAUGACCCCUCUAUACUUCCCUCGGAGAUUGGGGCAUUGGUCGGGAGGCGGUUUCUUUUUAAAGUGAGUAUAGGUGGCGAUAAUCUGAAAUCGGAUCGGUCGCAUUACGUGGUACAGUUAUUUUCUGAAGAUGAUGAGCUGAUUAAAGACUAUUCUGAUGGUCUAUACUCCGAGGUUCGUGUUUUGUAGCUUGGGUUGUUCUGUUUAUAUGAAACUGUAUAUAUGUGUUAAGUUUACUAAAUAUUCGGUGUUUUGCUUUAUAUAUACUUAAUAUUGGUGUUUCUAAGGUUUUGGUGCCUUUGCCCGUAACGCCUAUUACAAAGGAGGCCAGUGUUCGCCGUGGCGGUGUAUCCGUCGAGAAUCCAAAACCUCCUGCGAAGAAAAUCAAAAUCGAGGGCAAGAAAGAAGAGAGUUUUGCCACAACUUAAAGAAGAAUUUGGUUUUAUAUAUAUCUAGAUUUAGCGGUUUUAUUUAUAUUUAAAUAUCAUAGCAGACUUUACAAUACAUUGUGCGACUUUAUGUUCGAUUUUUGUUGUGACUGAGUCUGGAUGUUAUUUGGUGUUUUCGUUAUUUGUUUUUUUUGUUUUUUUAUACCUUCCCGAGUGUCAUAUUUAGAUAUUGUUCGUUUUUUGUUUUCUAUGAUCGGUCUGAUGUUGUUUGGCAAACGACAAACGCGACGUUUCUGCUUAUACACGUGCAAGUGUUUUCGCUAGGGCUGAAUAUAUUCUAUACGCAACUAAUACAUGCAUUUUUUGUUAUACUAAUGAUAUGUGUUAGGUGUUAUUGUUUGACGCCAAUGUAUUCACUUAGAAAUAUUGUUAUAGAUUAAGAGUCGCAUGUAGGUAACAUGUGUUUAGCAAGACGUGGAUAUUAUUAUAUAUGUAUUAUUAUAAAAUAUUGGAUUUCGUUUUAUGUCGUAUAUAACAGUUUCACGUUAUUUGUGAUAUAUUUGGUAUCUGAUUUAGCAUGCUGAUUUAUAAUUAGUUAGGGUUAUGUGAGCAUUCACGAGCUCUAUAUAUUUGCACGUUUCAUAUUAUGCUUAUAUGGUCUACUAACGUAGGUUGAUAUCCCGGCCGUUUCUCUGAGCAACGCAUAAAUUGGUAGUUCUGUUGUAUUGAGAUAUGUAACAUUAACAAUUCUAAAAUAUUAAAUAUUCGACGGAAUUAGAAUGUUUCUUUUUAAGUUUACUGUUUGUGUAACAAUAUGUUAGAGUUAACAUUUUAGGUAUUGAUAGAUUUGAUCAUAUCUCCUAUUAAUAUAGUGGUAUGUUUGUUAUUAUCCAUAAUAGAAAAUAUUAUUUUCCUUGGUUUUAAGUCGCUCAAUAUUUUACGUAAAAAUAAAGGUCUUAUUGGGUACCCUAAUACCUAGCUUAUAUAUACGUCUAUAAAUAAUACAUGCAUUCUUGUGUUAAUCAUUGCGAACGCUCGUGUUGAAAAGAUGGAGGUAGUCGUUAGUAUUUUUACUUGAUGUUAGUCUGAUAUAGUUUAUUGGUUCUGCGUUAAAUUGGCUUUCUCUUUCCGAAAAUAACAAUCAUGUUGAUUGAUUAUUAAUAUGUGAAUGUUUUGAUCGGACAGGUUAACAAGCAAAACACUAACUCAACCCAUAUUAGCCAGACGGAUGAAUGUAUCGUAGCUAUCCAACAAGCGGCUUCGUGGGUGUUGUCGGUCGAUAGAUUGCGUGGUUUAUUUGUUAUGCUGAUGGAUGUUUUCUGCGAGGCAGAUCCGUUGUCGGUCUGGGAUGCUACCUGGGAUGUAUUGUUUAAAGAUGUGUUGUUUCCACAACAAAUUAUUUUUAACGAUCAUGGUAAAUGUACACCGUUAGUUUUUGCCAAUAUUUACAAAUAUCGUCAGAUGGAUAAUGUUUUAUUAUUUUGUUCUAGAGCCGGAGUAUGCCUACAAUGAAAUCCAAAACUUUGAGACAUUUAUGCGUAAGGAAAACUCUACGUUCAAUGUCUAUGCGGAAUUACGGAAGAGAGUCGCUUUAGCUGGUGGUCCUACAUGUGAUCCUUCGUUGGAAUAUAAGAUGCGUGAUCAGUUUAACAAUCUUAAGAUAGAUUAGAUUGUUUUCAUCGUUUUGAUUUAUUUCUGUUUAUUUUAGGGUUUUAUAAACUAUGUUUCUGCUUGGUUCUCUCUAUACUAUUAUAUUUGUUUCGGCAAAAUAAUAGAAUAUUUUUUUAUAGACGGUGUUUUGAACUAUUACGCUGCAAUGAAGAUUUUAUUUUAUUAUUCCUGUAUUGCGUUCUCUUAACAUUUUUUUUUUUAUUGACGGUGUGUCUUUAUAAUUACGCAAUGAGUUUUAAGCACCAUAAAACGCGAUAGUUAAAACACAUGGUUUCUUCUUCGUUGACCGUCAAACAACUUAUGCUAGAUGAAACAACGUCCUAUAAUGUGAGAUGCAUGAUAGCUGCUGUAUGUUGAGUAGCUUCUUUAAUUUGCUAUAUGGUUUCUUAUGAUUUUAUACAGAUCUCACGGUUAUGUUAUCUAUUCAUUUUAUCGCCAAGUGAUAUUUCAUUUUAUCUCCAAGUGAUAUUUUAUGACCAUAAUUAUGAGGUUUAACAAGCCAUGGAAAAUUAACUUUCUGUCAUUAUAACUUGUAUUUAUGAGUUGAGAUUAAUUUAAAAAGUAAAAUUCGUUGUGCUCGAAUCACAUAUAUGAUUAAUACUAUAUAACAUAUCAUUAAAAUAUAAUAUUUCCAGUUUUCAGUUUACCUUUUAUAUUUAUUUCCGUGAGAUUUUCAUCUUCUCUCAAAGUUAUGUAUGGGUAUUACCAAAUGCGUUUGCUGUUAAAGUAAAUAUUUUAUAAAAUUCCUUCUUUUUUUUGGAUACAAUCAGAAUAAAAAGUAAAAUUUGAAUAUAUCUAGAAAAUAUAUUGAUUAGUAAUAUAUAUCGCAAUAUUAAAAUAUAAUAUUUCUAGUUGUUCUAUUAAAGAAUACCAUAGUAGAUUAUUGUUAUAUAUAAUUUUCCGUUAGUUUCCUCUGUGUUCACGAUCUUCUAGGUUUUGGAGACAAUGAAACGUGGUAGAGGUCAGAAAUAAGAUCGCAAAGCUUGCAUACGUUAUAUAUUUUAUAUUGUCGUAUAACCAUAAUCCUUUUUUAUAAAACAUUCUUGUCUAUCACUCUGAUUUGUUUUCAUUAUGCCCGUCCAAAGGUGAUCAUCGACGUAUACAUCGCCGUGUUUAUAAUAACAACUUCGACUAUUUGCUCGAUGUACCCAAGGAUGGUGCGAAAAAGGCAAGAAAUUAUCGUAUGGAAAAACUCAGAGCACGAAGGACUGCCUUCCGUAAUAGAUUAUCGGGUUAAGUCUAUUAUCUUUAAAAAAUUUAUUAAUUUAAUUAAUAAAAACGCCCACACACGCGUAAUUAAGUUGUAGUGAUAAUAUAUAUUCAUAAUUUCUAGGCAUGGAGUCGAUUAAUCGAACACGUGUUAUCGCGGCAUAUGAAAACAUGAUAUCUGAUGAAUUACGUGCGUUAUUGAAUUCACGACCUCCUAAGGAUGUUUGUUGUCGUGCGAGAGCGCGCCGUGUAGCAAUACUUAAAUUAAGACGGAUAAAAGCGAGGACAAGACCACCAGAAACCGGUACGAUCCUUUUAUAUUAAGUUUUUAUUCUCGAAAUUGUACGUGUGAUUAACAAAUAAAAAAAUGUUAUAUAUAAGGGUUGGUGUUGCCGAUUUACGAAGAUGAUUACGUGCAUUUCCUCGCAACCGAUUCGGAUUCUGAUCAUGGUGAUAGGGAGGACCAAACAGACGACGAUAAUGCAAUGGAUUAUGAUUUUGUUGAACAUCUCGAUAACGCCGAUGAGUGUAUUAUGGAACAGGAAGGGUUUGGAUCCAUACCGAUCAUAAAUGUGAAACCUGGAUUAACAGAAAAUGGUACUUACUAUGGUUGUUUUUUUUAUAAUCUUUUAAAAAAUAUAAUUGAUAUUAUUGUGUACAUGAGUGCUUCUUGUGUCAGGUUAUUUUGAUGAUGGAGAUCCGUUUUACACCUGUCAAAAUUGCGGUGCUUAUAUGUGGUUUGGCGAGCGUAUUAACAAACGUGGAGCUAAAAAUAGGCCUAUAUUUUCUAUGUGUUGCAUGAAGGGUAAAGUGGAGCUGCCUAAACUAAAAAAUCCUCCACCGGUGCUUAUGUCGAUGUUGUAUGGCAAGGAUGAGACAAGCAAAAAUUUCCGUGCUUUAAUUAGAGCAUACAAUAUGAUGUUCUCAUUCACGUCGCUUGGUGGUCAAAUUGAUAAUUCCGUGAACCAUGGGAAUGCACCGUAUGUGUUUCGCAUGCAGGGUCAAAAUUAUCAUCGCAUCGGUGAACUUUUGCCUGGCCCUUCCAAAAGUCCUGCUUUCUCGCAGCUCUAUAUUCAUGAUACCGUAAACGAAGUCUCGAAUAGGAUGGGUGUUAUGGGGUGAGUUGUUUAUUGUAAUAUAUUUUUUAUAUUAUGUCCACGAAUUAAUUUCCGUUUUUUGUUGUUUUUAAUUGUUUUAGCGAGAAAGGACCGGGUAAGCAAAUAAAGAAGAGUAUCGUUAAGACUUUGAAGGAUAUGUUAGAUGCUAACAACCCACACGUCAUCGCGUUUAGAUCAGCUAGAGAUAGAUUAGCACAAUGUGAAGAUACCAGCGGCUUUAAGUUGAUUUUGAAAAAUCAUCGAGAUAGUGACGGUAGAGUCCAAAAUAUACCUACGACUGACGAGGUUGCUGGGCUUAUCGUGGGAGAUAUAAACCCUAAACCGCGUGAUGUAGUGCUUCAGGCUAAUUCUGGAGGGUUUCAGCGUAUAAGUGAGCUGCACCCAUCCUACCUCCCUCUACAGUAUCCUUUGCUUUUUCCUUACGGCGAGGAUGGAUUUAGGUUAGGUAUCGACAUUGGAUUCAUCGAUAAAGGCGGUCUAAAAAGAACAAAAGUGACGAUGAGAGAAUUCUUUGCGUAUCGCAUUCAAUCGAGACGAGGUGAAUCUCCUACUAUUGUUAUGUCCAGGAGAUUAUAUCAGCAGUUCCUGGUUGAUGCGUAUACGAUGAUCGAAAGCAACAGGCUUCGUUAUUUGUUUUUUAACCAGAAAAAUCUCCGCUGUGAAAGCUAUUCGCAGAUUCUUAAAGUUUCUAAGAAAGGAAAUAAAAAUCUUUCCAGAGAAGGUAAUAAAGUUAUGAUACCAUCUUCUUUCACCGGAGGGCCUAGGUACAAGACGCAGCAUUAUCUUGAUGCGAUGGCUACUUGCAAGUAUUAUGGCUUUCCUGAUCUAUUUAUCACUAUAACUUGUAAUCCUGCGUGGCCCGAGAUUACUAGGUAUCUGGAAAAAUACAACUUAAAACCCAAGGAUAGGCCCGACAUCUGUUGUAGGCUUUUUAAGCUGAAACUCGAUAAUCUCAUUCAUGAUCUUACCCAUAAUAAGAAGCUGGGAACUGUCUCUUCUGGUAAGAUUGACCAAACUUUUAUAGCGAUAUUUGUGUCUCGCAUAAAUUAUGUGUUAUUAUUAUAUAUAUAGAAUUUUAGAAUCUUAAAUUUUUAACCUCUUAUUCUGUAAUUUCUUGUAUAUUUUACAGUUUUAUACACGAUUGAGUUCCAGAAAAGGGGUCUACCACACGCACAUAUGGUCCUGUUCCUAGCUCCAGGAUCAAAACUUCCAACUACUGAUGAUAUUGAUAAACAUAUUAGUGCAGAAAUUCCUGAUCCAGAGUUAGAGCCGUUUUUGUAUGAAGUUGUAGCAGAUAUGAUGGUGCAUGGUCCGUGCGGAGUUGUUAAUCCCGGCUGUCCGUGUAUGCAAAAAGGCAGAUGCACCAAAUACUACCCUAGGCCUUACAGUGAUCAGACUAAGGUUGAUGACGAGGGGUAUCCUAUUUAUAGACGGCGAGCGGAUGGCAAAUUCAUCGUGAAGCAAAAAUUUAAUGUCGAUAAUAGGUACAUCGUUCCAUAUAACGCUUAUUUAUCGAAAAGGUAUCGUGCUCAUAUUAAUGUCGAGUGGUGCAAUCAUUACGAUCUAUCAAAUAUCUCUUCAAGUAUAUCCACAAAGGACCCGAUUAUAUCAGAGCAAAAAUACAAAAGGACGGUCAAGAAGAGGAAGUCCAUGACGAAAUAAAACAGUAUUAUACAUGCAGGUGCCAAAUGAGACUAAUUGUUUAUAAAAUGUUAUGUUAUCGUCUUAGACUAAAUACUGUUGUUGGGAGUUUUGAAAUUAUUGCCUCAUUCUCAUUAUUUUUUAUGUCGUUUCGUUUAUAGGUAUAUAUCUGCAUGCGAGGCCACUUGGAGAAUAUUAGCUUUUGCUACACAUUACCGGUCUACACCAGUAGAAAAACUUACAUUUCAUCUUCCUGGUGAAGAGGUCAUUGUUUUCGAUCCGAAUGAUCCUGUUGAUGAGGUUAUAAGUCGUAAAUCUAUCGGCCGUACAAUGUUCUUGGCUUGGAUGGAAUGUAACAAAGCGUAUCCAGAAGCCAGAGAAUUGACAUAUGCGGAUUUUCCAUCUAAGUUUGUUUGGAAAAGCAGAGAGCGUGUCUGGAAACCCCGAGUAAAAGGAUUCUCGAUAGGAAGGAUUAUGUAUGUUUCUCCUUCCCUUGGAGCCAAGUAUUAUCUAAGGCUCCUGUUAAAUUCUGUGACAGGUCCUACAUCUUACGAUGACAUCAAAACGGUAAAUGGCAUUAUAUAUCCUGAGUUUGUUGAUGCUUGCAAUGCACUGGGGUUGCUCGCAGACGACCGAAUAUUUAUAGAUGCUAUAAAAGAAGCGAGUUAUUUCGUGAAAGGUUUACCCUUGCGAAAAUUAUUUGUGAUGAUGAUCGUCGCCGGAGAUAUAGUAAAUCCUUUGCGAGUUUGGGAGGAGACUUGUGAUCUACUGUCGGAAGGUAUCUUAUUCGAACGUAGAAAAGUGUCGAGGAAUCCGGGUAGGUGGAUCAUUUCUAUUGUUUAUGAAAUAUAUAUAGCUGUCUUAUUAAUUGAAUAGUAAUAAUAACAUGUUUCGUGUGGUUUGCAGCUUUGACGCUUUCUGAUAAACAAAUAAAAAAUUUCACGUUGGCGUCUAUUGAACUCUUGCUGCGGGAUAACGGGAAGACUCUGUCUACUAUCGAAGGAUUUCCGCAGCCGGAUGAUAUAUCUCUUGAUACGAGUACAAAUCGGCUGUUGUUGGAUGAGCUUGGUUAUAACCACGAAAAAGAAGCGAAAGAACACGUGAGACUCCUAGCCACGAUAACGGAUGAACAAAAAGUAGUUUACGAUGAAGUGAUGAAGGCAGUUUUAGAUAAAAAAGGCGGUGUCUUUUUUCUAUAUGGAUACGGGGGCACAGGCAAAACGUACGUCUGGAGUAUUUUAUCGGCUGCUAUAAGGUCUAUGGGACUUAUUGUUCUUAAUGUAGCAUCGAGCGGGAUAGCCUCUUUGCUGAUGCCUGGAGGUAGAACUGCACAUUCAAGAUUUUCGAUACCUCUAACGGCUGAUGAAUUUAGUAUGUGUGCGAUGAAACCAUCAUCCCAUCUCGGUGAGUUGGUAAAACAGGCUAGCUUAAUUGUAUGGGAUGAGGCUCCUAUGAUGAGCAGACAUUGUUUUGAGACGUUGGAUCGUAGUAUUCGGGAUGUUAUGAGAUGUAAUACUGAUCGGCCGUUCGGCGGUAAAACAAUUGUCUUUGGAGGAGAUUUUAGACAAAUAUUGCCAGUAAUCAGUGGUGCAGGUAGAGAGGAAACCGUUUUGGCCACUAUUAAUUCGUCGUAUAUCUGGGAAAGUUGCAGGCUGUUGAGGCUAACCAAGAACAUGAGACUUUUAGAUGGUAAUUCGGAUGAUGCUGCACAGGAACUCAGAGAUUUUGCAAAAUGGAUUCUUGACAUAGGAGAUGGUACGAUCAACGUUACAGACGAUGGCGAUGCUGAUGUGGAGAUUCCUGAUGAUUUGCUGAUUUCUAAAUGUGGUGAUCCUAUCAAAGCCAUCGUACAUAAUGUUUAUGGGUCAACGUUGGUCAAGGAUAAGGAACUUUCUUUUUUCCAAGAAAGGGCUAUUCUUACUCCGAGAAAUAAUGACGUGUGCGUGAUCAACGACUAUGCGCUAUCACACAUGGAAGGUAGAAAAUUAAUGUUAAAACUUUUAUAUAUUGAUUUAGAGUAUGUUUACUGUUGUUUAUUAUUUUAGUUUGAUAGUGGAUUUAAUGUUGUUUAUUAUUUUAAUUUUCAUUCAUGUUGACGCCCCGGGGUUGUUAGGUGAAGAGAGAGUCUAUCUUAGUUGCGAUAGUAUUGAAUUAUCGGAUGCGGACAAAAGAGAUAAUAUGGUUUAUACACCCGAGUUUUUAAACAGCAUCAAAGUCUCGGGGUUGCCAAAUCACAGGCUGGUAUUGAAAGUCGGAGUUCCAAUCAUGGUUCUACGGAAUAUUGAUCCUAAGAAUGGACUUUGUAAUGGUACAAGAUUACAAGUGACUCAGUUAGCGAAUCAGGUUAUAGAAGCUAGAAUUAUUACUGGUACGAGAGUUGGAGACAUAGUUGUGAUUCCUAAAAUGUACUUGAGUCCCACCGAGACGAGGUUCCCAUUUAGAAUGAAACGUUGUCAGUUCCCGAUUGCGGUUGCUUUCGCAAUGACGAUUAAUAAAAGUCAAGGUCAGACUUUGACUAAUGUAGGUUUGUAUCUACCUAAGCCUGUCUUUUCGCACGGGCAAUUGUACGUUGCACUUUCGAGAGUCACAUCCAGGAGAGGCCUCAAGAUACUGAUAACAGAUGAUAGGGGACAGCCUCAAAAGACUACUAAAAAUGUUGUUUAUCACGAAGUAUUCCAGAACAUUCGUUAGUUUGAUUCUAGGAUUUUUCUCUCCUUUUACUACCUGUUUUGGGCUUUCAGCUUACGACAAUUUUUUUGUUUUAAUUAUAUUUUUUAUAAUACAUUUUGGGUUUUAAAUAAAAGGAAAUUCCAUCGGAUAUUGCCAUCUUUAAAUAAAAAUGCUAAGAAAAUAAAAUGGAAAAUGUCACGCAAAAUGUUAUUAAACAAAAAAAGGGUUGCGACGGUACGUGUCUUGACAAAGGAAGGAAAAUCGAACAUAAAAACAAAAGGGCUGCGACGUUUCAUUGUCUAGGUUAGUUCCCUAUAUAUACUUAGUUGUUAAGCGUUCUUGUGGGCAGACCAUUAUCUUACGCCGCAUAACGAAUUUUCGCAUAGGAGCAGAUAUGUCUUCUCGGUUCACAUCGUCUUCUAUUGAACGUUACAACGAUUUCUCUCGGUUGAACCCUGCAAUUGUUGGAUGGCAUGUUCACGUUAAGGUUUUGCGUCGCUUCCACACCGAUGACUAUAUAUCGAAGGGUGGGCUAGGGUUACUUCUGGUUGAUGAUAAGGUAUUGGUUCGAAAUAAGAUUUGGCUUUUCUUUAGAUAUGUAUUAGCCUUUGUUGUUAUGGAUGUUUGCGGUUUCCCGACUUUUGUGAUUUUGGUUUUGUGAUGCAGGGUAAUCAGAUCGAAGCGCUUAUUUGUUCGCCGUUGACUUUUCAUUAUUCAACGUUUAUUGAAGAAGAUGAAUUCUACGCUAUUAUGAAUUUCAGAGUUGUGGAGAAUUCGGGAUUCACUAAACUAACAAGGAGUGACUUUAAGAUAAUGUUUUAUGAUGGUACUAUCGUUAAAGAAGCGUCUUCGUUUUCUCAAGAUGACUAUAUUGUCGCUACACCUUUUGGUGCUAUUUUCAAUGGAUAUCAUGAUACUUCUUAUCUCAUAAGUAAGUUUUGUUUGUUAUGCUUUACAGAACGUUCAGCGGUUUUAGUUAUUUAUUUUCCUUAUGUAGAAAUCUUGAUAUUUGCUUGUAGCUUUGAUUGGGCGGGUCGUCGAGUCGAGUGAUCUUACGAACGUGACCGAUGAACCAUCUGUCAUAGGGGGAUACAGAUACUCAUUCACCAUUGAAGAUCAAGAGUACGAUUUCUUUCAUCGUUGGUUAUUUGAAAUUACAAUAUAAUAUAUUUAUUGAAAUCAUGAUAUAAUAUGUUUAUCGAUUCACAUACAUUUUUAUUUUGAUUAAUAAAUAGGAAGAAGACCCUCAAGUGUUGUGCAUAUGGAGGAGUGGCGAUAGAGUGCCAUGAUCGGUUUAGAAAUGUGAUUGGUACGGAUGUUACGUGUGUUCUUCGCUGGUGGAAAGUUUAUCAACUCCUUGAUGGAUGGAGGCACGUUCGUAUCUACAGCCAUCCCCCCUACUCGAAGAUUCUGGUCCAGAGCGAUGCCGAUAACGUCGAGCACUCUUGAUAAAUUAGUAUUUAUCAUAUUUAAUAUGUGCUUUAUUUGUUUCCUUAGAUUAUGCAAUGUUGCGUUUGGUUUUAAAUUAUGACAUAUUACUUAUUUUUUAUUAUUAUUAAUAGAAACUAUCUUAUUAUGAAAGAUGCACUUUGUUAUGUACCGAUACAGUGAUAUCUUUGGUAAAUAUUCACUUCUUAUACUUUAUGCAAAAAAUCCCCCCCCAAAAAUAGUAAAUAUGUUAGAUUUAGCUAAAAUUGAAAAAUCUGCAAAAUAUUUUCGAAUCUCUGUUUAAGACUUAUUACUUUUUUAUACUUCUGAUAAUUCCGAAUCUAAUGUUAAAUAAUUGGAAAAUCCGGAUCUAUAUAUAUAUAUAUAUCGAUUUAUACUUGGCUUCGGUGUUUAUAACCACCAGGAUCGAUGGAAUCGUUUAGAUGUCAUGGGUGGCCUUUUGACGUUAUGACCUAUAACAGAAAUAUGUUCACUAUAUCAUCUCUGAAUCCGUUGAUCCAUGAAUGGAGUACUUGUGUUAAGAUUUUGCAUGUUUGGCACGAACUCGACGAUGUUAGUAAUGCACUAAACCUUAUUUUGAUGGAUAAUCAGGUUGGUAAUUCUUCAAAAUAAACUGUAAUCGGUAUUUGUGUUAAGAUUUUGUAUUGAGAUGUUUUAAUGUUUUGUAAUUAAAUCAGGGUACGAAAAUCCGAGCCGUCAUUCGCGAAAGUUUGGUAACUAGGUUUUCGCCAUUACUGAUUGAGGGUCUCUGGAUGAUAUUAAGAAAAUUUUCGUUAAUCCCUGAUGUCGACUUAGUCAGAACUACUCCACAUAGAUUCAAGAUUCAGUUCUCUCCUGAUACAUGUGUCGACUAUCUUAAUUACCUCGCAUGUGAUUAUGAUUUCUUUAACUUUGCGAGAUUUCGUGAUAUUCGUACGGGUAUAAGUAACCCGUAUAUCUGUGUAGGUGGGAUUAUAUUCGUUUCUCUUCUGGUUAGAUUUUUCCCAUAACUACUCUAAUCAUUACGUUGUAUUGUUUUCUUUAGAUUUGGUCGGGGUUGAUAAUGUGAAUGACAUACAACUCGUGCAGAUGGUGGGCUCUUCGAAAGAUAUUUCUGUGGUUUAUUUUGACCUAAUUGAUACAGAGUAUUGAUUCUUAGUCUUAUACAGAUAUAUAAUUUUGUUUUCUCUCAACGAAUUUGUCAUAAUAAUGUCAACUUUGGUAUAAAUUUGUAGGCAUACGCGUUUGAGUAUCAGACUGACCGGUGAAACCGCCGUUAGAUUUCAUAGACAGUGGAAAGUUAACACCGACGAUGUCGUGAUUUGUAACAUCAGAUUUGCCAAGAUAGUGGCUACGUCUAAUCGUAUGUGGCAUUGCACAAACAUUGGUUGCUCUAAAAUUAUGGUGGAUGCUCCGCUGCCUGGUGUUGUAGAACUAAAAGAAUGUGGGCUGAUUACUGCGGGAGUCCUAGGACGGGGGUCAAAGAAGCUCGAUUGGCCUAAUUUUGUAUGAUUCUGUAUUUUUCGUUUGGGUGGUUUAUUUUCAGUUUACUGAUUACAGAGUCGGCAUUUGUAAUCGGUUUUAACAUUUCGAAAGAUUGUUAGACAUUUCGCUUUUAGUGAGUUUUGGUAAUUUAAUCUAAACUUAAUUUAUUAAUCUUAUGGAUAAAUUCUAUAUCGUUUAAUCAAUAUUCGGUUUUGUUAAUUUUCUGAUUUAGUUUUUAAUAUAAGAAUUUUCCAUUUUGUAUUUCGGACCGUUAGAUCGAGCUAAAAACAACCAGAUAAAAACUACAACCAUCCGAUCUUAACUUUGACACUUACCUCUGCCUUCCCUAUUAUAAUAAUCAACUUUAUUUACGAGCGUCAAAUUAACAUCUUAUUAGACGCGAGUAAUAUUGGCCGUCCGAUCAACACGUGUCUAUAAAAAACAUGGGCCAGUCCAUUAAUCUCUUUGAAAUCAUGGUCCAUUCGUUUAUAUAGUCGGGCUUUGGGAUCAAUUAGUUCGGGCUUUGAUACAUUUGAUCCCCGUCGCCGUCCGAUUGAGAUCUCCUCUCAUUCUCUACCGUCUGAUUUGGUUACUAACAUGGUCAAACCUUAUUAAAGAAUGUACUACUUUCCAAAAUACAAAAUAAGAUAAUAAGUAUAUUUCUAUAUUUAUAUAAAAUAGUAUGUAGAUCCAUAGUAUAAAAUCGUAAAUUUUCUUCUUACAAAUGUAUAUAUAUAGUGUUAUUUCGUUUUUGUAUUAGCGAUGAUAUCGUAUAAUAUCGUUGUUAGACGUAUCCAUUUAGGUAUAUUUAACUUAUAUUAUGCGAUAAAUACAGAAAUAUUCCAAACAAUUUUGAUUUGUAAUUGUCUAGAUAAUGGCAGAUCUCUAUAUUUUUCUUAAACCAUAACAAACUGUACAACAUGCUCUUCUUCUAUAAAUACUGAUUGUGUCAUGGUCGAAAAUUGUAGACAUUCGUUUAUAGUUGUUGUAAAAGUUCUACAAUGAAAUAUACGGUUAUAAUUUAUGCUCUGUUUACUGUGUAGUAUUGUUUCUGUGUGAUUUGUUUUUUAUUGUUCGUAUGAUUGGUAUCUAAUAUGGUUAAUUUAAUUACUGGAAUAGGGAUCCGGAUACGGUGAUGGGGUCCUUUCUCAAUUUCUGGUACGUAUUGAUUGUUUAAAACUAACUGUUUCUUAUGAGUUUAUAUACUAAUUAUUAUUUCUUAUCUAACAUUAAUUGAUAAUUGUAUUAUUAUCUUAUUUACAAGGAUGUUACAUCCGAUUCUUCGUGUAUCUCUGACGUCGAGGUAUAUAUUCCUUUGAUCAUGUGUGUUAGUUUUUUCUUUUUGUUUAUUCUUUUAAUCUUUUAAAUCUAACUUUUAUAUUUGACGUUUAUACACAGGAAAACGUCAAAGAGGUAGGCUACAAACAUGUUUGUUUCGUCUCCAUGUUGAUAGCGAAUUCGUAUUCUCAUACAAAUAGUUUUAAUACAUUGUUUCUUUCUUAUGUAGUAUCUCGAUGAUGUGUCUGCUGCAGUUGAUCUUUCUUCUGUCCUGGUAAAUAUCUGACACGGUCGUUAAUUAGUAACGUUUUUAUCGUCUCUAUAUAUUGAUGUUAACAACACAAUGUUGAAUUUUAUAUUUAUUUGAAUUCCUAGCAUGUCGAGGCCAGUGCUGCAGUUCUAUCGUUAGAUGAGGUAAUUAUUGAAUUACUUGGUUACUAUGUAGUUGUAUAUUAUUAAUAUAUAAUGUAUGAUUCAACUACUUUAUCUUUAUCUAACGCUAUACUGUUUGUAAAUAACAAGUUCAAGGAUGUGCUUUCGGAUCUAGGUGCAUUGUCGGCCGAUAAAGAUUACGUUUUGGCUGUACUUUACCUGGUAUAUUAUUAUUGGGUUUUUAUUUAUAAUAUUACGCAUUUUAUUCCUAUUUAUACUCUAUAUAUAUUGACAAAUUAUAAUCCGUAAAUAUUGACAAAUAUACUAUAGGAAUCUCGGACACAGUUGAAGUCUCUAUACUUGAGAUAUCUUUUGUCCAGAUAUCUACAGGUUGGUAUAUGUUGUCAAUUUUUAUAUUCGAUAUGUAUGUUUCGAAGCUUAAACAGAAAAAUAAAAAGAAAAAAACUUAUAUCUUCGUUGAUUUGUAUAGGAGGCAAAAUCAUUGGACCCUCUGAUGCAGACUAAAAAGGUUAAUUGGUAACUCUAUAUAGUGUGCAGUUUGAUUUAUUAUUUGGUAACAUUCGUUCCGAUUUACGUGUUUGAUAAAUGUUGGUAAUAUAAGUUAUAUUGCUUAUACUUUAUUUUGUAUAUCUUCCAGAAUUAUGCUGACUUGCGCAUGAAGUAUUUUGGUGAUGGGGUGAGAUAAUUUAUAUCUAUCUUACUAAUAGUUGAUGUACAUAUAUUAUAUAUAUAGUCAGUUUGUAUUCAUGUAAUAAGAUACUAAUGUGUUGUCUAUUAUUAUCUUGAAGCGUUUUGUUGCUGCUGGUAUGAAGCCAUACCCGUCUGACGGUCUUGAGUGUGAUGAGAUUUUAAUGAAUACCAAUGAAGAUACUCUUGAGUGUAUUAAUGAUAUUGUCAUCAGUAGUUGGCGUUUAUGCCCGGCGUAUCUACGCCUUCGUUUUGUUGAAUCGUUGAUACUCUAUAAAAGCAUUAAUGUCCACACGGUAUGGGACGCUUGCUAUCGAGUUUUGAGUGGUGAUGUGUUGGCUGAACAGAAAAUCGCGCGUAAUAAUCCUGGUAUUAAUCUAUCAUCAAUACUAAAUACUUAUAGAUGUUGUUUGACUUGAUAGUUGUGUCUCAAAAAGGUGUUGCUUUUUAUUACACUAGGGUUGGAGUUAUCCGAUGUGCAAUUAGAGUGGUAUGGUUUUCGUGUUAUGCGUAAGGUGAUGGGUGAUCUUGGAUUCCAUCAUGCCGGUUUUGAAGGUGUGCGUCUUGGUAUAGUUCGCCGACUCUUAACUUACAAAUGUGAUGACAUGUCAAUGUGAUAUUGGCCUAGAUUUGUUAUCGUUGUCUUGGUUUUGCUUUAUCGGUGUUAUAGUUUCGGUAUUGGUUUAUUAUUCCACCUAAUACUAUCAAUAUAAUAGUGUCUUGGUGUUAUUUAUUUUAUCAUUUUAUCGUUAUGGGAAUUAUUAACCUUUCUGAUUUAUUAUUUAUGAAUUUGUUAUUUUAAUUGGGUUUGUUCUUUCUUGUGUAUUUAAUAUGAUUAUCGACUAUAUCAUGUUCGUAAUGCGAAUUAUAUACGAAGUACCGCGUAAUCCAUAAUUUUUAACUACAUGUAUUUGUUGCUGUAUCACUUUUUCUAAGAUAUUCAUUUAUAACUUUUUCUAGAAUAUUUCUGUUUAUGCGUAAUUUUCUUUGAUAGUUGAACAAUAAUGCGUCUGUGUUUGCUAUCAUUGUUACAAAGACUUAGAACUUCCGACGACUGUUAUCAUGUUUCUCGACACAUAGACGAUGCGUGUAGGUUAUCAUCGCUUAUCUCUUCUGUAAUUUUUUUUAUUAUGUUCGUAUCCGGUAAAAAUUGAAUGGGAUUAACUGUACUGUUUUGUAGUAAUAACUAGAAAAUAACCAGUUGCGAUUUGACGUCGUCUGUACCGUAUUUUAUAGUUCGAUAUAUCUACUUGCUUUUAGAUAUUCCGUUUCAUUUUAAUAUAUACUCUCUCCUCUGUUUUAUUAUUAUUAUUCACGCUAUUAUAUAUAAGCAAACCAAACAAAAAGAACAAAAAAAAAAAAAAAAAAAAAAACAACUACUACAUCAACACGCCCGAAAAGAAAGAAAAAAAUAUUAUUUUAUCGCGAUUGUUAUGGAAAUCGCGUGUAAUAAUAAACAAAAUCUCUACAAUUAGGGAUACUGUUAUGAUAUGCAUCGAUUGUGAUAAAUACUAAAUUGACACUUUUAAUAGUUACAAUUUUAUUUAUAUAGUAUAGUUUCUGGAUAUGCGUUAUAGUUCUAUAUAUAUUUCGCUUUAGUGAGUUUUUGUAAUUUAGUCUGAAAGAUGUUAUAUGAUAUUAGUUAAAAACUCUGUUGAGGUGACAUACAUGAUACAUAACUUGUCAUUGGUUAUAGUUUUUUUGUAUUACUCAUUCAAAAAAGUUGUUUCUCAAAAUGCAUCGUGUGGUUUUGGUUUCCGUCGUUAGGUAAAAUGGAACUUUAUUUGCGUCCCUAAUAACUUACACCAUUUGUAUAUAUUAUUAUUAUGGUGUUGAUAAUGGGGUUAUUACGAGAAUGAGCAUUUAUUAGGUCAAAAGUUUGAUUUUAGGUUUUUCUAUCCCGACUUGCAUAUUUAGGUAUUUUUGGAUUUAGUUAAAUGACAUUUUUGCCCCUACUGAAUUAAAUGGAAUUUUGGAAAAAUUUAAAAAUUUGACAAUUCUUCUCCGGUGGAAUUAAGAAGAAAAGCGUCUUGGACACCUACAGUCGCUGGGCUGAGCUACCGGAGAAUCCGCCUCCAACCGCCGCAUGCUUCCUCCUUCCAGAUCUAUCCCACCGUCUCGCUAUUUACCCUAUGGCAACUUCGAUUUUUACUUUCACGACACACAGUCCACCGCCCGUCGAUGUGGAGUGGAAGCCAUUGGGUUUGCGGAGGUCUUGGGUUGCUCACUUGUGGCGGAUCUGUUGCCGCUUGAAGACGACGGCACGAUCUGCUCUCCGAUUCGCCGCCAACAUCAUCUCCGAUCCGAAACACAAAACCUCUCCUCCGCCAACACCAUCUCCAAUGAGUUGGAUUCAACUAAUUCUUUUUGAAUAACAAAAAAUAAACCCUAAGGGGAUAGUAUCCUCUAAACCCAAGGGCUCCAAUUGAAAUAAUUGUCAAAAUUAGGAUCUGGGUUUCCAUAAUCUUCAUGUUGGUAAGUGAAGGAGAAAGCUUAAAGUUUUUGUCGUUCACAAAAAAAAAAACAAUUAUUUUUGCUUCAAUUGGUGACAAGGGUAAAAACGACUUUUCCGAUGUUUGAGGAAUGCUUAAAACAGAAGUAUGGGCAAAUAAACCCAAACUGAUAAGUUUGACUGAAAAAAGUACCGAUCCGGUAAUUAACUCUGUUGAUAAUAGAGUGAUAUUUUUUACCCUUAAGUUUCGUUAGUAUAUAUUUCAGUUUAACUGUUGAGAUUUGGUUUCUUUUUUAAAAACUUAAUUUAUUAAUUUUAUGGAUAAAUUCUAUAUCGUUUAAUCAAUAGUCGUUUUUGUUAAUUUUCUGAUUUAGUUUUUAAUAUAUAUUUUCCAUUUUUAUGUUCUUUCCAAAUAAUCGUUAGGUCUACAUAUAUGUAUCCCGCAUUUAUACCUCAUUGGAAUAUUUACCCGCGUAAUCUUUUGUUAUGGGUUCUACAAUGAUACCUUUUACAUCUGAUUCAUGUGAUGGUGGUUAUUUUCGUAUUGCGUCUCUUAACCCUAACAUAGGUGAGUGGUCUGUCUCGGUGAAGAUUUUGAAUUGUUGGUCUGUUUCGCGUGGCACGGGUAGAGAGCUCAAUAUGAUUUUGGGUGACGAGCAUGUUAGUUUUUUGAUAACUUACCUGCUAUACAUGUUUUCGAUAUUAAAUUGAAUUGGUUUUGUCUUUGACAUUUUAUUUGCAGUUCACACAAAUCCAAGCCGUUGUUCGUGAUGAAUUAAUUGAUAAUUAUCUUUCAAGAUUGAUAAUCGAUGAGUGGGUGAGCAUUAAAAAUUUUGAUGUAUCACGGGUUAACAGCAUAUUGAGACCAGUACCGCAUAGAUUCAAGAUUGUGUUUCGUUCGGACACUUUAGUGCAAAGUAUUAAUAUGUGCUCCAGUAGGACCUAUUUCAAUCUAACUGAGUUUGUGAGUAUAUUGAGUGGUAUUGUUAAUCCGAAUAUUUGCGUUGGUAAGCCUAAUUUAUAAAUUUAUUUGUGCUUUUGGAGUUUAUUUGCGGUUCAUGUUCUGACUGUAUUAUUCAUGUGUGUGUUUCAUAGAUGUUGUUGGCAAAAUUGUCAACGUGAGAGAGUUGGUUUUUGUUCCUUCCGUGGAACAUUCUCAAGGAGGAUAUUUUGAGCUGUACUUUGGUUUACGUGAUACUGAGUAAGUCACUAUUCUUUUAAAGAUUUAAACCAGAAUAUAAUGUCUUAUGACUUCUUCAAAUCUUAAAAUUAGGUGUAUCCAUCUAGAGUGUCGUUUAACGGGUGACCUUGCAGUCGAGUUCUAUGACUUAUGGAAGCAUCGUUCACGUAACACAGUGAUAUGUAUUAUCAAGUUUGUGAAAUUAGAACUAUCACAGGAACAUAGGUGGAGAUGUACCAAUGUUACCGGAAGUACGAGGAUUAUGUUGAAUCUGGAUCUCAGUAUUACCGACGAGAUGCUUUGUUGGUAAGUAUUUUUUUUUCCGUUUACAAUCAAAACUCUAAAGUUGGCGACUGGACAUUCACUGUUUAUGGUGUUCUUAAUCGGAUGUCAGGAAUCCUGAAAAUGACCAAGUACCAAUCAUCACACGGAAGGAGAAUGCCAUGGAGUGAUGAUGUUCGUUGAUUUCUUAUUUUGUUGGUAAAUGAUUUUAAAAGAUGAUUUAUUAUUAUUUUUUAGCAUUUAUAAUAUUAUUGAAUUUUUUAAAUUUCAUCAUUUUCCAUAAUUUUACCACACUAAAUCCUAAACAAUUUACCAUUUUUUUCUUACACUACCAAGUAACACCUAAACAAUCCCUUAUUUCACAUGAUUUUACCAUUUAUACAACAUUCUUCCCGCGCAUGCGCGCGGGCAAUCACCUAGUUAAAUCAUAUUUAUGUAGAAAGAAUCUCACUUUGAUAGUCAAUCACUUUGUGCGCGAAGAAAUUUGACGAAAAGGGUUACAAAAAAAUGGAUUUUUGACGGUUUUUUUUUUUUUUUUGGUAGGAAUGGAUUUUUGACGAUUGAUUAUAAACGUUUAAUUUUUUAGUAAUAUUUUUGAGUUCUCACUUCUUCUUCUUCUUCUUCUUCUUCUUCUUCUUCUUCUUCUUCUCGUAAAACCCUAAUUCUUGAUUUGGCUAUGGAGUCCGUCGAAUUGAACAAUCCCAACCCCAAUUCGCAAACCCUACAUCAACCUCCUCCUUCCUCCAACGGAGACACUGCUCCACUCGCAUCGGAUCAUAUGAAUCCUCAGAAUUCGGAUUCUGUGGCUUUAAACGGUUCGUCUACUCCUACACCCGAUACUAAUGGUUCAUCAGCAAAGCCUGAGUUCUUGCGUCCUUUGCUAUCGGAGAACGAUAAGGAUCAGUCUGGUGGAGAGGAAGAAACUACGAGCAGGAGGAAGCGUCGGAGCCGGUGGGAUCCUCCGCCUUCUGAAGGGGGUACUGAUUCCGAACCUGGAAUUAGGAAGCGUAAGUCGCGAUGGGCAGAUGAUGAGCCCAAGCCGCAGAUUCAGUUACCUGAUUUCAUGAAGGAUUUCACCGGAGGUAUUGAGUUCGAUCCUGAGAUUCAGGCUUUGAAUAGUAGGUUACUUGAGAUUAGUAGGAUGUUGCAGUCUGGUAUGCCUUUGGAUGAUAGACCGGAAGGACAGAGGUCUCCUUCACCAGAGCCUGUGUAUGAUAAUAUGGGAAUUAGGAUUAACACUAGAGAGUAUAGAGCAAGGGAGAGAUUGAAUAGAGAAAGACAAGAAAUCAUUGCUCAGAUUAUCAAAAAGAAUCCGGCUUUUAAACCUCCAGCAGAUUAUAGGCCUCCUAAGCUCCACAAGAAGCUUUUCAUUCCAAUGAAGGAGUUUCCUGGUUACAAUUUUAUUGGUCUCAUUAUUGGCCCCAGAGGUAAUACUCAGAAGAGAAUGGAGAGGGAGACGGGUGCUAAAAUUGUUAUUCGGGGUAAAGGAUCUGUAAAAGAAGGUAGGCAUCAGCAGAAAAAGGAUUUGAAAUAUGACCCUGCUGAGAAUGAAGACUUGCAUGUUUUAGUUGAGGCUGAGACUCAGGAUGCUCUUGAAGCUGCUGCUGGUAUGGUUGAGAAGCUUUUGCAACCUGUUGAUGAAGUGUUGAACGAGCACAAGAGGCAACAGCUCAGGGAACUUGCUACCUUGAAUGGAACAAUAAGGGAUGAAGAAUUCUGUAGACUGUGUGGUGAGCCAGGACAUAGACAGUAUGCAUGUCCUUCUCGUACCAAUACCUUUAAGAGUGAUGUUCUUUGCAAGAUUUGUGGUGAUGGUGGACACCCUACUAUUGAUUGCCCGGUGAAGGGUACUACUGGGAAGAAAAUGGAUGAUGAAUAUCAGAACUUCUUAGCAGAGUUGGGAGGAACUGUACCUGAAUCUUCUCUCAAACAGAGUGCUACCCUGGCUCUUGGUCCGGGAAGUAAUCCUCCAUGGGCUAAUAAUGCAGGGAAUGGUGCAAGUGCGCAUCCUGGCUUAGGGUCAACUCCGACCAAACCCCCCUCCAAAGAAUAUGACGAAACAAAUCUGUACAUUGGGUUCUUACCUCCGAUGCUUGAGGACGAUGGUUUGAUUAAUCUUUUUUCAUCCUUCGGUGAAAUUGUGAUGGCAAAGGUAAUCAAGGACCGUGUGACUGGGCUGAGCAAAGGCUAUGGUUUUGUGAAGUACGCUGAUGUGCAGAUGGCUAAUACUGCUGUUCAGGCAAUGAAUGGCUAUCGGUUCGAAGGCCGAACACUCGCUGUCAGGAUUGCAGGCAAAUUGCCACCGCCUACUGCACCUCCAGGACCUCCAGCACCAACUCAAGGUUAUCCUCCCUCAAACCAGCCUCCUGGUGCCUAUCCUUCUCAACAGUAUGCAACUGGUGGUCAACUGCCAAAUCCUCCUGUAGGUUAUUCGACAGCUCCAGUUCCUUGGGGUCCUCCUGUUCCCUCCUAUUCUCCAUAUGCUCCUCCCCCUCCACCUCCUGGUUCUUACCAUCCUGUCCAUGGUCAACAUAUGUCUCCUUAUGGAAUGCAAUACCCACCACCACCACCUCAUGUGACACAAGCACCUCCACCUGGCACUACUCAAAACCCAUCUUCUAGUGAACCCCAGCAAAGCUUCCCACCAGGAGUACAAGCUGACAGUGGUGCUGCUACGUCUGUACCACCAAAUGUCUAUGGUAGCUCAGUCACGGCUAUGCCUGGACAGCCUCCAUAUAUGAGUUAUACGUCUUACUACAAUGCUGUUCCCCCUCCACCACCUCCAGCACCGGCCUCGUCUACUGAUCAUUCCCAAAACAUGGGUAACAUGCCAUGGGCCAACAAUCCUCCUGUCUCAACACCUGAGCACUCACAAGGUCUUGGUAAUGCAUCUUGGGCACCUAAUCCUCCUAUGCCGCCCACUGUUGGUUAUUCACAGAGCAUGGGGAACGUACCCUGGGCUCCCAAACCUCCAGUACAGCCCCCUGCAGAGAAUCCAUCCACUGUUGGAGAUUCUGAGUAUGAGAAGUUCAUGGCUGAGAUGAAGUAGCAUGUGUGUUCUGAUGAGAAACUCCGUAGUGAAGAGGUAAAAUGUCCUCAUUUGAUGUUAUUGUUUGUUCUCCAUACAGGUUUUGAAAUUAAAAUUUGAAAUCGAAUCAAGUGGCUUUCAACAUAGGAUAAAACUUUACUUUCAAAAACCCAGUUAAGAAAGGAAAGAUAUAGCUAUCAAGCUGAAACUUGAACAGGAAUUUCCCUCAACUUUUCCAACGUUUUCAAAUUGCUUUUUUCUUUUAACAUCAUUUUUGCAACAUCAUCAGUUGCAGGAUGAACCAUUUUGUCCAUUAUUUUGUUCUUGAAAGCCUUCCUGCUUAUGUAAUUUAUCUGUUCCUAGUUUUAUCACAUGAUAACUAACUGCUCUAGCUCAUAAUUUGGUCACUGAUGUGUUUGUGAGCAUGCCACAGCUAAAGGAGUCCUGGUAUUCGAUUCUGAAACAUAGAAUCUGGGAGUUGGAUGUUCGAAUUUUGUCAGUUACCCUUUUUGCUCUAUGUUUUGUUCAGUAAACUACUAAUGUGUUUUCUGUCCCACAUGGAAAGCAUUUGUUUUCACUUCUAAGUUUUUCCAUCUGACAACAUCAAAACUGCCACUAGCAUAGAUUCCAAAAGUUUGUUAUUAUAUACGGCUCAUUAACACGAAUUUUUGUUUUGUUGAUAUUGUUAAUUUUUUCAGGUGUGAUGUUUCUUGGAGGUCUUGUACCCUGAUUUCUUACAUCUUUCUUGUUGGAAGUUUGGGACUCACAUCUUAACCCUUGCUAUGCUGUUGUGAAAUAUGCAGAGAUACAGGCUGGAAGCUCCCGGUUCAGACAAUCAGAAAGGCCAUAAGAAUUUUAUUAACGUUACUGAUAAUAUUGCUGCUCUUUUGUAGGACUAUAUUUAUGUCUGGGGUUCUUGUUUCAUUUCAUAAUACUCAUAUUUACCGUUGAUCAGUGUGUUAAGUCUAGUCUGCUUCAGCUCUCACAAUUUUUUAUGUACUGUUUCAAUUUGGGAGUAAAAAACUUUUGGUGGUAUUGUAGUGCGAAAAAUAUCCGUUAUUCUUUGUGAUGCAAGAUAUGAUCCUCUUACUCUUGAGGUCAUCUCUUUCGUUUAUCUUGUCUCUUGUGUGCAUAGGGAAUUCAUCAGUUCUCGCAGGAACCUGAAGGCAACAGGGGUAUGUUGAACUACAUUGGACAUAUUUACCACUGAUACUUGAUGGUUAUUCUCCACCUUGAUUCAGACUUGUAUUACUGAUAUAAUAAUAUCUUUCAAGCUUCCAUGUGGCAGGUGUGAUUUCUGGCUAGUGAUCCAGAUUUUAACUUUAAUAACUUUGUUCUUGUUUUCAAGCUUGAUCUAUAUCUGUCUAAAUGAUGACAUGCGUGCAUGUUCCAGGAAUCAUGAUAUUACUGCAAAGAAAUCAGCCUAUGUGUCAAACUUAUGCACAGUUUAUGUUGUCUCAAAAGGAGUAUAUAUUCUUUCAAGAGAUAAAUUAUCAUCAACACGGAGACACAGUUUAUGUUGUUUUGAUCUUAGUCUUUCUCUUUGUAAACAUCAUUAUGAUGUAAUAAUAUAAGUCUACCUUUUUUACAUAAAAAUAAAAUAGUGCAUUGAAAAUGUAUUUUCAAUGCAACCCAACGGUGUAAAGGGGCACUAGUAACAAUAACAUCAGAAAGAAGAGACUAUGCAAAAUGAACAACUAAGCAAAAGCAACCAUUAUUGCAUAGGGAUGCAAUGAGAGUACAUAAUUUAAGUUCAAGAAUCCGACCAUAUAUUUUAACUAAGAAAUAUAGUCAGAAUUUAGUUCAAGACAAGAUGGAACAUAAAUUAACAUCACAAGUAACAGCUAAGAUGAGAUAACUUGCAAAGGGAUCAAAACAAGAUUGGAAUACAAGAUUAUAUUUCUCCUCUAUAGCCACCAGAGCCAAAAUAGUCUUUUCUAGAGUUAGAUAUGGCCACACUCUUCUGGUGCUCAAGUUUUGGACAGUCUCGAAUACGAUGUCCAAGACCACCACAAUACGCACAACCCUUGACACCACUUGCAUUCGCAAUGGUCUCUGCUUCUUCCAUUGGAUCAUUCAGUUCAGCAAGGACAGGUGGAAUCCUCUGUUUAGCUUCUUGCAACAAGUGUUUCAAAUCGAGCAGCGUGGUUUCGCUUUGGUUCUUGUUUAUAAAUGUAGUUGCUAUCCCAGUUUUCCCACACCGACCUGUUCGUCCUAUCCUAUGCACAUAGUUCUCAAUCUCUGCUGGCAUGUCGUAGUUGAUUACGUGUUGUAUAUCAGGGAAAUCUAGACCCUUUGAAGCAACAUCAGUCGCGACCAACACAUCUUUUUUCCCAGCUUUAAACGAAGAGAUUGCGUACUCUCUGUCUUCUUGAUCUUUCCCUCCAUGGAUGGCCACUGCUUCCACUCCUUUCAGUAACAAGUACUCGUGAAUAUCAUCAACAUCAGCUUUGUUCUCACAGAAUAUUAAAACCGGUGGAGAUGUUUUCUGUAGACACUCGAGGAGGUAAACAAUCUUUGCUUCUUGUUUGACAUAUUCUACCUCCUGGAUCACAUCGAGAUUCGCAGCUCCAGCUCUUCCUACAUUAACAGUCACAGGUUUCACCAGAGCACUUCUGGCAAAGAUUUGAAUCUUUGUGGGCAUUGUGGCUGAAAACAAAAGUGUUUGACGUUGAGACUUAAAGUGGUCAAAGACUUCCCUUAUGUCAUCUUCGAAACCCAAAUCAACCAACCUAUCUGCCUCAUCUAGUGUCAGGUACCUAUAAUAAGGAAAAAAGGAAGGUAAAUAUUAUUGCCAUCUAACAUUCUCAAGAUUUUGAAAUUAAAUGGCACAACCUCAAGACUCCAAAGACAAGAAAGAUGCAUUCAGAAAGGAACACAAGUGCGGAAAAUUUAUUCAUGAGAGAAAAAACCCUAUCGAAUCAUACAAUAGAGAACAUAUAGAGCAAAGAAGCUCUAAGCCACUAACAGACCCUAGACAAUUCUAUUGAUCUCUCCCGUUUCCUAGGCACAAUAAACCAAAAAGAAACAGAUAUCCUCAAGAAUCUAGCCAAGUGCAAAAGGUCAGAAAACGAGAAUAUAAGAUCAAACAAGGCAGCACAGAGAGAAGACGCAAACAUAUAUUACAAUCAGGUUGAUUAAUCAUAUUGAAAAGAACCAAAGAAGACGAACUAGAGUCAUACCUGCAAGCAUCUAAGCUCAUCUUUUUCUUGGCGAGCAUAUCCUUUAACCUCCCAGGGGUUGCAACAACGAUGUGGACACCUCUCUUGACAACCUCCAACUGGGAUCUCAUAUCAAUUCCACCAAUACAUAGCAACGACCUCAAUGGCGGGUAUCCAGCCUCGACCAAAGGAGCCACAAACUGCUCAACCACUUCAUAAGUCUGCCUAGCAAGCUCUCUAGAAGGGCAAACAAUAAGCCCAAUGGGACCUUCUCCCGCAGCAAUAGGCAUCAUCAUCUCUUCUUGGAGAGCAAUCAUGAUCAUGGGAAGCACGAAAACCAAAGUCUUUCCAGAACCAGUAAACGCAAUCCCAAUCAUAUCCCUCCCAGCCAAAAUCACAGGAAGACCCUGAACUUGAAUAGGAGUAGGCUGCACAAUUCCUUUCUCCUUAAGGGUAUCAAGAACAGGUCUAGGAAACUUCAUAUCCUUAAAGUUCUUGAUAGGAGGAGGAAUAUCAUCACCAUUAACAAUAAUAUGCCAUUGCUUCCUAAUCAAAUCUCUCUGCUUAUUCGACAUCCUCCUAAUAUGCAAAGGAGGUUUCCACCCGGUUAAGAGAGGCUCUGUAUAAGUGAUACCUUUGGCCAAUUCACGAACAGACAUAAGCGUCUUCUUAUCAGAUAAAUGCUCCAUCAUCUCUUUCUCUUGUAAGAUGAUUUGCUCAGUAGCACUAACUUGAGGAACAUCUCGCUUGAGCUGAGUUGCUUGAACGAGUAAACUAGGUUUAGCUUCAGCGAGCUUUUCCUUGUCAGCUUCUUCCUCCAAUUCCGAAGCUUUUCCCUUCCGUUGAAGUAUCUUCUGCGCUUCCAUUGCUCUCCGCUCCGCCACUGAAACAUACUCAACGUAACUAUCGUCGUCUUCCAUGAUGGAUUCAAUAUCGAGAAUUCAGCAACCUAGUAGAAGAGCCUCAAAGCCUGAAAUCAACAAAUUUUUGCAGAUCUCUCGAAUCAAUCGCUAAUACGGGUGACACAGAGGCUCAAAGACAAACUUCAAGACAGAAGCUAAUUAACAAUCAUCAUAAUUUAUGAAAGAACUUCAAGACAAAUUUAAUGUAGAUGUCAAAAAGAGAGUAGCUCUAGCUUAAUUAUUUACCUGCUGAAGUAGCUCUAGGUUUGUCAAACUCCACAGUCUGAAGUAGCUCUGAGAAAAUCAUACUCUGAUUGGUCUCCUGAUAUAGAAGAUGGACUUCUUUCUUUAGAAUCUGAAACAAAAAAAACAAAUCAAUCACAUGAAUAAACCAGAAGUGUCAGGUAAUAAGUUCCAAUUAUUAUCAAUGGGCUAAGUGAAAUACUAAACUGAACACAGACUUCAAAAUUUUCCAAUUCUCAUCAAAGUACCAAACGAGAUAAUUAUUAGAUUCAGACCAAACCACAGAAGAAGAAUAGAGUUCACUCAUAAAAAGAAUAACAAUGCCAAUAAGAAGAAUAACACAGAAGAAAAAGAGCAUUCAAAUGAGAGUCUCUGAAACUAAGCUAUCACAUGGAGUAACUUUGCUAAUUAGAGUAAAAGAAGACGCAGGAACUUGCAAAAGAAUUGUUACCAAAAAAAAAAAAUUACAAAAGAAGACACAGAUAUCUGCUUGAAUAUUUGCAGAGAGAAACCAAACAUAUCACAUGAUUAAAGAAUAUCUAUACUAACGUUCAUGAUACUAAUCUCAUUUCCAUACUAACGAUGAACUAUAUUUUACACAUAUCUUCUUCCUUCAUAUAUAUACUAAUCUCUAUACUAUUCUAAACUAAAGAUGAACUAAGCCAAUUUUGCUCACAAACCCAGAAAACCCAAAACCAAGCUCAAAGAGCAACGAUUUGAUGCAGAACAUGAAGAACCAAGUUCAAAAUGUAAGAAAUUAAAACCUUGGAAAGAAGAAGGGCUUAUUAAGAUAUGAGUAGGAACUAGCUUGGAGUUGUUGAUGUGUUCCGAGGUUAAACUCUGAAUCUCAUUCUUCUGAAAUUUAACAAAGAAUCAGCCAUAAGCCAAAACUCAAAAAACCCACAAUAGAGAUUAGAGAGAAAAACCCAGAAAGCAAAACCUUAGAAAUCAAUUUUGAUAUUGCAAAAGGGAAAAUUAGAGAAAUUACUUCGACUUUGGCUGGAGGAGGAGUAGAGGUUUCCGGUGAUGGAUCUUCGGCUUGGAGUGAUGAUUCCGGAAAAGAAAGAGGAAGUUCCGGUGGAGUUUGUACUGUGACGAAUCGGAGAAAGCAUGCGACGAAUCGGAGAAAGGUUCUCUUUUGCCUCCGACGACGAAUCUGUGAUGGAGGAGUAAACAAAACUAGCGUUACGAAUUUGGUAAUUAUUAACAAAACAUAAGGGCAUGGACGAGUAAACAAAACGUUUCCAAUCGCAUCACCAAUUUACCCUGCGAUCACAAAUUUCAGUCGCGGAUCACAGCGAUUGAUCGCAGCGUUUAGUUGCAGGUUCCUGCGACUGCUAAACGAACAACUUUCAAUUGCAGUUGCAGUGAGUGCCAAACGAACAGCCCCUACAAGCCCAAAUAGUUCUUACUUGUCGGGCCGUUCCGCGUUUUUGUGGGUGACUGGCAGGUACUUUUAGAAAAAAAAAAAGUAUAUUUUUUAUUUUUUCGAAAACAUCUAUGUAUUCACCUGUCAGAAAAAAAAAAAAGAGAAUAAUUGCUUUUCUACUGAAAAGUCAAAAAGCAUAGUAAAAAUGAAAAUUUUAUCCCUCUUCAAAAUAACUAAAGUAAUGUUUUCAUCUAAAGUAACGUUUUCUUCUCUAUUUCUUCUUUAGAAUUCUACUCAUUUCUUCUCAUUUUUUUACCAGUCAAACCUAAUAUAUUUUAGUAAUAUUUUUGAGAAAGUUUUUUAGAACAAAACUCAUUUUAGAAGUAUUUAUGAGAUUAAAAAAAAAAAAAGGUAUUUAUGAGAAUUGCCCACAAAUUUACUCAAUUUUUGGGUUUUACUUUAAUAUUAUUUCACUUUAGGGAAAAGUUAAUUAACAACGGUCUUCAAUUCGUGCAAAGUCUUCGACCGUGUCCCCAACCUUCUCGAACUUCUCUUUGAACCUCAAAUAAUCUCCACAUUUAAAAGACCGAAAUAUCCUCAUAUCCUCACAACCUCCCACCACUUCCUCAGGGUCAAAUACGACUUCACCGACGAGGGGCACGGUGAAUUUUGUUGAGCAUAUCGGCGAUUCUCCCUGAACCAAUCAGCGACUCUCUUUCACUCGAUCUGAGUCUUUUCUUCACCAAAUCGGCGUGUCUCUUUCACCAAGUAUUUCUGAUGGUACGCAUGUCUUUAUCAUACUACGAAUUCUUGUGUAUUUGAAUAUAUAAGAAAUUAGGGUUUCUGUGAUUUUAGGUAAAUUAGGGUUCUUUGUUGUUAGUAAAAUUAGGGUCCUUUGAAGACAAAUAGGGCAUGAUUGUGGUUACUUUUAGUCGAUUUUAGGCAUAGAUUGUUUGUGUCGAUUCAUCUUUUAGUUCGUUUAUGGAAGCCCUUUUCCUCUUCUGUCAUUUUUGUUGUUAAUUGGAAAUUAUAUCUACUUUAGGAAGAUCCUCCUGCUAAUAGCUAAAAAUGUAGCAUCUUAUUAUAUAAAGUAUGAUUUUCAAAGUUAGUAAUUCAUAGGAUCGUGACACGUGUCAAUUUCAUCGAUCUCAGAUUUUGAUAUGUGUUAAACAAAAAUUUCUUCUUUUCUUAAAAAUAUAUAUAAACAAACUAUACGCGCAUGUCAAAUUUAUUGAUAUCAGAUUUUAACACGUGUAAAACUAAAUUUUUAUUUAUUUAGAAAAAAUAUAAGAAAAUAAUACGUAUACAUCUUAUAUAAAAUAAUUCUAAAAAUCUAAAGAAGAUCAUUAUUAGGAAACUAGAUGUAUCUUAUUAAAUAAAAAUAGAAAUCUAAGACAAAAAAAUAUAAGGCAACCAUACAUACAUAUCUUAUAUGAAAUAAUUUUUAAAAAGUAAAGAAGAUAAUUAUAAGGAAACUAUAUGUAUCUUAUUAAAUAAAAAUAGAAAUUAAAAAAUCAUUUACUAAUUCUAAUUUAAAGCUACUAAAGAUUGAUUUUCAAGGGUUUUAAAUUUAAAUUUUUAGGUUUGGGUUGAUUAUUUUAGAUUAAAGGCAUAGUUUUAGGAGGUAGGGUUUACCUUUAAAGGUUGAAAGUUUAAUUUUAGUUUUGUGGUAUUUGGUUUACAAAAAAAAAAAAAAAAAAAAAAAAGUUUUUUGGUAUUUUUGGGAAAACCAGAAAUUAAAUGAAUUAUUGGGAAUAUUAAACUAAUAAUGAUAGUUUUGAAAACCAAAACUUAAGUGUUUUAUUUUUUAGAAUUGUACUAUACUUUUUAUUCGAAAUAUUAUUUUAGUUAAACAAUUCUAAUUGUUAAACAAACUAUGUAAAAGUGAAAGUAAAGAAACAUGAGAAGAAACAUACACUUUGUUUAUUGUGUUCAUAGAGAUAUUUUUUAGGUGGUAGCAAAUAGCAGAUUUCAACAGUAAAAUAUGAUUGAGUCUAAAAAAGAUAUUUUGAGUGGUAAGCUAUUAAAUUGUAAAUAGAUGUAAAUAAGAUGAAGGUUUGACCUGUGGUUUAUAUGUAAAAUAUUUUCUGCAAAAUUUUUGGAUUCAUAUUCUAGGUCUUGGCAAAAUUUUUGGUGAAUGGUAAUUUAAAGUUACUUUAUUAUUAUAAUAAAUGUACCAAGAAAUUCAAACUAUAAUAAUGCAAAUAAGUGUAUUAAGGCAAAAGAUGAAUAUAUAAACAAAUCUUCUAUCUAAUUGAAAAUUUAUCUUCUUAUUUCUUAAAAUAGUUUCUAUUUUUUUUUUAACGUCGUGCAUUGAAUAUCAAAAUGAAACCGAGUUUGAUGACAGAGAAAGAAAAAGCUCAAAAACAGAGCAAAACGAGAAGUAAAAACAGAGCAAGACAAUAGCGUGAAUAAAAACUCGACUAAGAUACCGUCGGUGCAAGAUAGACGAAGGAUUGAGACUCCGUGAAAUGGUUACGUGCAGCGUCUCCGUUCCUCCUCAAUUAUGUUAUGAAGCCAAGCUGGUCCUCCUAUCGCCAUGUAAGAGUUGAAUCGACCUUCUCGUGUGACACUACAGGCAAUAUCCCUGGCCAAGGAAUUGGCUUUCGGUGAAGAGAUGUGAAAAGAAAUAUCCCGCAUCACCUGUACUACCUGAGUAAUUUUGCUGAGAAUAGAUCGAUAUUUUGGCCAAUCUUUCGGUGUAGCUAACGCCCGUAUCGCUGCUGUGCAAUCUGACCAAAUCUCACACGAUUCCACAUGGACUUGAUGUAGACUUUGUAGACACCAUAAGAUGCAAUGUAACUCCGCAGCCACCCUGUUAAACAUGGGAAGAAAAGCAUCUCUAGCGUGUAAGACCGCAUCACCAUUAUGAUUACGUAAUAACCAUGCUCCUCCGCAAUGAAAAAUAUCUUUUAUCCAGGAGGCAUGCACGUUACACUUUAGCUUUCCACUCGCUGGUCUACUCCAUCUUGUUGCGAAAAAUAGUUUCUAUUCACAAUAAAAAAAAUUAAAUAUAUCUAGUUUUUGUUAAAUUUAAUUUUAUUUAAAAUUUUAAAAUCCGCACAUCGGGCGGAUCCUUAUCUAGUUUAUUAUAUAUCACUGACUUGAACUAACUUUUUCUAUCUUUUUUUGGUGGGCAGUGUCUUCGAACGCUUCAUCUCCUCGUCAUGGUAGCCAGUUACCUGACUGAAGCAUGCUUCUUUCUGGUAAAAUAUUAUUAUUUUUGAUAAAAUUUUACUAUUUUUGGAUUAAAAGUUAAUUUUUAUAUAUUUUAAUUAUUUUUAAAUAUAUAUUUAACGGAUUAGAUAUCCGACAAAUAGUCUGGAUUUUUACGGAUAUUCGAACAGCCGGAUAUCCGAUCACUAACGAAGCAAAUACGGAUCAGAAAACUAAUUAUUCGGAUAAAGCAAAUCGGAUCACGAAUACCACCAAAAUUUCGGAUAUCCGUUUUGUGCCCAAUCCCUACGAACCAUGACUAAUUUAAUACAAGUGAUGAUGAUUAUAUAUAUAUAUAUUUUUUGGUGCAUGCAUACAUUAGUUAUUUUUAUUUUAUAAAUUUAAUUUUUAUUUGGGAUAUAUAUUUAACCAUAUAAUGAAUCAUACUUGAUGUACCUGCAAAACAAAUUUCAUAGUUUCUGAAACGGAGCAACGUUGACAUUGCAAAUGUUUCGGCUUCUCUCUUUCCCUCUUUUAUGUCUAAGUGCAUUUUCACAUAUGUAAAUGAUCACUUUAUUUGUUAGUAUUCAUUGGAUUGUGUUGUUGCCAAAAAACGGACAUUGUCACAUAUCCCUUUAUAUUAUAAGGAAGACAAAGGACGUGAGGACAAGAUAUAGAGUCCGAGGCUAUAUCAUGCGACCAACUAAAGUCAAAAAUCAAGAGAAAUUGGAAAUUUGUGUAUCUCAUUAUAUUUUAGCAAGGGCAAAAAAAAAAACAAUUGAAAAUAUGGAAAAAUGGAUAGAAAAACCCUUACCUUUUCUUAAAAACAUAUAAAAAACCUUAACUUUUUUUGUGGGUUUUUAAACCCCCACCUUUUUAUAAAUGGUAAUAUAAACCCUAUUAUUCAUAAAGUCAAUUUAAAUUCAAACAAAUCAUUAUAUUAUAAUAUAAAUAUAUAUAAAUAAUUUGAUUUAGGAUUUUCUAUUCUAAUGUUUACAAUCUUUUUUUUAAUUGAAAUUUUUUAAAAUCAUGAUGUAAGAAAGUUAAUUAAUGAAGUUUUAUUCGGCUGUAUUACAAAAAUUCAUCAACAUGAAACUAAACAAAUUUUGUUACGAGUGACAUAUACAUUCUUUUACCUAACCGAAUAUGAAUUUAUUUUAAUAAAUAUUUAUUCGGUUCGAUCACACAAAUUGCUAACGUGAAACCAAAACAAAUUUUAUAAUACUACGAGAAAAGUAUAAGAAUUUCCACAUGAAAAUAUUUUCAUCAGACAAAGAAAAUAAAUAAACAUUUAUUAGCAGUUAAUAUUUCUAUAUAAAUUAUGAUUUAUUUAAAAUAGAAUUGAAAUAAUUUUAGUUAAUCAUUAUUUAACUAUAUUUUUCUCCAAAAUUGAACCUCCAACUGAAUUUUGUUAUAAUUUUGACUAUUUCUUAAAAUAAAAGAUGAACAUCUCAAACAAACAAAAAAAAAAUCAAAUGUGGUAUCCUAUAAAUUUUUGUAAUUUAUAUAACAUAACUUCUAAUGGUAACAAAACUGAUUUACCUAAUCUCAACUAUAUGGUGAAUGAACUUUUAUAUCGCAAAAACCCUAAUUUUAGAAAGAAAAAUAGCGAACUCGAAUUUGAAAAGAAUAAAUGAUAAAUUAAAUUAUUUUCCUUUAUUGUUAUUUCAGUAUAACGAUUUUAUUUAAAUUUAAGUUGAGUUUAUGAAUAUUAGGUUUUAUUUUACCACUUAUGAAAAGGUGAGGGUUUAAAAACCCACAAAAAAAGUUGAGGGUUUUUGAUAUGUUUUAGGAAAGGUGAGGGUUUUUCUACCCAUUUUUCCUGAAAAUAUAGAUCAUUUAUAUGAAUCUCAUUAUAUUUUAGUAAUCUUUAGAAUUAAUUCGUAAACUAACACCAAAAAUCAAGUGAAAUACUAUUACAUGUCUAGUUAAAAGAUGAAAAAUCCAUUAAAAUAUAGGGAGAGUUUACAAAAUAUACUCAAAUUUUAAUAUCAUAAAUCCCUAGUUACAUGUAAGAAAUAUUUUGCAUAAAUAAUAAUAAUUUCCAUAUGUUUAAAUAAUUUUUUUUAUUUAAAUGUUAGAUUUAUCACUAAAUUUUGUUUUCCAUGAGAAAAUUAUUUUGUAUUCCUAGAUGAUAUCUUAUUAUAUAAAAUAUGAUUUUCAAAGUUAGUAACUCAUAUGAUCGUACCACGUGUCAAAUUUAUCGAUCUCAGAUUUUGACAUGUGUAAAUAAAAAAUUUCCUUUUAUUUAGUUUUUAAAAAAGGAAAGUAUAAAUAUAUAUCUUAUAUCAAACAAUUCCAAGAAUCUAAAGAAGACAUUUAUAAGAAAAUUAUACGUAUAUCUUAUUAUAUAAAAAUAGAAAUUAUAAAAUUAUUUACUAAUUCUAAUUUAAGUUACUAAUUCUAAAAGAAAAAUACUAUUUUCUUAAAAAUAAAAAAGUAUUUAAGAACAUACUAAUUAUAAAAUUAAUUAAUAAAAUACGAUAAUUAAGAAAAUUAUACAAAAAAUUAUUAAUCUUAAAAGAAAAAUUAUACUCAUCUCUAAACAAAUAGAUUGUCUCCUAAUUUUUCACCAAACAAAAUAGUUUCUUCAAAAACACCACAACUGCUCCUAUUUAUUUAGUUCUUUUUUUUUUUUUUUUUUAUAUAAAUACAUCAUCAAUUAUUGAUAUGUGAUAUUUUUUUGAGAAAUUUCUUAAAAUACCACGCUUUCAAUUUUUUUUUUUUUACGAAAAAUACCACUAUUAGUUUAAUGUUCGAAAAAUAUCACACAAUUUUUUGUUUUUUUUUUUAAAAUACCACAAACACAAAAAUUGAUUUUCAAGGGUUCAAAUUUAAGUUUUUAUGUUUGGGUUGAUUAUUUUAGAUUUAAUGUAUAGUUUAUAUGGGGUUUGGUUUAGUAUUUAGGGUUUAGCUUUGAAGGUUAAAUUCUAAUUUUAUUUUUGUGGUAUUUUUGGGAAACCCAGAAAUUAAGUGGUAUUUUACAAUAUUAUAUUAUUAAGUGUGUAUUUUUGAGAAUUGUCAUAUAUUUUCAUUAUAAAUACUUUUUGAGUUAAACAAUUUUAAUGGUUAAAGAAACUAUGUAAAAGUGAAAGUAAAGAAACAUAUCAUUGGCUUAAUAUGUUAAUAGAGACAUUUUUUAAGUGGUGGUAAACUCAUGCAACACUAAAAUAUGAUUGAGUGUUGAAAAUACAUUUUGAGUGGUAAAUGUGGAUGUCGGAUUCACACACUCAAGUAUUUUUAUUAUAUAGGAAAGAUUAUUCUUGAGGGACAAAAAAUAAGAAUGUAAAAGGCUUAUGAAUUGCUACAAAAAUUGCUAUAGUAUUUCUCGCUCAAGAGAACCCUCCCUUUUUACAUGGCCAUUGGCCUUUAUAUUUAUACAUAGAAGAAUGACAUUUAAUGGGCUAAUUAAGUAUAAUUAUUCUCUCUUAAACGUGACCGUUUUGGUCUUUGACUUUAAUGAUAAACGUUCGAAUUUGAAUUGAUUCUGAUCUUCAUGGGCCUCGCCUUUUGGCCCAAAUGUCCUUGGACCGAUUUGACCAUGACUUCGUCUCCGGAGUGGUGUUGAGGUGCAGUCACUUCGGAUUCUCCUUAUAGUGAUAACCACUUCGACUGUUCUUUUGACUUGUGGAUCUAAUGGGCUUUAUCCUUUAUUGGCCGUUAUCCUGACUAGGUGGCAAUCUUUGGUUGGUUCCGAACAUUUGGUGCGGGAUCCGACACCAACAGUAAACUAUUAAAUUUUUAAAUAAAUGUAAAUAAAAUGACGGUUUGAUAUGUGGUUUAUAUGUGAAAUAUUUCAUGAAAAAGUUAUGGAAUCAUAUUUUAAGCGAAAUUGCAAACCAUGUUUCUUGAGAUUUAACAAUAAUAAUAACUAAUAUUUUGGCAAGUAUUUUGGUGAUUGGUAAUUUAAAUUAACUUGAUUAUUAUAAUAAAUGCACUAAUAAAAUUAAAAUAUAGAAAUGCAAAUAAGGGUAUUAAAGCAAAAAGAUGAAUAUAUAAACAAAUUUUCUCUUUAGUUAAUAAUUUAUCUUCUUAUUUCUAAAAAAUAUUUUCUAUUCACAAUAAAAAUUUAAUAUACAUUUUUUGUUAAAUUUAAUUUUAUUUCAUAAAUUUAAACCCGUACAUCGGGCGGAUCCUAAUCUAGUAUUAUAUAUUAUAGAAUAUAGUAUAUCUUGGAAUUGGGAUAUAUAUAUAUAUAUAUAUUGUUGGAAUAAGCUUGAAGAAAUAACUUGUGCGACAAGUUAUUUAUUAAAAGAAGAGAAAUGUUUAAGUCUUUAGGAUUUAUCUUGAAAUAUUGUUUAGGAGUUAUGUAAACAAUUGUUAGUUUGUAAGGUUUGAGAGAUUGAGAGAACUUGAGGGCUUAGUUUUGAGCAAGUUUCUAAAGCAUAAUAAGAAGAGAGUAAUUCUUAAUCCUUGAGUUCAUAUAUAAUCGUCUUAAACACUUGAUAUUUAUUCCAAGUUUUAUGUUUUGAACUUGAUUCAUGAUUUCAUGGUCUCCCUUCAAUAUUCUCAUUUGAAGUUCCAUGCAGAAGAAUUAUAUAUGCAUGGCAGAAUUAUGCGAGAACUUUACACUAUAUAUGAAGCAAGGUAUGGAAGAAUGAACAAAGAUCAAACAACCAACCGGCUGACAUCUUAGCACGAAGUGACAUUACAGAUAAUGCUUCUUUCUAUUAUCAUUACUACGUUCCUCAUAUAAUAUGUAAUGCUUUACAUUCAAACAAUGUAUCAAUUUACUACAAGAAAAAAUGAAUUUAGCGACUACACAAAACGUAACUAAAGAGUCGCUAAACCCAUAAUUACGACUGAUUGACGACUAAAACACGUUGUCGCUGAACACUGCGUCGCUAAAAUUAGUGGUAGGAAAACAGUCGCUAUUUAGCGACCAUUCCGCGACCACUGUUGGUCGUCGCUAGUCGAUCGCCAAACAGUCGCUAAUUUAGCUACUGGUUUGCGAUAAACAAGCCACUAAAUGGCGACUGGUUUGGCGACUGAAUUGGUGACUGAACUGCAGUCACUUUGCGACUGAUUAGAGGUUUAUUUAUCGUUUUAGCCUGCUAUUUUCGAUUCCAGUUACGCAUUUAUAAUCAAAACCAAACAUACAAAAAAUAACCUUGGAAUUAAAACAGAAAACAUAACAAACAUAAAAAUAAUACUUGUUCAAAACAAAACAUUAGUAGCAAGAGUACUUGUACCAUCACCACCAACAAACUUAACCAAAUAUCAAGUUCAAGUUUUUAAGUUGAGAGGAGAGAAAGCUAAGGGACAUUAGUAGCAGGAGUAGUAGCAGAAGUAGUAGGAGGGACCUCUGAAUGAUCAUCCGCAGGAGUUGAUUGAGACUUGAGGAAGGCCAAAAAAUUUGGGCCAGUUUCACUCAAGUACUUCUUCACCAUCGUCAAGUUUUUGAUCUCAGCUGUAACCCGCAAUGCCUCUGCUUCACGUUCUGCUUGUAGAGCUGCUUGUUCCUCUAUCUUGCGGUUAGCAUCCUCAAGCUGUGAUUGCAGGGUUGUGAAAGAAGAAGUGCUUCAUGGGUACUUACGCUUCCCGUUGAUGUAAACCCCUAAGCUUCCAACUCCAAAGUAUUCCCCUCUAUCAUUUGUGACAGUAGACGGCAUAACAAAAGAAAGAGUAUUAGUCCUUAACAUGAGAAAAAAACAACCAUAAAUAACCACAUAAUUACUUGAAGGAAGAUCUCAUCCUCCUCCUCUUGAGAUAGCUUAGAGCGACGUGAAGUACCAUCAGAUUGUUCAUCAUUCUCAUGAAGGGCAACCAACUUAGCUGCCUUGUUCUUAAGAUAUGCCUCACAGAUUUCAUGCGGCUUCCUAUCCACAAAUGUCCCAUCCUUCUUGGUAUGAGUCCUGAUGAACACUUCACCAAUAGUAGGCGGUUUUCCCAAUUCAACUUCCUCAAAUGUUGUAACAUAGAUGUCACAAUGUAACUAAACAAAACAAAUUUAAAACAGAUUUGUAACUUACCAUCUCUUGCUCUACUUGUAAGAAGGACUUCGGACCAAAUACAUGCUUGUGAGGACCAAGGCCAUUAUGGUCAGACAUUCUAGCUGCGGAUGUGGUUGAACUCUUUUCUAUGGCUUCUUCAGUGUCCCAAUAGUCACACAUCUCUUUCCACAGUUUUUUCUCAAUCUAAUACGGCUUCUCUCUUCUUGUCGCUGCCUUACUAACCAUGUCUUUCAUACGAAGUUGAAUGAUCUUAUAGAAUUUGGCUUCAACCACAAAUGAUCUUAUAAAAUUUGGCUUCAAUCACACAUGUUAGUGAGGGAUGCCAGGUGUGUUGUUUCUACAAAACAAGAGGAGAGUGAAGCAGAUUUUAGUGAUCAGAAAACCAAAACUGAAGUAUAAAUACAGUAGUAGAAGAGGGAUAGAAAUUUAAUGCAAAUUCGAGGAAGUCUCUUUCUCUUAUUCUAGUUUGCACACAGCUCCAACUGUAGUAUGAUCCAUCAAACUUGUUUGUAAAACACUUGGUGAUCUUCCGGGUCAGUUUACCAUUAUCCUAUCAGUGUUUUUUUAGUUUUCCUCGAAUAUUUGAGAAAGUUCUUUUUAGAAUUCGAAUCAGUCAUCAACCACACUGUCCAGCUUGCCAUCAAUACAAAAAUAUAUUAAAAAACUGGUCGUUACUAUAAAUAAUUAUUAUAUGUUUUGGAUAUUCUCAAUUUUUGAAUUUUAUGUUUAUCUGAGGUUAUUAAUCAGUUACCAACCAUUUAUUCUAUAUGUUAGACUUAUACGGAACUUGAAAUUGAUCACUAAGUAGAGUAAAGUUCAACAUGCCUCUUUGUUGGAAAAACGGCUUUUCAUACCUUAAUCUAAUAAGUAUGUUCAAUUCAUACAUUAACUAUACCUCUGUACAGAUACAUAUCUCAACUAAGAAAAAAUUCAAAUUUGCUAUAUGCCACCAUUUAUUUACUUCUUCUUCGUUUUUCCUCUCUACUGGAAUUACUAUUUGAGGAUUUUCCAAAGUCCAAGAUCCUUUAAUGGCGCCAUCAGCUUGUUCAUAUUAGCAUUUUAAUUUUCUUAAAGUUUCUAAAUUGUAGUUAGUUUAAUAGAUUUCGAACUUGAACAAUUGAAAUUCCAACUUGAACAAAUUCAUGAUGUAAUUGUAGAACUCUAGAUUUCUAUAAAUCUACAUAUUGUGAUUCCAGUAGAGAUAAAGAAGAAGGAGAAAUAAAUAAAUGUUGGAAACGUCGUUUUGUCUCAAAUUUUAGGUGUUUAAUUUGGUUAAGAUUUAAACGGUAUAGUUAAUGAUAUUAGCAUCUACGUAUGUUACAAUAGACAUAAUGUUAACCACAUCUCAGGAUAUGCAUGUUAUUGCACGAAACAAAAAGAUUAGGUAGUGAAUUUAAAUUUUUGCUUAGUUUGGGUAUGUAUCUGCACAAAAGUAUAGUUAAGGUAUGAAUUGAACAUACCUAUUGAGUUGAGGUAUGAAAAAGUCGUUCUUCCCCUCUUUGCCACUCUGAUUUUUGGCAGAGUAAUGAAGGAAAAAAAAAAGUAAUCUGGAAAUUAAAAAAUACAAUGAAUUAUACCAAUAUAACUUACAUUUUCUGAGGAUCUACGUCUUCGAGGAAACAAACACUCCCUCAAACCGGGCCUUGUGGCCUAGUGGUAAAGGGGUCACAGCUGUGACUUCCGCCACCGGGGUUCAAGGCACGGCCACUGGCAGGUUUACAUAGGGGAAUUGCCAGCCUCGUGGGAUUAGUCUUUGGGCCUAGGAAGCCUUUGGGAGACCCGCGGUUAUUCAAAAAAAAAACACUCCCUCAAGCUAUUGAUAUUCAUCAAAUUACAAGAGCUAACAAAGAAGCUUUGUUUAAUACCGAACUAUUUAAUACUUUUUUUAAUUAAUAAACUUGUAAAUAUCAUAUAGAAUGAAAUGUUUAGGCUUUACAAAAUAUAGACCUUAACCUUACUACUGUGGCAAAAAAAAGAAAUAAAAAAACAAGAGAGUUAAAGAACUCAUUCUAACCACAGUUGCAUUAAAUUAGAGAAUUUGUUGAGAUGUCUUCUAGCAGUAAUCGAGUUACGAACUACAUAAUUUAUUAGAAGACAAAAGUGCCAUUAAUCUACUUAAUGUAUUAAUCCUCUUAAUGGUCCAUAUUUUCUUGAAGUUCACUAACAACCCGUUUGCAAGUGACUCCCUCGUAAUCUACUUAAUGUAUUAAUCCUCUUAAUGGUCCAUAUUUUCUUGAAGUUCCAUUUGAGUAAAGCUUGAACCUCUCCACCAGCAAGAGUAUUGCCCACACAAGGGCUAUUUAACCCCAUGAUAUAAUCUGAAUUACGUAAUGAAAAUAAAAUAUGAAAAUUCAGUAACAAAAUUUAAAUAAUGAAUUAAAAAAUUACAUAUAAUAUUUAAAUGAUUAAAAUCGUACAAAAACGAUAUAUGGAACAAUAGAAAAGUACAUACAUAAUAAACAGAAAUCUAAAUUUACUAGUCUGGCAUCCGCAAGCUGAAGAAGAAUUUUUAAAUAACCUCGAAAUCUUUAGAUCGACUGUCAUCCUCCUCCUUCAUAUGCGUCAUCUUCUCAUUGCUUCACGGGAUCCUUCGUCGCUUGAAGCAAUUCUUGAGUCAUGGACAAGGUCGGCCCUGUCAUAAAGCAACUAAAGCACAAGCUUUAGGCCACUGAAUAUAAACUAAAUUUUAGGGCCACAUUUUUCUAAAUGUUAUAUUUGCUCAGUGGUUAUAUAGUCCAAAAGUUUAUUGUAGGUAUAGAAUUCGAAUCCCUUUGAAGUCACGGUUCCUUCUUUUUUGGGGUAAUAUUUCCAGCUUCUCUCUUUAAUUAUCUCUUUAUUCUUCUCUUCCCUCCAGUUUUUUUUAAUAGAUUUUAUUUGCUAAAGUGCUCAUGCUAAUCAUUUUCGUAAGAACAACAGAACUAAUUACUAUCGUCACUGUGAUAUUCAAUAUCAUAUAUAACUGUGAGAUUCAAUAUCUAUGUUUACGAAUCACGAACACGAAAAUGACAACAAUUACAUUUCUGUAUAUAUAUUUCUGAUUUAAUCUAUUAUUACUCGACUAUGAAAACCUAAUUAAUUACUGAAUUUGUUGAAGAAAAAAUUAGAAAAGUUUAUUUUUGUGAACGGAAAUAAAUUAGAUUGUCUUACGUUGUUAAUAUAUUUAAUGUUUUUUUUCAUCAACUAUAUCUGAUGAUUUACAAAAAAAAAUUAUAGUGUUUUAAUGUUAAUUUUUUAAUCAUUAGUAUAUAAGAAGUCCACAUAGUUUAAGCAUGCUUUAGGCCACAUAAUGUCAAGGACCGGCCCUGGUCAUGGAGCUUGCUGGAGUAAACGAGAAUGAUGUUACACAGCCCUCUGGAAUGAAGUCUAAGCCGUGUCGACGUCCUUCUUCUUUACAAAAACAUUCUAAUAUUGAAAACUAAUAAUUAAAACUAGUUACUUACAGAGAUAGAGAAAAUGUACUUACUGAUUGGUAGAGCUUCUCCAUAUCAGUUUUUGACACCUCCCUGGACUAGAUGGAGAAUGCAUGCGCCGCGCCCUUAGAGAGGAAAACCUAAGAUAACUGCUUGCCAACCUUCUUCUUGACAACCUCGAAGAUGGUCUACUAAAUCUUCUUGUCGAAGAUAGUACUAUUGGAAUUACCUCCUUAAAGUUACCUCUAUAAGGGUUUUAUGAGGAAAAAGUUCUCCAAAUUCAAACAAUUUUGGAUUGAUGUAUGUUUGGAGAUCUCUAUAUAUACCGCCUUCAUUGAUGUUGAAGCCAUUUGCUUUUCGUGAUGUGAUAUGUUCUUGUCUAAUGGGCCAAGUGUGUGGUUCAAAUUUUGUCACCCAUCUAAAAAGAAUGCACUCCUUGAUAAACAAAGCAAGCUAUGUAAGGAUAUAAUAGUACUCUGAUCGAUGAGCUCCUUUUCAUAAUUAUCGUAGAGUGACGGUAGAUUUAUCUCUUCGGACAAGUUUAUUUGGUUAAGGCCACAUUUCCAUCCUAACUUGUUUUUGGAGUUUAAUUUUUUUUUCGAAUAUUCCUUUUUGUUUUCAGUUUUAUAUUUGUAAAUUAAAGUUUCAUAAAAGAAAAAAGAUAAACACACAAUAUUAGUGGUUUUGUGUGGAUCAUCUACUCCGUUUUAGGAGUGUUAGAGCAUCUCCAACCCACAUCUAUAUUUAUCUCUAAAAUAGAGAUUUCUAUUUUUUUCUCUAUAUAUAGAGGUGGGAAUAGAGAAUCUCUAUUUUUUUCUCUAUAAAUAGAGUUAAAUUUUUUAGAGGAAAAAAUAGAGGAACACAUUGGAGUAAAAAUAGAGAAAAUUUAUCUCUAUUAUAGAAAUAGAGCUAAAAAUAGGGAAAUACAUUGGAGAUGGUCUUAACCAUCUUUUAUGAAUUAACUAGGUCCGGACCCGCACAUACGUGCGGGGUUUUAUAUUUUGAAAGAUGCGGGUUGAAUAUUUUUUGUAUAACGUAUAGUGAAAACGGGUCUAACAUUUAGUGUUGGAAAACGUAUGUAUGGGGUUUUUUGUUUGAUUGGUUAAAAAGAUUGGAAAGAAUAAUUAGUAAGAAUUUAGUAAUUUUGAUUGGUGAAUGAUUGGAUAUCUUGGUUUGGUUUUGUUGAAUUAUUGAGAAAGUUGCAAAAUUGGUUGUAAUAUUUGUGAAACGAAAUUAUUAUUCUGAGUUUUAUUGUAUAUUUUUAUUUCUUAAACUAAAAAAUGAUUUGUUUGGUGAAAUAAAAUUAUUGUUUGUAAUUUGAUGCAUAUUUCAUAAAUAUAAAUGAUUAUAAUUCAGAUAAAGGCCCGUUAAUGAUUCCCCUUUUAAUUAGGAUUGGGCUGGAUUUUUGAUAGACCCAUUUAGAGAUCCAUGGUUUCGUUUUUGUUUUUUAAUACAGAAUCAAAUGUUUUUUUUUUCUUUUGGACAGAAGUGAUUAUAGCACGAUUCUUUGUCUUAUGGUCUUCAAAGAAUGAAUCCCUAAAAAUCAGAAGCUUUUCCGAUUUCUCAAUCAAUGUCAAAAGUUUCGAUCAUCAAUCGAGUCUCUGUACAUAUAAUUUCCAUAUCAGAUUCGGAAUUUCUCCAAAGAGGUAAGGUUUUUAGAGAUUCUUCUUCAAUCAAUCUAUUUUUAUAAUCUGUUGAUUCAUUUACAAUCUUUGUAAUUCUGUGUUUCAACAGAGAUCUUGGGCUAUUACUGUGGGUAUACGAACUUGCAUGAGUAAGUAUUUUCAAUUAUAUUUGUUGUUUAGAUCCGUAAUUGCAUGUCUAUAAUUUUUGUGUUUAUUCGGGUAACUCUAUCUAUUAUCAAAAUCUUCUAUGCGUUGGAGUGAAAAGAGGCUAUAAUUUGAUUUUGUAUAGAUUUAGGCAAUAGAUUUUGUUUCCUAAUAUUUAAUUUGUUCCUAAAUUGAUUUUAGAUAAUGAUUGGAUGAUGAUUUUGUCUGAGGAAGACGAUUUACAAAGUUAAGCUUUCUAUUACAGCUCUUACAUAACAAAACAAUGUCUUAAUAUAUAUGGUUCUGAUUUUACCAAAUACAAUGUUUACAGAGAAGGCAAAAUAUUCGAGUUGAUUUCAAUCUGAGAAGACAAAUUUGAUGUCCUUUAGUAGCCAUAACGGAAUCUGGAAGCUAUUUUAAAGGUUAGAUUAUGUAAUCUCUUUCUGAAAUUGUAGAGUUGUUAUAUAAAACAUAUAGUUGUCAAUCUAUACUUUUAAAUAUUGAUAUUGCGUAGCUUAACAAUUAUGAGUACAAUAUAGUUUUUAGAAAACUUACUUAAAUUUAGGGAAUAUACUAAUUAAACUUUUUAUGGAAAACAGAGUAAAAUAGAGAUUAAAUACAAAAGAAACAAAUAGGGUAGGUUUAAGUCGAUUACAAAAGGAGUUUUCCAUACCUCCAAGGAAGUUUUUAAAAAGACAGAGUUCAUCUCCUCUAAAAAUGUAAAAAGAAACAACAUAAACUAAGAGAAACUGAAGUAACCUUGCAAAUCCAAUCCCUCCUUCCUUCACAUGUUAGUUCUCAUCAACCAUCUCCAUCAUCACAUCCUCUUCGUCACUUGAUCCAUCGUCGAAUGAUCGCCUGCAAAAAAACAUAUGCUUUAUGUUUACCUAGGCUAUGAAUCUCAACCAAAAUAUAAGCCAAUUAUAAGAGAAUUUUUAACUUACAGAUAACUUGGAAUGUCAAGUUCAUAAAAGAUUGGAUCAAUGUAUAGACGUGAACAGCCAUAUUCACUCAUUAAAACAUUGUUUCCUAUAGGAAAAAAAAAGAUUCAGUCAAUGUAACUAAUAAAAUUGUAAAGUCAGUUCAUAAAACUAUAAUAAGAACCAACCACAGUAAGAAGUUAUUCUCCAGAAACGCAAGACUGCAACAAUCUUAUCAUAGUUGUAGUUUAUUCCGCUUAUUUUCUGAGACCAAGUGUUCACAAAGAACUCACACCACUUUCCCACAGCUACGCAUUUUAUUGUCUCCCCCCUAGAUUAAAAGUUUAAUUUCCAAACAAAAGAACAGUCAAUCCAAUUUCUUAAAGUAAUUUAAGAACAACCAUUGAAAUUCUGUUAUAGAGGGUAAACUAAACUUACACAUUAUUUUUAAUUUUGAAGCAGACAUAGCGAGAUUCAUAGUCUGUUUCUCCUCUGCGACACACAUAUGGAAACCUUCCUAUGGUGGAAACAGCAGAGAUAACUCCCAUAGCAUCUAAGUAAAAAUUAAAGGAAAAUGGUCAUAUAAGUCUUCAUAUAUAAUAAAUCUUGGUAUAAAACAUUUAAUUUCACAAAUUAUUACCAAAGACAGAGUUUUUAUCAUCUUCAUGAGCAUUUCUGACAGUAUCAGGCCAAACAAAGUUCCAGUAAUUGUUCCAAGACUUAGAUCUAACAGGCCACAUGGUAGUUCCACUCAAAAACUUAACCUGAAGUGGCAUAGUUGAAUAUCUGACUUGGUUUUUAGGUAUGAUGACUUGAAAGUCAGUCAUGUAGUACCAAACGUCUUGUUUGAGUCCUCGCUGAAAGUUCCAGAGGUAGUAACCUUGUGGAAUUGUUGCGUCCAUUAAAUUCCCCUAUACAAAGGAAAGAAACAAAUUAGAUAAGUAGUUUUUCAACCCUAGAACAUGAUUUUAAAAAGGUGUAAAACAGAACAAUAGAAUUAGAAACAAACCUUCUCAUCUGCGAGAAUCAUUGUAGUUAGAUCACCAUUGAAAGGAGGAUUAUGAUGCCAGAUACUCAUUAUCUUAACACAAACCCUCCACUUUGUGGAAUGUCUUCGCAAAUCAGAGAGAAGGUGCAUUUUCUCCAUAGUUUCUAAAAGAUUUUGUUUUGCUUUCAACUGGGAAGAUAUCUCUGUAAAUCUAAAAUCUCUCAACGCAUAUAUAUAGAUAUAGAUAUAUUGGUUAAGAGACGCAAAGGAUUAAAAUAAAAAGAAAAGGAAACUGAAUCGUUAAUAGAAUAUAUAAAAUAUAAAAAUUUGAAAAGACUGAUGCAAAUCAUUGCUAAUUAUUACAAAAGGAUACAGUUUACAUUUUUCAAGAUACACCCAACGAUUUAGAUUUGCCUAGAUUGUAUAAACCGUCAAAUAUGGAAGUUUCUUUAGUUUUUGUUAUUCAUGAUAGAUUUUUUAUAUAAUAGAUUAUAUAUAAGUAAAAUAUAUAAGUAAAUAUGUACUUAAAUAAUAGUAUCGAUUUUUUGUAACAGGAUCUAGAUUUGCCUAGAUUGUAUAAACCGUCAAAUAUGGAAGUUUCUUUAGUUUUUGUUAUUCAUGAUAGAUUUUUUAUAUAAUAGAUUAUAUAUAAGUAAAAUAUAUAAGUAAAUAUGUACUUAAAUAAUAGUAUCGAUUUUUUGUAACAGGAUCUAGUUUUUGCUAUUUGUUAGUUACAAUUAUAAUGGUACUGAUGCUAGAUAAUUCUAUGUUUACAGACCAGGCAACAUCUUUAAAGAAGGCAAAUGUGAAAGCAAUGAUAAAGCUAGUCCAGCUUCUGAAAGCACUGAUAAAGGUUAGUGAGGUCUAAAUGAUUCAAGAAGUAUUUAGAUCCACAAUUAAAUAUGAAGUUGUCGUGAUGUGUUAAUUGUUUUUCGAAAAUGAUUUUACUAUAUUCUCUGUUGACAUGUAUGUUAAAUUCUGCAAUUGGUUGAUAAGAUAUUAAAGUAAUACUACUUGUUUAUAUGAAUUAACAGAAUAUUUAGAUUCUGUAUAUGUUUUUGGAAUUAGUAAACUUUUAAUAGUUUACCUUUUUGUACUUAAUAUGAUUUAAAUGUAAAUGAAAAAUUAUUUAAAACAAAGUUAUGCUGAUAUUAAUAAUCAAAAUUUCUGAAUCUAUAUUAUUAAAAGAGAAUUGAGAGAAUAACAGACCAAGUUUGGUAAAAUAAUCUCUUCAAUGGAAGUCGUAGAUUGAAGAGAUUACUACCAAAUUUCCAUUUCCAUACCAGCUUCUACCUGUUCAGACAACCAAUAAGAAAUUAGUAAAGUGUAACAGGUGAAAAUAAUAAUCAGUUUUUAUUGAUUGUUACCUCUUAAACCAAAUGUCUUUUGCAAUGUGUAAGCUUAUAGGUUCUGAAAGACUUCCUUAAACACCACAUUCAACGUUUCCUUGUGCGGCUUUCCUUCUUUGUCCACUAUGAGUAUCUUCAGUCCUUUUUUUGAAGUUACCCUUGAGAUAGCUACAUAGAGUUGGCCAUGAGAAAAGCAUGGCCUUGGUAGAUAGAUGCCAACCUUAUUCAACGAUUGUCCCUGGCUUUUAUUAAUGGUCAUAGCAAAAGCAACUGCUAUUGGAAGUUGUCUUCGACGCAUUUUAAACGGAAGUUUAGUAUCAGAUGGAGAUAUCAAUAUCCUGGGAAGGAGGACUUUAUCUCCGACUCUAUCACCUGUAAUAAUGACAGCCUCAAUGACUUUAUCACCCAUUUGUGUUAUUUGCAGUCUAGUGCCAUUCAUUAGCCCUCCUCUUGGAUCUAAAUUUCGUAGUAACAUCACAGGACAACCAACUUUCAACCUUAUACCAUGAUUUGGCAAUCCAGAUAUCUUUAGACCGUUCAAAAACUCUGAUGUCAACACGGGAUUAUUUGUACCUCCAAUAUCAGAAGGAUCAACAGAAUCUGAACUUAGGUAUAGUUGUUCAUCACCUACAAAUAAUUUAAAAUGUCUUUAUAAUACAUCAUAUCUCAAUGAAAUGCCUAAAAUAUUAAGAGUAGUGGAGACUAACCUUCGAGUUGAUCAAGCAUAUAAUCGUUGACAAUACCCACAUCUUCAUUGGUAGGACAUAAAAUAGCCCUUUGUUGGAAAAAUACAGGAUCGGUUUCAUCCUUCAAUAACUUAGGAUCUCCAUAAACUUCCCUGCUUAUUGCCUCAAUUGGAUUAUCAGCGUUUGUGAUCAAAAACUCUUUUGGAAUUUCUAUCAUCACUUCUCCAUCAUUAGGCUGUGCUAUCUUACCAUCACCAACUGCUAGAAUCCACUCUGAAAAUUCUUUUAUAUCCUUAGCCUCACUUGGACUCAAAUCCUUUGAAAGUAGCCUCAUAUUUUUCGUGAGUUUCAGAACUUUGCAAUGAUUCCAAAGAUAAGAAGCAUUAAGUGCAGCCAUACAAAUUUCUGCUCUCGAAGCACCAUGUAUCACAGGUAGUACUUGUCUGAAAUCUCCACCAAAAACAACUACUUUGCCACCAAACGGUUUGUUUCCACCACCUUUAAUAAUGUCUUUGAAACUCCUAUCCAUAGAUUCAAAACAAUGCUUACUCAUCAUUGGAGCUUCAUCCCAAAUUAUCAAAGACGCUUCUUCUAUUAAUUCUGCCUGAUUUGAACCUUUCUCAAUAUUACAUACAGUGAAGUCGUCUGGAUUUAUUGGAAUACCAAACCGAGAGUGCGCUGUUCUCCCACCAGGUAACAAUAGAGAAGCAAUGCCGCUGGAAGCCACAUUUAGCACAAUAGAACCUCUAGAUCUUACAGAAGCUGAGAGUGUCGUAUAUAUAAAAGUUUUACCAGUUCCACCAAAGCCAUAGACAAAGAAGACACCUCCCUUGUCAUUAUCAACAGCAUCGAUGAUCUCUAAAUAAACACUCUUCUGCUCAUCUGUCAUUUUCUGCAACGAUUCUUCAAGUUUUUCCUUCUGUUCAUUGCUAUCGUAGCUUUUUUCAUCAAGUAUCAAGACAUUACUAUCAUCAAUUUCCUCAUCAGGUAACUGUGGCAUUGUUCUGAAAGCUGUUAGAGAUGUUCCAUUGCUUCGUAAGAUGCUGUUGAUUUCUUUUAAAGCCAACAUCUGUUUUUGCUCGUCCGUAAGUGUUAGUUCUGUGUCCCAAAAAUAUGUAAAAAAACAGUGUUAUUUGUAAGACAGAAUAAUCAUGACAAAAACUACUUAAAAUUGCAAAGUAACAACUCUUUAAACCAACCAAAGAGACUAAAUUAUUUGAUCAAAAAUUACCUGGUCUUUUAAAGUACUCUCUCCUUUUUCUUUCGAUGUCUUCUGAUAGAAGUUCCCAUGUUUUUUCCCAAACAACUUCUGGUUGAGAUAAGCUGGUAGACUGGAGCAUUACAACAAACAUACAACGCAAGUAGUUUCCAGUAGCCCAAAAACUGGUUGUCUUUAUUGUAUCAAUAUACUCCUGGUCAUCGUCAAGCAAACCCAGAGCAUAACAUGCCUCCUUGAACGAUUUGUACACCACGCCAUUCACUGUUUUGAUGUCUUCGAAACUUUCAGGUCCAGUUUGAUGAUUUAGAAGCACUCUUAAAUAAUAACCUUCCUCAUAAAUAAGUGGGACAUAAUUAAUCCUUCCGAUUGUUUUCCCUGGUCGCUUCCUCAUAUUGAAAGUUCUUGUUUUACCAUCCCAAGUAUAAUAUUCCGGAAUCUGAGUAUAUGUUAGAUCUUUGGCUUUAGGACACCGCUUGUUCAAUUCAAACCAAGCAAGAAACAUCGAAUUCUGUAAUUCUGAUUUUUUCAAAACUGUUUUCACCUCAUCAUCACCUUUAAAAUAUAAUAGUUGUUUGCCUGGUAGAUGGAAGGAUAAUCUUUGAACAGACGUUGACCUAUAAUGUAUAGGAUUUUUCAAGAUUCUCCAUCCAGCUUCACAUGCUGAUACAUAUCUGAUACAAUAUCAUAAAACAUGUAUUAGUUAGAAAUGAGUUAAGCAUCUAAACUAUUUACCUAAAUCCAAGUAGAUUUUAUACCUGCAAUUAAAGAAGUCUUGUAUUUCAUUUUUACUUGUGCCCCCACUGUUUGAACUAUCAGACUUCUCUGUAGUAGUUGUAGUCUUUGUAGACUUUUCAUUAGGCUCAACAACUACUGAAACUCUGUCCAUCCCUUUAGUGAUAUACUUGAAUAAAUACUUGAUAGAGCCAGUUUGGUUACACCACUCAACAUUAAUAUGAGCUCUGUAGCGAAGCAGCAACUUCUUGUUAUAGGGUAUAACAUAUCCGUUGUCACACCUAAAUCCACACUUCUCCACAAACAGCUUUGUCUUUCUUCUUCUGUACAAAGGGAAACCUUCUUUAUCAACUUUAGUAUGUUCUCUAAGUUUUUUUGGGAAAAACUUAGAACAUUUCCCUUCAAGCAUACAUGGUGAAUUCUGGUUGACGACGCCACAUGGUCCAUGAAUCAUCAUGUCUUUUACGACCUCAUAAAGUUCUGGUUCUUUAGUCUUGUCAGGAAUUUCCGCAGAAAUGAUUUUAUCAAUGUCUUCUGGUUUUGGAAACUUAGAACUUGGAUGCAUCCAUAUCAAUAUAUGUGCAUGAGGAAGACCUCUUUUCUGGAACUCAAUUGUAUACAUUGCUGCGAGAACAACAUGAGAUAAUAAUAUUAGUUAAACGACAUUUAGAAAAAUAGCAGAAACAGAUAAUUAAAUUAUAGACUGUUAACGCAACUAUUAAAAUAAAUCACUUACAUGAAACAGUCUUCCCCAAUAUAUGUUUCUUCGUUAAAUCAUCCAUUAGAGAAUUCAGCUUCAUUUUGAACAUUCUGCUUAUGAUCUCUGGCCUAUCAUCGGAAUUACAAUUUCUAUCAGUACAAAAGCUUACCAGCUCAGUCCAUUUUGGAUUGCAUGUGAACGUAAUGAAUAGGUCAGGAAAUCCAUAAUGAUUACAUGUAGACAUUGCAUCCAUGUACAUGUUCUUCAUGUAUCUUGGCCCACCAACAAAAGUAGCUGGUAGAUAAAAUGCUUUUCCUUCUUCAUUCAUAUCUGUCUUUCCUGCUGUUGCCGCCUCUUUAACUGAAUCAUAGUUAGUAGCUCGUAAACUUGACUGAUUCAGUUUAAUAUAUUUGAGCCUAUUAGCUUCAAUGGUGGUAUAAGCAUCAACCAAGAACUGCUGGUACAACCGUUUGGACCUUAGCAGGAUACUUUGUUCAUUCUUUCUCUCUUGUAUACGAUACGCAUACCAUUGACGCAAACUUAUGCAAUCAUUCUCCUCAGUUCCUUCGGGCUUGUUUUUCUUUUUACCAUGGUUAUUCCCUUUCUGAAUACCUGUCCUAUAACCAUCUUCACCCUUUGGAAACAAUAGAGGGUAUUGUAGAGCAAGAUAACAUGGUUCUAUUUCACUGAUUCUUUGUAAAUACCCAGAUUUUUCUUCAAUAAUAAUGUCACGACUUGGCAUACCAAUGUGAAAAUCACCUGGAAUCAGCGCUGCGACCUCCGAAGCUGUUGGCACUGCAUAUGUUCUUCCAUCUUUGACACGGUCACUCACUAUUUUCAUAUGAAAGCUCUGUUCAGGAUUGGUAUUAAACCUAUCACGAGCUUGUCUAAAAUGAGCAACGUAUGGAUUAACUUCAUUUAGCAGCUUUAUUAUCGCCUCAAUUAUUUCUUUUCUCAACUCUGACUUCUUCUUAUAUUUCCCAGCAGAUUUUCCUUUGCUGAAAUAUUAAUUUAGUUAGCAACGACACUAAUACUUACAGAAAAAAACACAAAGUCUGGAUACUGUGAUGGCUUGUUUUGAGUUAGAAAAUGUACCUUAAAAUUCCUGCUCUGUUUUCAACUUCAUUCUCUGUGUCAACUAUAUAUAGCUGACUAAACUUAGGAAAUUCACCUUCUCCAGGUUUCAAACUUCCCAUCUGGUGGUAAUUCUCUCCUUGUAUCUGAAACAUAUUAGGACCCCUUCCCGCUGUAACAGAAUUAUCACACUUACCCCCAAGAGAAGUAAAUGAAAAAAUCAUGUUAUAUGCUCGGAUGUUCUCUCUAAAGUGUCUACUCAUGUCAUCAUCAUUGGUUAGCAAAGCAAAUAACAGUUCUGGUUGAUUAUGGAGGAAAGGCAGUUUCACAGAUCCUUGCAGACAACAUUGAGUAAAAAUUGGUUUACGAACUUUCUUAUGUCUGUUGAUGCGUUCGCCAUACCACAUAAUAGCACCGCAGUAGGAACAUGAGUAGACAGGAUCUCCAUGAUCUAGAUACUCUACAAUAACGGGAAUAAGUUUAGCAUAAGUAAAGUUUGUGUAAGAAAAGAAUUAGAAAUAAACCAAUGAUGUAGUACCUGUGUUUUUGUUCUUUCUGAUAGAAACAUUAGGAGUUUUUAUUUCUCCAAAAGCUUUGGUCAAACUUUCAUCUAACAUUGAUAAAAACUCAUAUCUUUGUUUGACUUCGAUUGGGAUAUCGUCUAUGGUUUCAUAAUCUUCAGAUGUUUCUGAAUCAUUUUCAUCGAUGGUACUCACUAUUUAAUUGAAACACGAUCCAGCCCUUUAGUGAUAAACUUGAAUAACUUUUUGAUAGAUUGAUUUUGGUUGCACCUACUAACAUUACCUGAUCAAUAGAGAGGUCAUUACGUUGGUCAGUCUGCUGGUCAGAAUCUUCAAUAGUAUCUAGAUUGUCAGAUUCAUUACCCAGCCAAACGGUUGAAACCUUGUAGGUAUCAUCAGUUUCAUUGAUGUUUUCCUUUCCAACAGUCACCAGAAACUGGAAAGUCUUUCCAACCAAAUCUCUGAUUGGCUGAGGCAAGUUUGUAGGAUCCUGAAUCUGUUAUGAUAGAUUGAAAAAAGUAUAUAAGAUAUUUGAAUAAUAUGGUCUAUAUACAUAUUAACAAUAAAUUUGUUUACCUCAUCCCACUUCCCUUCCAGCAAAUCCUCUGCAGACACACCGAUUAUCUCUUGUGCACUUUUAUCAAAGAUAAGACAUUUAGUGUCUCCAGUGCUAUCCAUCACUCCAACGUUUAAAAGAUACCUACAUAUCAAAGGAACAGGAAAGUAGAUUAUGUACCUAGUUAUUAUCUGACAAAUGUAGAUAUAUAUUAGCAAAUCUCAAAGUCUUACCUUGGUAUCACCUUAGGAGUGUCUUCCUUACAUGUUGGACACCAAAACAUUUCUUUCUUGCCUUUCUUGACAAUCUCAUUUUCAACCUUUGGAAUCUUAUAGGCAGUUUUGCUACACUUGAGGCAACUAAAGAAAUACCAAGAAUAGUCUGUGUCGAUAUUCAUUAUGGUACAAAUUAUGUUGCACUUUCCAGUCUAUUACAAAAAAAUAGAUAAUUAGUAGUAUAGACAGAGAAUUUAAUAGUUUCUAGAAAAAAUAAUAUUAUCCAAUACAAAUACCUCAGCAAAACAAAAGAGUCCAGAGAUGGUUUUCCUUGGAAAACGAUCAUAGUAAUCCUUUUUUCUCUGUUCUGCAUUCACUUGUUUUGCCUUCGAGUCUUCGAUAGUCAGUGGAAUAACAUCCGGUGGUAAACUAUUUUUAACAAAUAAAAGAACACGAAAUCAACUUUAGAUAUUAUAAAAAGGAUUAACAGUUAUCUAUAUUAGUAAAAGAAAUGUGAUGUUUAAACAUAUCUUACUUGGCCACAAAAUCAAGAACAGCAGGGUAGGUAGCAUUGAUUUCCAAUAGAGACAUAUCAAAUGAAUUUGAAACAGCUCUUUCACCUACAAACAGCAUGAUAUUAGUAUUUUCACAUAUGUUCUGAUUUCAUUUCGAUUUCAAAAUCAUCCAUUAUUCCCAGUAACAACAUUCUAUACCUUUAAAUGAGUUGAUCUUUGCAAGCCGAAGUAAGCAUAUCACUCUCUCAGUCCCUGCAUUUUGACAUGCAUUAUACAUUGCCUCAGCAAAUCUCCCCCAAAGAGUGCAUUUCAGCCUUUCAUCACUACAAUACAACAAAAAUAUUGAGAAAGUUUUAAGUUUAGAUGUAUGUAAGAUUAAAUAAAAAAGGUAGAUUCAUGAUAAAACUUACUUUGUGUCUCUGAGUUCACACUCAAGUCUCUUUGUGAUCUUGUUAUUAACAUCAUGAAUUUUCAUUUCAUUGAAACUAACUACCUGUCCAAGUACAUCUGCAAAAUAAGAGAGUAAUAUAUUAUAUUUUCAUGAAGAAGUUCCUAUUAUAAUAGAAAAAGAAAAUAUACAAUGGAAAGUAAGAUAGAUAUAGUACCAAUUAAGAUGUUUUCACUCAAUCCUGCUUCAUUCAAAAUAUCUGGAAAGUUUGCCAGAUCCACAUAAAUGUCAUCAGAAACAGAAGGAGUGCGACUUAUCACAGUUUUUUCCAUCAUGGACAUUUUGAAACCAUGUUUUGUGGCUCGAUACUUUCCUGUUGAUUUGGUUAGCGUAAAAUGCUCGAUAAUACGCCAUUCUCCAGAAACUAUGAACCUUUGCAGUUUGCUCACUUGUGGCUUCUUAACAGUAGCAUGAAUCAAAGUACCCUGGCAACAGAUAAAAAGAACUCAUGUUAAUCAUCCAGUGAUAUUGAUGAUUGAUAAAUGUUUAAUAUGUUUCAAAAUGAUAGUUCUUAUACUUACAGCUGUAUCAGCAAGAACCAUUUCAACUGUCUCCCCGGUGAAUUGAGUGUAUUGUGUCCACGAAUGCACAAUCUUAACUUGAAUUUUCCAAUGUGUUUUGAAGGGCUUAAUGUCAGCAAGAGGGGUGAAUGCUUGAAUAGCUGCCAUUUUAUUAGAGAAAUAGUGAAGUGGUAAUGGUAAAGCUUUGAAAGGUGAGUUCUUUCUAAUGCAGGUCCCUAUAUUUAUAGUAAUCAUAUGGAGCAUUUAGUUUUAUUAGGUUUUAGAGAAUAUAGGCCGUAUAAUAUAUUUUGGGAUUAGGAUCUUAAAGAUAUAUGCUUGAUUUAGGGAGAUUUAUUUGUUUGGUAUAUCAAUAUCGAACUGAAUAUGGAUAUUGUAGAGAUUGUGUGAGUUUGAAUACCAACUACUAAGGGAAAUAUAAUAAGUUAGAAUUAUAUAUCUUUCAAUAUAGAGAAAUUUGAAUGAUUGAGUUUUGCAUGUAAAGAAAUUUUUUAAAAUUGGCAUUGAUAGUUUGUGUUGAUAUGGAAAGAUCUUUGCGAGAUUUGGGCGAUAAUUAUCGAAUAGGUUACAAUAUUGUAUCUUUCCUAUUAAUAUAGGGUAAUAGGAAUUAAUAAGUUUUGCAUUUAAUUUGCCGUCUAAAUAUAUAUUUUUACAUUGGAAUGAACUGUUUCCGGUGAUAUGGUAAGAUUUUUGCGAGAUUUGAGUGUAAUUAAUCAAAAAAUUAAUUGCUAACUUAUUCCCGAUUUAGAAUAAGUAAAGAAUAUGCUUGAUUUGUUAUUAUAUGGAAUAGAAAUAAAUACGUUUUAUUUUAGGAAGUGUAAAUUAUGAGAUUUGUUUGUUAAAGCAAUAUACAGAGUAGUUGAUUGAUCCGGAAAAAUAGUUAUGGUAUUGUUUGAUUUGUGUUGCUAAUGUUUUUAUUUCGUAUUAUCUAUACAGAUUCGGAAAUUUGAAGUAAAAGGGAUUAACGAUGGGCCUGUAGGAAAUAUCUAAGCCCAAUAGGAAAUAUAGAAUCUCAUCGGGUCAGAUUCACAGACGCAAAAGAUCCGAGUGUAGGAUCCGGGAUCCGCGUCUCGCGUGCGGGAAUUUUACAAUUUUACCCCUCCACGCAAAUUUUUAUUUUGUCUUUGAAAUUUUAAUUGUAAUGGCAUUCUCUUGUAAUUAUUUACACUUGGUAAGGUUAUUUUUCAUGUAAUCCUUCCCAAUUAAUAGUAUAGAUAAUUAUGACUUGUGUGAAAUGAUUGUACGGUUUGAUAUAAGUUAAUGUUUUAGUUUAAUAGUUGAAUUAGUCAAACUAACUAUUAGAGGCAACGUACUAUGUACACGCAACAGUAAAUAAACAAGAAAAAUACCUUUUUCGUCAAAAUUUUAAAAAAUAGUUUAAAUCAUAUUGUUGACUCUAAAUUAAUUUUACACCAAUAAAUUGCAUGGAUUGAUAAUUUCUUAAUAAAUAAGAUAUGACUUUAAUUUCUUAUAAGCGAGAGGUUGCCAUUCAAACUUACCUUCAUUUGUUAAAUAUAGACUUGGCAAUAAAAAAUUGCAUGAACAGAAAAAUCCUCCAAUAUUAUUGCGAGGAAGAAAAUGACGUCUCUAUGACUCUAUAUAUGUACAUAUAUGGUACGUUAGACUAGGUACACAUGCAGCUUGAUAGAGAAGACGAAGAAGAAUGGGUUCGAAAAUAUUGAGUAUUGGUCUUAUUCUAUCUCUGUUUCUUCUUUGCUUCUCAUCUGAAAUUGGAGUCAUUGAGGCUACUAGCCGAAAAUUAGGUGAGUAAUUGAUUUCUAAAUCUUCUUUUAAUAUUAUCUUAGCUUCAUUUAUGUAUACACUUGUAAAGUUUGUGUUCAAACUUAAUAUAGAGAAAGCAAAAAUUGGCACUCCACCAUCUAAAACAUGCCGAGGUAAAACACGAGGAGGAGGAUCAUCUUCUCGAGGGUGGAGGAAGAGACCGUGUCCACGUCUUGCUUGAACAUCCACAAUAAACCCUUGAAUAAGAAGAAAAAAAAAAGAUCACUCGUUCAUGUUACGUUACCAGUGAAACUGUUGUGCACCUGCAGUGACUUUGAGUUAUCUCACACUGUUGUCCAUUUAUAUAUAUAGACCAAAUAUUCAUACAAUAAAUCUUCAAACUUUGAGUUAAAAUUAAACGAAAGAUACAGAUUUUUGUUUUGUUGUUUAUGUUGAACAAAAAUUAAAUGAAUGAUAAAUUAAAAAAAUAAAAUAAAAUAAAAAAUGUAACAAUGAAUAAAAGCAUUAGACACCAAAAAAUCUCGAGGUUAUCAUAAAUUGUCUAAAGCGGAUAAACUAUAUAGAAAAUUUUUCGAAUAAUCGAUCUAGAACUCUAACCACUAAAUAUGAUUGAGUAACUAUAAUUAAUGAUAUCAACGACGAGAUCUAAAAAUCAAGAAACUUAACCAUUGUACGUUUUAGUUCUAAGAGAUAAUCUACAUAAUUGUUCGAGUUAAUAUGUUGGGAUGACGAUGUAUUUCCCCCCCAUAACUUUCGUAUAGCACCACUUCCACCCAAAGUUUCACUCUCUCUCUCUUUCUCCCCAGAAUCAAAGUUCAAAAAUUAUUUCUCCCCAAAUCUAAAAUUCGAUACAUAUCUUCACAUAAUGGUUGGUUUACUGGGUUGACGACGUAAACCCGAUACGAAACCAAAAAACCCAUAGGCCAAACCGAAUUGAAAACCAGAAUCGAGUUAAUACCCGACCCGUAACCCGUGAUAUCAACAAUUGUUCAUAAAUCCCCAAAUUGAGAAAUCACAGAACCCUAAAAAAGCUUUGAAUUCAAAUCACCACAUCAAAGCUCCGAUAUCAAAUCAUCACAUCGAAGCUCUGAUUUCUUGCAUCACAUUGAAGAUUUCAAAGUAAUUUCAAUGACGCCUUGAUACACUUACGUAUUAACCGUCUUCCUCCUCGUUUGAAGUCAAAUCAUUAGGUGUCACAAGCGAAGACAAUAAAGGAAGAGAAGAAUCUCCCAAAAUGUAACGAGGAACCAAUACUCCAUUCCCAAGUUUGGUCGGAGCUCCAUUGAGAAUUAAACCCGAAUCUGUGAACAAGAGACUUGUAAAAAGCAUCGUGAGCGAGACAGAACAUUGUGACCAAGUUUGAAGAAAUGGAUGAUUGUUGUUAUUCUAUGUUGUAAGAUCUUGAUUGGUUAAAAAAAUGCUUGGUUGAUUCGAUUGUGAUCUAAUGAUGUUACUGAAAAAAAUGCAUUCAACAGAAAGAAAAAAAAAGAGAAAAUGGAAGUUAAAAUUGCAUUCAAUAUGCAUAUUUUGUCUCAGACCAAUAACAUAACAAAAAAUAGUUGAGAAGAAUGAAAAAUAGACCCUUAAAACAGACCAAAAGCUUUUACAAAAAAAUAGACCAAAAGCUUCUUCUACCCUCCCUCCAAGCUCAGUUCAAGCUCAUUUCCUGCGUGACAGUUCCUUGAGAAGGUUCACCUUGAGGAACCUGUAGUAACAACACAAAUAAAAUAAGUUAAACAAAGCAUAUAAAACAUAGUAUAUAGACACAUUAGAUAAUGAAACACAAACCUCUUUCUUCUUCUUAUGAAACCUAGAGUUGUGAUUAGCCGCACCACAUACCCCACAAUGCAUAACUCGUUUCAGAAGCUUUGGUUGCUUCUUUAAAGGAGACUCAUUUUUUCCUUUCUUUCUUUUCACCUUCUUACUCUUUUUUUUCCUGCCAGGCUGUGGAGGCUCAGGAGGUGGAUGCACUGGAGGAGCUGUUCUAACAGGCCAAAACCUUGCACCUCUUAAUGGAACUAGACCCUCUGUGUAGUUCCUCUUCCACUGGGCUGUACGAAACCAGUGGCAGACGUAAUCCUCGGCUUUAAGUUUCAACUUAAGGAUAACACCAUAUGCAUGUACACAUGGGAUUCCUGUGAUCUCCCAUUUCCUACAGCUACAAGUCCUCUGAUUCAAACUCACACGGUAAGAACAACCAGACAACAUAGCUAAAAACAUUUUAUUUGUACUUCUGUGAACCUUAACUUCUGCAGCAUCUUCAAGCUCUUUUGCAAGAUAUGCUUCCACAUAUGGUGUACAUAAACCCUUGUGAUCAUGAGAUUUAACACUUCUUUUGGCAAUACGUACCAUUGCAAGUCGAGCAAUCAUUUCUAACAUAGGCACCAGUGGCUUCUCUCUUGCUUUGACUAUCGUAUUGUUAAAUGAUUCUGUGGAGUUGUUCUCAACAUCUUCAACAUAGUGGCCAAUUUUGUAGAAAGCUCUACACCAACUCAUUGGGUUCUACUUCAUCACAUCCUCAUAAACACCCAUAUCAUAUUGCUUCAAUUUCUCUAGGUUUUCUCUAUACUCAGCCUCAUUGUAACUCCAUGCUAGAUUCCAGAUAAAAGGCUUCAUCUGUGAUUUCUUACCAUGAUUUGCCUUUAAAUUUCCAUAUAUGUGUCUCACACACAUCCUAUGUUCAAUAUGGGGUAACUCUAUCUCCACAGCUCUAAUCAAUCCCUGUCACUGUCGGGAAUGACAUCGUGACGAAUACACGGCUCAUCAAUGAAUUCGAUUACUGCUUGCUCGAUGUUGAAAUCAUUUCGUGCGGUUUGGUCUUCUAGAUUUUCAUCAUCGGGUUCCUCAUCAAUAGGAACAUCGUUCAUCUCGCUCUCUAGAACUGACAUCGAUGAAGAUCAAUGAACUUGCAGGUUUUGGUUUCGUGAGGAAGGGUUUUUGAUAUGGGGACAUUUAUAAGUUGAGGGAUUUUAUGAUUUGGGUAUUUAAUCGGGUUUGGGUUUCGAGUUAAAUUUGUUUAGGUUUGGUUUAAGUUUGUUUAUGCUGGUUAAAACAAGAUUAGUCUACAGUAAACCAACAUUAACCCAACUUUAUGUGAAAAUUAGUUUUGAACUUUCAUUUUAUGUUGAAAUAGGUUUUUAACUUUAUAUCUAGGGAGAAAUAAUUGUAGAACUAUGAUUCUGGGGAAAAAUAGAGAGAGUGUAAAACUUUGGGUGGAAGUGAUGUUAUACGAAAGUUUUGGGGGGGAAUUACCUUGUCGUUCCUAAUAUGUUUACAAACUGUCUUAGAAAUAUAUAAAGCCCUUUUAGAGAAGUUUUGCUCAUCUAUGUUAUUUUCGAAAAUUUAUCUAACACAUUUAGUGCGUUAAUUCACGUAAAACCAUAACCUAGCUACCAACCCCGGUUCUAAAUAUAUUUGGACAUUUGGGCAAAAAAAAUUUUUUUGGAUUUUUUUGAAUUUUUGGUUAAAAUCGGGACUAUUUUGUAAAUAACUUUUGUCUUAUUUUAAAUUUUCAAAAAAAUAUACAGGCCUUUUUAUGUAAAAGAAUAUAAUUUUGAAAAUUUUGGGCCUAUUUAUUAGAAAAUUUCAUGUCUAUUUGCAAUUGUUUUUCAAAUAUGGGCCUUUUUCAUAAAUGUUUUUAACAAAAAUCUAUGGUCCCCUCGGCCACUGCCCCUCUGUCCACUCUUUUUGGUCCGGGCCUACUAGCUACUUACUUUAAUUUUUGCAUUGUGAUUUACUAGUGACAAAAAAUUCUUAAGAGUAAUGUUGUAAAUCCUAUCUUUAAUAUAUUCGAUUUUCUCUGAUUGUUUGCUCAGAUCUCACAAAUCGAUUUAGAACCUCAGCUCAAGAACACGAUUAAACAAGAAACAAUAAAGAACCUGAAACUCAAUUUGUUAACCCGAUUCAGCGAGAUCGUUGUGAUCACGCCUACAUCCGGAGCCGAAUCAAUCCGGCAAAUUCACUAGAAUAAGAAGGAAUCAGCUCAAAUCCGACCUUACAAUAGUCAAACAAUGGUGGUUCUCUUUGCUCUCUCUCACUCGAUACAAGAACAAAGAAAUAUGAAAGUGAUUAUGAAGUUAAUGAAGAAGAAACUUAUAUCAUGUAUGAUGUAUCUCUGUAUAAAACAUAAGACCCUCCAGGGGCGGAUUUAGAACUAUAUUUAGUAUAGGGCAUUGUUAUAACUAAUAAUUAAAUUAUAGAGCAUUUAAAUAAAUUUUACACUAGUUAUUCAAGAAAAUUAAAAAUUUAGAGUGGGGCAUAUGCCACACCUAGUCUCUUCUUGCAUCCGCCUUCACUGCAGUUUAAGAUUUCUCUUGACUUUAUCACAUUUGUCGGUUUAAUCAGCAAUCUCCAAAACCGGAAAUAACCACAUGGUUCAACUCUUAUUGAUCCAAUCAGACCGACGAGACCAACCUGAAAUUGAAUCAGACAUAUAAACCAUGACACUCCACCUUGAUUCAAUUUCCUUCCUUCUAUAGCAAAUUUGCACUGACCAUGGAUUUAACCUCCGGCAAAGACGACUUCUCGUUAUAUUUAGAAUUUGAAUCAGUCAUAUGCCACUGCCAGCUUGCCACUCAAUACAAAAUUAUAGUAAAAACUGGUCGUUACUAUAAAUAAUUAUUAUCUUGGAUUUUCUUCGCGAUAUUCGAUUUUUAUGUUUAUUUGAGUUUAUUAGGCUUUAUUGUAUAUAUUGUUAGAACUUAUUUUGAUUAGUUGCGCUGGACUAUUUUUUCAGGUAAUUUUCAAAAUUGAAGUUCGUUUGAAUGAGAAAUGGAGAUCCAAAAUAAUUAGCUUGAAAAGCUUAAGAUUUUGACUAAAGGUCAAAGUGAUUAUUUUGGAUGUUAGAGGAGAAACCCAAAUACACAUGGGCUGGAUUUGGGUUUGAGACAUGGGGUUUUGACUUGUGUUAGUCAAACACAAUUGUCUUCUCCUUUAAUUUGAUUUUGUAACAUUUGUGUUAAUGACAAAAUCAAUUAGAAAUGUGUAACCUAUGAGCAUUGAUCAUGAGAUUAAUGGUGGAAGAUUUCCUCUCUCCAAGCAAGACAUUAAAUGUCUUGACCUAGUCUCCAAAUCUUUUGUAGACUAUAAAAGAGAGAGUCUUGGGUCUCAUUCAUAUGAUGGAUCAAAAAGAUCACAAUCUCUUUCCUCAUCUUUUCUCUAGUUAUCGAGUCUGAGAGUAUACACAUCACUAGAGUUCGUUAGCCUUCUGAUUUUGAGUGUUGCAAAUCAGAAGAUGGUGCGGUUGUAUCCUGAGAUUCUGAUUGCAUCAAACCGUCACAUUAUGGACAAUUAAAGAAUUAAGGAAAGACUGUCUCGCCUCCAUACAAACUGUUCUUUUUUAUCAAAUAUUGAUAUCGUUGCUGUAUUUUUAUUAUGGUUUUUAUCAUCAUCUAUUACAAUCAUUCAGUUUUGCCACAUCGUAGAAAUCGUUGUCUUACUUAUGUUGGUUGGAUUUAUACGGAAUUUGAAUUGAUCACGAACUAGAGUAAAAUUCAACACGCCUUCUUUUUCAUAUCGAUUUUGUUUUGCGGAAUAACGAAGGGAGAAAAAAAAAAGUAAUCUGGAAAUUAGAAAAAAUACAUUGAAUACCAAUAUAACUACUUUUUCUUGUGAUCUACGUCUUUGAGGAGACAACAUUCCCAUAAUAUAUUUAUCAAAGUACAAGAGCUUACAAAAAACAACACUGAUGAAUUUCAAUAUAUAUAACCGCGAAGGAGAUGAAGCUUUAAUUUGUUUAAUAUUAGAAGAAAAAAGUGCCAUUAUUCUAAAACGGUUCCUAAAUCCUAACAACCCGUUUGCAAGUGACUCCCUCGUAAGCUACUUAAUGCCCCAAUUCUGUUAAUGCUCUAUAAAGUCUCUGAGUUCCAUUUGGGUAAAACUUGACCUCUCCUCCAGCAAGAGUAUUCUCCACACAAGGGCUAUUUAAUCCAAUGAUACAAUUUGAAUUACGUAAUGAAAAUAAAAAUAUGAAAAUUAAUUAACAAAAUAUAAAUAAUGAAUUGAAAAGUUACAUAUUAUAUAAAAAUGAUUAAAAUCAUACAAAAAUGAUAUCUGGACAUUAGAAAAGUAACAUACAUAAUAACCAAAUAGCUAAAUCUACUAGUCUGGCAUCUGCAAUAUGAAGAAAAAUUCGUAAAUAGCCUCAAUUUUUUUUUUUUUUUUUUUGACGAAAAAUUACCUCAAAAUCUUUAUAUUGAACAUCAUUAUCCUCCUUCAUUUCCGUCAUCACCUCAUUGCUUUACGAGAUGUUUCGUCCCUUGAUGCUUUUCUUGUCAGAUGAAUUUUCCCCAAAACGUUCCAAUCAUGGAACUCGGAGUGAUCGAGGAUGAAGUGGCACCGCCUUCGGAAUGAAUUCUAAGUCGUACCGACGGCCUUAUUCACUAAAACACUCUUUACAAAAAGUUAUAAUAGGGAGAAUUAAUAGUUAGAAACUAGUUAACUCACCAAGAUAGAAAAAAUUUACUUACUGAUUGGUAGACCUUGUCCAAAUUGGUUUUUGAUAUCUUUCGGGAUUGGAUUAACUUGACUGCAUGAAUCCUCAGAGAGCGAAAGCUUAGAUAAUUUCUUGUUAACCUUCUUCUUGACAACCUUGAUGAUGGUGUACUAAUUAAACCUUCUCGUUGACAAUUGUUCUGUUGGACUUCCUCUUAGAAGUCACCUUUAGAAGGGUGAUAUGAGGUAAUCUUUAGAAGCGUGGUAUGAGGAAGAAGUUCUCUUCUUCUUCUUCAAUCUCGAGCCAAUCCGCAUUUUCUCCCGCGAGCCCGAGUUGCUCGUGUGCGGCCAAAGCAUCCGCCGGGUCCAGACUUGUGAGCCCUAGCCGCUCGUCUCUGAUCAGUCGUCGUUCACUUUCUCCGCUUCUUCCUUGCUUCGCUGCCAGUGUGUGUGUGAGGAGAUAUAGAUAUCCAAGCUUCUAGUGUCUGAGAGAUGGAUCCAUAAUCUAGAUCUAAACCCUAAAGUUCCUAAAUCUUACAUCUCUGAAACCUUAGUUGUCAAAACUACUAGAUUUAAAAAAUGUGGUACAUUUGGCAAAAAUCCAUUUUUAUAAAACCAUUUGAUAUUAAUUUUAUAAUAAUAAGUUACAUGAUUUUGUGAUAAAAGAAAGUAUAUGUUGCAUACAAACGAUUUAAACAUUAAGCUAAUACAUUUCCAUUUUUUAUGAUUCAAGCUAACCAUAAGUUAAAAUUUUGUCUGAUUAAUAUUGUAUCAAUUAUAGUUUGCUUUUGUAUGUCAAACAAUAUUUUAGAAUUAAGCAACCUGGUUUGGUUUGAUCUUUGCAAUUUUCCAAUAUUAAAAACUUGGCACAAAAGCAUUUGAUAUUAAUUUUAUGGUAAUAUGUUGCAUACAAAUGAUAUGAUUAUGUGCUAAAAGAUAUGUAGAAUACAAAUUAUUUCAAAUAAGAUAAAUACAUUUCCAAAUUUUUUUAUGGAAAUUGUUUUAGUGUAUAAAAAGAAAAUAUGAUUAUUGGUCCAAAAAGAUAUGUGAUAAAAUAUUGUAUAAAUAUUUUACUUUUAUAUGUCAAAUAAAGUUCUCAUUUAUGAUCAUAUUAAAGUUCGUCAAAUCUUGAACUGAAAUAUCAUUAGAUUUUUUACAUUUUAAAUUUCAAUGAUGGCAAAAAGAAGUCCUCCAAUCUCACAUUUGCUUUUUGCGGAUGAUAGUCUCUUUUUCUGUAAAGCAGAUACAGAGCAGUGUAAAACGGUGAUGGAUAUUAUUGGAAAUUAUGGCAAAGCUUCAGGGCAAGAGAUAAAUUUCAAUAAAUCUUCGGUCAUAUUUGGUAAGCGUGUAGCACACCAAAAGAAAGAUGAACUAAAACAUUUCCUUGGUAUUACUAAGGAAGGUGGAAUGGAUACUUAUUUGGGUAUACCAGAGAGCCUAGGGGGCUCAAAAAAUAAAAUCUUUAAUUACGUUCGGGAAAGACUUAAUGAACGGAUUAAUGGUUGGUCAGCUAAAUAUCUGUCAAAAGGUGGGAAAGAGACUAUGAUCAAGUCUGUUGCUUUGGCUCUCCCAACAUAUGUUAUGUCUUGUUUUAAACUUCCUCAAGAGUUAACAUCUAAGUUAACAAGUGCUAUUUCUAAUUAUUGGUGGAGUUCUAAUGGGAAAGACCGUGGAAUUCAUUGGAUAGCAUGGGAAAAAAUGUGUAUGGAUAAAGAAGAAGGAGGUUUGAGUUUUCAUUCUCUAGAUACAUUUAAUGAUGCCAUGUUGGCUAAACAGUAUUAGAGGUUAAUCCAGUAUCCAAACUCAUUAGUAGCUCGAGUGUUAAAAGGUAGAUAUUUUAGGAAUGUUCAUCCUUUAAAUGCUAAAAAGCCAAACUCUCCAUCGUUUGGAUGGAAGAGUUUUUUUUCUACUAAAAGACUCGUUGAAAUGGGUGCAAGAUGGUCUCUUGGUUCGGGUUUUAACAUAUCGGUAUGGAGAGAUCCUUGGAUUCCCGAUGUUAAUCCACGCCCCGCAAAUGGCAGAGGGAAUUUGUUGCUUCCAAGCCUAAUGGUUAACCAUUUAAUUAAUCCGGUUACUAAAGAAUGGCACCUCCCAAUUUUAUAAGAAUUCUUGGAUCCGGUGGAUAUUCAAAUUAUUAGUGGACUAGCUAUUAGUCAAGUUUAUAAACCAGAUAGGCUUAUUUGGCAUUAUACAAAAUCAGGAAAAUAUACAGUAAAAUCAGGAUAUCGGCUUGCUCGAAGUUUGACAGAAACGACCGAAUGGGGUCCAAAUUAUAGAAAAUUACAAGCACAAGUUUGGAAAGUCAAAGCUCCACCAAAAAUAAAACAUUUCUUAUGGCAAAUUGCUUCGGGAUCCUUGGCAGUUACCUCAAAAUUAGCACAACGAGGGAUUCAUUGUGAUAUUAUCUGUAAAAGGUGUGAGACGGCAGAGGAAACAAUAAAUCAUGUUUUAUUUGAAUGUUCUCAUUCUAAAAAAAUAUGGGAAUUAUCCACAAUACCUAUGGUUUCAGGUUCUUUUCCUCUAAGCUCGGAAUUUUCAAAUCUAGAUUAUCUUUACUGGAGGUUACCACCUCCUCUAGAUGGGGGAGAAAGAACUAAUUGUUUUGCUUGGAUUUUGUGGUUCAUAUGGAAAGACAGGAAUAAAAAAGUUUUCAAAGGAAUUCAAUCUGAUCCCACAGAUAUUUUAAAUCACGCUUUGAACGAAAAAUUAAUGUGGGAAGAUGCUCAAUUGGAACCGAUCGAAACUAGUAUUGAUACGGAAAUUUUGGAAAGCCCUAUCCAAUCUAUAAGAUGUCGGAUUGAUGGCUCUUGGAAAUCUUCGGAUCCAACUAUGGGUAUAGGAUGGUGGUGUUUUCAAGGAAAUGAUCAAACGAUACUACUUGGUGCAAAGUGCCUCCGGAGAUCCCCCUCCCCCCUUCACUCGGAGAUGGAAGCGUUAAUUUGGGCCAUGAAGAAUGUCUUUUCAAGAAGGAUUGAUUGUCAGGCGUUUGAAACAGAUUGUUCAGAGUUAGUCUCGAUGGUACAAUCACCUGAAAAAUGGCCCGCUUUCUCUAAUCUGCUAGAUGCUUUUGGACUGCUCCGUGACUCUUUCCCCUUAUUCUCGCUUUCUCUUAUACCUCGUUUAUGUAAUGUUAAGGCGGACUGCUUAGCCCGUUCUUCUAGACUUUUAUUUUCCGAAGUUACUUUUGUAAACACUACUCCUCCUAAUUGGGCAACCAAUCAAGGUGUUAUUUAAUAAUUAAUGUGUGGUUGACAAAAAAAAAAAAAAAAUUCAAUUAAUAAUAUAUUAUUAUAGUUAAAAAAAUAAAAAUAUCCAGCAGAGAUACACUACUCAUUAAAGUAUUAUAAAAGAAUGAAAGUCUAUAUAUAUGCUUAUGACGCAAUUUCUUACAAUAUCUGUAAUUGGAGACUCAAACAUCUCUGACGGUUGAUUAAUUUUUUUUCUCUCUCUCGCUUCUACCUGUUCGCCCUAGCCGUCAAAGCCAUUUUCUUCCUCUCUUGGCCGGCGAUUGGUGGCUUCCAUAGCACGGUCGCCCGUCCCGUUCACCGUAGUUUCAGCUUCUUCUCAUUAGUUCAUCUUUGUUGUUAAUUUUGCUUCUCAAACCCUAGUUUCGCCGUCUCCUCCCAUUGUCCUUUCCUCCCUUCUUUGGUGGUUCCGACGUGGUGACUAUCAUGGAGGAUGGGUGGCGUAUUGGUGAUCUUCGUAGACGGAUCUGUUCCCCGGUGGAACUGUCUCGUUUUCUCCGAUCUGGUUAUAGAGGUCUGUGUUUUCCGAUCUGUUUCUAGUGUCUCAACAUUCAGCUCUGUUCUCGUUGGUUGGGGAAUCGGGAGUUGAUUUGUUGCAUGUUCCGGCUGGUUCCGAGGUGGAUCUGAAGAGUUCAAGUCCUGGAUUUUGUUGGCUUUGCGGUGGUGCUGUCUCUUGUGAGGCGUGUAUUUAGCCGGCGUUUCGUUUCCAUGACUUGUUUCUGAACAUCCUUUUGGUGUUGCAGCAACGGCCUCUUUGUGUGCGGAUUCUUCCUCUGUUAGUGAGUUUGGAUGACUUCUAGGGUUUGUGUUAUGCUGUGUUUUUCGAUUUGUUGUGAUUUGAAGCCUUAGGUUCAGCUUUUGGGUUGGCUUGUUUGACUCCUUGCUCUGCCUCUCUCUCUGUCCUCCUCUUGGUUUUCGGUGUGGUGAUUUGGCGAUAGGUUCUGUUUUGUGGGUUCUCCAUUCAGAUGCUAGCUUUCUACAAUGGCAUCUACUAGCUCUCUGUUGGAACCUCGUUUGGUUUCUCGGCUGAGUUCUGGACGUUGUGGUGGGUCGAUCCCUUGUCCUUCUCUUUGCGUGGCGUAACCAGUUUUUAGUCUGUAGGUGGCUUUGGCUGGGUCUACGAAGGUCCGUGUGUAAGGAUGGUUGGUCCUAUUUGGCGUUUCCCCUCUCGGAUCUCAAGGUUUUCCUUGAUCCUCCGCUUUCUCAUUCUCAUUGGCUCUAAAGUGGUGGUGGUGGUUAGGUUCUGUGUUCUGAUCUUCUUGCUUCGUCGUCUUCGUUUCUGCUGUGGAGAUGGUUGUGUGAGCUCGUUUAGUUUCCUUCUCGAGGCUCCUGUCUGUUGUCUCUCCAUGGCGUAAAACUGUUCUAUGGAAGUGUUAGUCGACUGCUUGUAGGGAAGAGUUGUCAGUGUUGUGGCUUUGGAGGCUUUAGCUAUUAUUCCUUUAGUUGUAAUCUUUGUAUCGUUAGGCUUGAUAUGUUUGUCUGCCUCUUAUGGCCUUAUGUCUCUGGGGGUUUCUAUGUACCUGCCGGCUUUGUCUCCGAAAGGUUUCCGUUCCUUAUCGGCUUUGUAUACCUUAAAAUCGCAUUCUAUCAAUGAAAUCCUUUAGACGAAAAAAAAAAAAAAAAGACUCAAACAUCUCUAAUCUUCUUUGUGCUCCCUUCAACAUUAGAGAAUUAUGACUCACCAUAAAUCUUGUUGCAUUAGGUUGAGGCUUGUCCUCAAAGAGCCUGCGUUGGUGGUCCCAGUUUGUGUUUUUUUGUUUUUGAUAAUAUGUGAAUUUAUAUACCAAAAAGGAACGAAUGUUGUUUACUACAGCUUGGCGAAGCUAAAUGGUUUCUAAAGGCCCAAAAAAGAAUAAAAAAGCCUAAUCGAAACAAGAAAAAUAAUAACCAUAACCACUUAACCAAUUACUCAAAAGAGAACCAGAGGGAGAGAAGAUUCCUGAAUCUUUUCCGUUGAAUGCGGGCAAGAAUGAUGUCUCUUAUGCAUCGGUCAAUUUUCUUGAACAAUUGAGAGUCAGAAGUAACGGUGCCGUUGUGGAGCCGGUUGUUUCGCUCUUUCCAGAUGAAGAAGAUUGUUUCUUGCGUUGUUAUACACUUCAGAGUUGUUGCUUGAGACGCUGGUGAUGACAGCCAAGAAAUGAGACAGGACCAGUCCGUUAUGUUGUAACCGGGCUGGCCGAGACGUGUAAGAAUCUGAUUCCAAAUCUGAAUACUAUAAUCACAGUGAAGCAAAAGAUGAUCACGUGUCUCCGAUUGCUGGUUGCAAAGGCAACAAGAUAUAUCUGUAGUAAUACCCCACUUUGCCAAUCUAGAUCGGACCGGUAGCCUGUCAAGAUGAGACACCCAAAACGUGAAAGCAUGUUUGGGAAUGUAGCCUUGGAACCAAACUAUUUUUGCCCAUGGUUGAUAUUGACUCGUUGGACGGAGCCCCAGUUUGUGUUUUAUUAUUCACCGUCUUGUAUAUUUGGGGUGUCUUAUAUAUGACUCGGCCAAAAGUUAUAAUAGCUUCUAUGAAUUUUACUAUAACAGAGAAUCCUACUAGUGCGAUGUGGGAUUUACUUAUCAGAACUCCCCAAAAUCUUCCUGGUUACUACAUCUGUCUCGAAGGAGACCUUCAAGCUUUUUUAAUUUACAAACAUGUUGUCGUUGCUACUUCAGUCCCUCAAAGGUUACAAUAACUUUUCUGUUAAGCCGAUUUAUCUUAGUUUGUUGUUUCUUUAUUCUCAAAAGCAGAAUCAUUUAGGGAAUUUAUAAACUCUAUUAAGCCGAUCCCGAUACCUGAGGAGACCAGGAUCCGAUACGAUCCCUGUUGAUGAGGAUCUAGAUACCAUGUUCAUUCCAGAUCUGAAGAAGGAUGUGAUAUGUGGACUCUCUACAUGCUUUUAGAGCUAAGUGUAUCGGAAGACUAAGAAAGUGUGUAGAUAGCUAGAUUGCAUGUUACCAAGGUUGGUAGAUGUUGGGGCAUGGUUGUUGAUAAUUGAUGAUUGUUUGAUUGUUAAGGUCAUGUAUGAUAUUUCUAGGUUGUUAGAUUCCAUGUAGCUGGUCUUUUUUUUUUUUUUAUGGGAAGGAACACUGGGACUAAUGAAUGUUUAGGGUUAUGUGGACAGAUAUAAUCAUUCUACUGAGUAAACUCACACAUCUCAAAAUUAAAUGUAAAUAAGAUUUCUAAAGAAUUAUGUAUCAAAAUAGUCGGUAGUGAUGAUGAGCAUUAAAAUAGUCGGUAGUGAUGAUGGGAAGUACAUGUAUUAUACUUGAUUCGGUGGGAAAGGCCGAAAGGGUGUCACAGUCAUCAUCUUCGUUAGUAACUUAGUAUUAAUUCAUGAACAAACUCAGGAAAGAAAAUAUUACUAUAACAUUUCGAUACAAACCAUAAAAUCAAUACUUAAAAAUGAAAACGUAUUGCCAAAGAAAAAUAUCAGAGAUGAAAAGAUAUUACUACUUGAAAAAGAAAGAAAAUAUAAUGAUCGCGUUAUUGUCUAUAUUUUUUCUAUAAUAAAAAGUCAAUUUUCAAAGUUUUGAAAACAUGAAUUGUUUUUAAAAAUAUAAGAAAUUACUAGAUUAUUUUACAAAAUCUCCCUUAACAAUUCAACUAAAAACAUUUGACCUAUAUAUUUUCUUUUGUUUGAAAAAUAAUUUGACCUGAAUAUGACGGAAACUUAAAUUGAUUAGAUACAAUAAUGGCAUAUUGGCCAAAAUCAAUAGCAAAUGAAUUUUAAAUUUACAAUUCAAUCUAGGAUAAAAUUCAAUAUCCUUUCAUAAUGAUAUACGGUCAGAAUUUCGAAACAAAUUGUGCAGUUAUUUUCAAUGGUAUAGUCUUUUGAAAACUUGCAUGCUUUCUCCAAUCUACUAGAUGAGUUGGUCUGCUUCGUUCCUAAUUUGUUAAUUUUCCAUAGUUGUUAUCUACAAGACAACUGCUUAACCAAGUCUUGUCGAUUUAUUUUUUUCUGAUAUAUCCUUUAUAGCUACUUAUCCUCCUAAUUAGCCCACCAAUUAAGAAAUAGUUUUCUAAUGAAUAUGUUUGGAAAAAGAAAAUCUAGUAUGAAGUGGCAGUUUAGAUGGAAAUAACUAAUUUUAUUAUUAUAUAUUUGAUAUUUAUCUCUGACCCGUAAAAAGUAGUUUUAGUUGCCUUUUUAAUAAACUACAAAAAUUUAUAAGCCCACGGAAGCAAAACUUUUGUUUUUAUGUUUUCAGAUGUAAAUUAUGUUCAUUCUUAGCGUUGUAUUAAAUAAGAUAUUAACUCUUGAGUUGAAUUAGUCGUUUCUUUUGAUUCAUAUAUAAUAACAUUGACGGUGGAAACACUCUUCUUCGUCCAUAAACUAUAUAUCGAUGUCGACAUGUUCCCUAUUAUACUCUAUAUGAUAAUUUAUACAACGUAAUAACCAAGAAAUUGCAUAUUGCAAAGAAAGUCAUAAUCCCUUAUAUAUUAAUUGAGAAGCAUUUUUAAAAAAUAACCUUACCCUCAUGUGUGAUUAACGAAAAUGCCAUGCUGACGUGUCGUUCUCACAGAGCUUCUCAAUCCAUUUAAUUAAAGACCCAACAUUUAUUAGGAUAUUUACAGAUUUUGCCAUUAGUUUUAGUUAUGUUUAUUUUUCUAAUUAAUUUAUGCUUUUUAUUUAGCUCAAUUAAUUAAAACGAAAAUACAAUUAAAAUAUGUAAUGAAGAGAUACAAAUCUAUACAAAAUGGAGUACCUAAUAUUUUGUGUAUCUAUUAAUAUAACAAGAUAUAUAUCAUGAAUCAUGAUAAACACAAAACAUUAAUACAUAAAUAAAAAAUUUCACUAAUCUUGAUAAUUAUUAAUACACUAUUGUUUAUCUAAUAAUAUAAAAUUCGAACACCUUCAAUAUAAUUAAUACAUUAAAAUAUAUCUAAUAAUCGUUUUGUCCCGCACAUAGUGCGGGUUAUUAUCUAGUUGGAUUAUUAUUGUAAGAAGUCUAUCUUUUGUUCAAUAGCUUAUAUAUAAACCGGUCUAGUACUACUGCUAAGAAAACAUAAAUCGCCUUAAUAUACAUGCAAAGUUACAUGACAUAUACAAGAAGAAUGAGUUUAAAAAUGUCAAGCAAUACUCUUCUUCUAUCUUUGUUCCUUUUACUUCUCUGUCUCUUUUCAGAAACUGGAGGGAGAGAGACCAGUCACCGGAGAUUAGGUCAGUGCCUCUUAUAUAUGUUUUUAUUUCUAUUCACUUGUUUUAUAUAUCACUAUAGCUCAAGUUUUCACUGAAUUCGUUUUCACCUGUAAAGAAGAUGUUCCCUUUAUAAUAGCAAACUAGAUUUUAACCCGCGGUACACCGCGGGAUGAUUUAAUUUUAAAGUUAGUAUAAAAUAUUUUGUAAAUUGUAUCUCCUUAUAACAUAUUUAUUUAUAUUAUAGUUUACAAUUGUUAUUAAGUAACGGUAUAUCACGAGUCCACGAGAUAAUUAUUAAAAAACUGAGGAUUUAACCCGUAUUAAAGCGGUAUAUAAAUAUUGAUUCAAAUUUGGCCGCCAUAUAAAUCAUUUCCGAAAUAUAACCUUUUCUGUAAUUUCUUAACCCGUCCUGUGAUUUGUAUUAAAAAAUAAGGAUUAAACCCGUAUUGAAGCGGCGGAUUAAUGAUAUUUUAAUCUUUUUAUUAUUGUUGAUUCAAAAACCCGUCCCGCCAAACCCAUCCCGCCAAAAAACUCAUUUAUUUUAUUAAUGUUCUUAUUUAUGAUAUGAUUCUGAAUCAUUGUCUAAAUAUUUUAAUCGAUGUAGAACGUUGAACACACAUUUUUGUCAAUUGGAUAAUAUAUGUCCGUUUUUUAAAAUUUCGAAUCACAGUAUAUGCAGAAAAAAAAUUGAUUUUUUUUUUUACUUUAUGUAUUAUAUGAUGAUUCAAAACAGUUAAAAACAAAUCAAACAAAGAUGAUAGGAGAAUCAUAAUUAUAAAUCUUAAUCAAAUCUUCUAAAAAUCUAAAUUAUUAAAUAUGGAAUAUCCGGUGUAUGAGUUGGGUUAAAUAUAACCUGACCCAACAAAUGUUUUGUGAAGGAAUUUUUAAAAUGGGUCGGAUAUCCGAUAUACCCGAAAGUUUUUUUAUCCACCCGUCACAAAAAGUGCUGCGAUUAUACUAGUAUAGAUGAUCAAUUAUUAUCUAUAUAUAAAAUAGAUGUACGAAAUUAAUGUAAACCAAUUAUAGAGAUAAUUGUAUUAAAGUUAUUCGACAAUUAUGCGUCAAUUUGAAAGUACCAAUUUUAUAUACUUUUAAAAUACAAUUUCUCUUCUGUAGAAUUAUAUCAGCCAAAUAGAAACUUAAGUUUAUUUAUUUUUUUGUACAAUCAAUAAUCAAUAAAAAUGAAAUUAAAAAAAUUCACAUAUAUUUAAAAAAAUUAAUGUAGAAUAUAAAUGUAUAUCAUAAUUUGUCAGUCAUAGUUGCAUGUAAAUGAUAUAUGUGGUUUGCAUUCAUUUUCAUUCAAUUAUAAAGUUGUUCUAUGAUGCUUCAAAAUGCUCUUUAAUGAAAUUAUAACCUUUUGAGUACUUUUCCAUUAUUUUCUAAUAACUAUGAGGUUAUGGGCAUAGGCGUGUAAAUCCUCUCACGUGAGAGAUGAGAGCAUUUAAUAUAGUUCUCUCUCAAGUGCCACUGGAACCAAAGAUUUUUAGGUUUUGUAAUCGAUACUGUAGGGGUUAUUAUCAAUUUGGGGCUUUGUUGGGCUCAAACUUUCAGUUUGAGAAUUUAUUACACAGCCUUUCAAUUUGAGUAUUUUUGAGCUAAAGAAAAAGACAUUUUUACCCAUGUCUUCUUCAUCUCUUUCUCCUUCUUCUCCCAACCACAAUCACAACCACCGUAAUUCUUUUCUUCUCCGACGAGACUACUCGAUUUCCGACAACAAUCAUCACUAGUCUUGCUCCGUUGAAUCCAUCACCGUCAUCAUUUUCAACGCCAUCAACACCAUCUCCUUCUUCUCCUCCGAUUUCCUCCGUCACUAACACCGAUCUCCUCCGAUAAACUCAUUCAAUUGAUUUUGUUUUGAAUAAAGGGAGCUAAACCCUAAGGGAAUCAUGUCUACUAAACCCAAGGGCUCUCAUCAUAGAGAUUGAUGGAAUCAAAACUUCCAAUUUAUUAUCAAAUGUAAACCAAAAUUGAAAAAUCCAAAACACAAAACAUCUCUGCUACCAACACCAUUUCAAUCCGAUGAGUUCAAAUUGAUUACGUUUUAAAUAAAAGAAUCUAAACCCUAAGAGGAUUGUAUCUAAUUAACCCAAGGGCUCCAAUUGAAAACAUCAACCCAAUCAAAAAUUUCAAUUCUAUCUUUAAAUCUAAACAAAUUUGGGCAUCAAAUCUUAUCAUCUCAUCAGCGUCACCACCAUCUCGUUCACCAUAGCUCAUCAUUCUCAUUGGAUCUCAACAUCUUCACCACCAUCUCCUUGGAUUUCAUCAUCACCACCAUCUCUUUUCGUCAUAUCGUCCACAGAGAGGAAAAAACAAAAAAAAUUCUUCAGCUAUUGGUAAGGGUACAUGAGGAGCGUAAGCGUGAGGGCAAGAUGGACAUUUCCUCGCAGGUAGAAAUGCUUAAAACGAAAGUCCCGGCACACGUACCGGAUUUCGUAAGUUUGGCUGAAAAAAGGCCCAAUCCGGUAAUUUAAUCGAUACUUUAUUUGUUGAGCUAUUGACACUUGGGUAAUUUAUCAUUAAUAUUAGUAGAUAAAGUUUUUAGUAUACUAUUAUAAUUAAAAAAUUAGAAAGAGUAUUGAAAUAUAUAUUAUUCUUUUUGACUAAAUCAAAGUUAUAUAUUCAAUAAAUUUAAAACAAAAUUUAUAAAUACUUUUUAAAACCAUUGAGUUAACUUGGUUAUAAUAUUUUUAAUAAUAUUUUUUGUUUUUUUUUGUAGUGCUUUAUAAGCUAGAACAUAUUUAUCAUGUUAUGGUUUAUAUCUAUGAUAUUAUUAUUUAUAUUUGUAUUAUAAUAUUCGAAAUUAGUUGUAUAUAUUUGACUUAUUUUAUCUAAUUAAUAUAAACCAUGUGCGAAUUCAAAGGUUUUCAUUUUGUAUCAAUGUUAUUCAUUUACAACUCUCCUGCUCAUUGUUUGGUAAACAUACUGUUUAAGUGUUGUUUUGCGGCCUAAAUUGUUUUUAUGUUUGUUUUUUGAUUUUCAAUCCAGAUCUUUGAUAAAUAUUUCAGUUUUAGUCCUACUAUUUUAAUGUAGUGGCAAUGAAAUUUUUUUAUAUAGUUUACUUUUAAGGAGUAAAACCGAAAAAAAAGAAAGAAACUGUUGUGUAAAAAAGCUUUAGAUGACACUUAAACUGAAAUAGAAGGAGUAAUAUUGUUAGAGAAUAUAUUGAUUUUUAUAAAACAAAAAGCGUUAAUAUUUACAAACAACAAUAUAUAAACAUUUUGUCUAUGUUUAAAUAUCCUUUAUCUUUACCUGGUAUUGUACUAACAUGUAGAACGAUUUUAGAGAAACAUGUGCCUCCUCAUGUUGAAUCAUUGAGUACCGAAUAUAACCAAAUAACCAAACAUAACUGCGAUCUAAAAUGUUAUCAAAUACAUCAGCAUAUAUCGAGUUUACACGAAUAAUGUUUUGUUGUUUUGCUUUAUUACCGUAUUAUAUAUUGCACUAAUAAAAACUUAUGUAUAUAUAGUAUUAUAUAUAAUAAAAUCAAUUAGAAAAUUUAACUAAAAUAGAUACUUACCACUUAUCAUCUAACCCUCAUGUAUAUCUUAUUGGAAGAGUUUUAACAGUCACGUAAAUUAUAUUUAUAAAAUUCUAAAAGUAGACUUUGAUUCUUUGUCGUGAAGGUUUCGACUUGAUAUAUUAUUUAUCACCACUACACAAAUUUGACAGUGGUGAUGUCGAAUUAUAUUUCAUAUUUGAUUUCACAGGACUCACCUUUUAAUUUUCGGAGAAAAAUGGUAAAAUUGUAAGAAAUGGCAACUUGGAGCGUUAUUAUACAUAAAAUCAUUUUUAUUACCACAAAUGAUUAGUUUAUCUAUUAAUACUUUGUUUAAAAUAUUAUUUUCGUUCAUAUAUAACACUAACAAUUAUUUUAAUCGUCCAAAAAAAAAUUAUGUCAUUUUUUAGUAUUGUUAUUCAUUUGAAAUAUAAAUUUCCAUAUUGUUUUUUAAAAUUUAUAUUGGUAAAAAUAACAAUAAAUAUGAAUUAAAUGAGAAUUUUAAUGUGUUUACUUUUUUUUGUAGGAGGACAUAUUAAGAGCAGAGAAAACUCUGUCACUAUAUAUAUGAUUUGAUGAUAAAUUUUACUAGAAAUUAUAAAUAACUGGCUCUUUUGCCAUUAAACAUAUAAUAUAUAUGUUUGAAUUUGGAUAGUGAUGACAAUAACACAAACCUGUAUAGUGUAUACUACAAAGCAUGAUAAUGAUAGAAUUGUUUUUUCACACAAAAAGUAAUCACAGGAUUAGUUAAUUAAAUUCUUCUCCAUAAUUUCUACGUUAUUUUCUUACUCCCAUAUUGUAUUAAUGUUGAUCUUAUUCUCAUCAUUUCUAAUCUAAAUUCUGUAUUGAUCCUUAGGAGAAGUACCUAUUAGAGAGCUAACUGUAGGUCCAUCUUGUUCAUGCGGAGGCAAAGGACAGAGUGGUGGAAGAGGAGAUCCAUGUCCACGUCCACGUCCUUGCCCACCUUCAAGAAGAUCUACUACAAACCCUUGAAAAAGUAGUAAAGAAUAGAAAAAGAAAAGAUAUUAGAAUUAUAAUUUUUUUUGUAUAUACAAUAGUUUGUUUGAUAAAAUUAAACAAUGUUUAUCAAUUAUCAUAAACAUGGUAUUCUUUAAUGUUUAUUUCAGAAAAGUAAUAAAACUUCAAAAAAUAUAAGGUAGGCGAUUUUACAACGUUUAUUGUUGUCAUCUUUUCUGUUGAUGCAGGAAUUAGCACCUCCGACAAUACCGGCUUAAACCGGAGGAAUUACGAAUAAAACUGAUAUUUCAGUUAAACCGGGAUAUCCCGGUUUAAUCUGUUAAUGGGCUAAUAAAAGAAGGUCGUCUGGCGAUCUCAACUUAAAGAAGGGAGAUCGCCUAACCGACUUCCUUAUUUGAGAAAAAGAGAAUCGCGAAAAUAAAGGAAAAGCAGAAGAUUUAGGCUCCGAAGAAUUAGAAGUUUAACAUAUCUCUAAACCGCCUCAAUAAUGUAUAAAUAGAGGGGUUUGUCCUCUAUUCAAAAGAUCGGCAAUUUAAUACUAAAGAACCCUAGUUUUCUACAUGGUUCUGGAGCAAAACCCUAAACUUUGUCUCUAAGCAAUCUUAUUCAUCUUUUAUUCGAAUCUUUGAUUAAUAGCAAGAGAGUUAAUUGAAUUUGUUUUCCCCCAUUAACGUGGGCGAUCUCGUCCUUCGCGAAGUCUUCAGUAACACAAAGGAGAAGAACACUGGAAAACUCGGAGUUCGUUGGGGAGGACCGUACCUAAUCUCGAAAGUAGUUCAUCCUCGGGUCUAUCUGCUUAUGAUUAUGAAGCUCGAAGAAGUACAAAACCCGUGGAACGCAAUCCACCUGAAGAAGUACUAUUACUAGUCGCCAGUAAUAGUACGAAUGGCUUGUGUUAAAAAAAAAAAAUAAAAAAAUACAAGAUCGGUUCUCUGAUCUUAACAUAUGUAACUUGAACUACGAAUGGCUUGAUCCUUUUACCGGGUACGUAAGCAAUCCUUCGUAAAGAUGCAGCUAUAUUACUUAAUAAAAUUAAAGUUUGCAAUCUCAAAAAAGAAUUCGCUUUAAGAUCGGUAACAAAUCAACUCUCGGCACCCUUGCCAGGUGUUCGAUGCGCGGCUCACAUGGAUGCAGUGGUGAAAUAAUACAUGCCCUUCUAGAAACUUAAUUUUUCUAGAAGGGAUAGCCGAGACCAGUAUCUCGCACUUAAGCUUUGGUUCGGACAGAAACAUAAGCCGAACCUUGCAUUUUGCGAUCUACCGAAUAGAUGCUCUACGGGGAGUAAGCCGAACCCAGUAUCUCGCUCCCCAAAUAAUAUGCUGAGUCCGCCUCACUUAUUUCUAGACAGAUCCCAGAACUCCCUCUUUAAAAUAAUACAUAGGACUGCUGGGCAUAAGCCGAGAGACGUCUCGCUCCCGGCACACGCCGAAUACUUUAUUCUAUAAAAAGCCGAGCUCAGUCUCGCAUCGAACAUCUAACCCAAACUUAGACAGAAAAAAUUGGGGGCGAUCUCGCGUAAGGACUAAUCCACCCAAAAGCCGAUCUCGAAGUUCGCAGGAAACUCAUAGUUGAGUUGUUCCGAUAAAACAUAAAUUUGAAUAUCAUAAACUUGAUACAACCAUAGUCAAAAAUCAUAAAGCAUUUUUUCAAAUGUCAAAAACGACAAACCAAACAGCUAAUCUGAUUAUAUAGUCGAUAAAGAGAUUUCAAAGAAACAUAAAAACUUCAGAUCGCUCGAUCAAUGACAUAUCGGUUAUCUCUCAAAAGACGAUCUGGCGUAGGCCACACAACCUGAAGGCCAACUUUCUCCUAAUCUUCCGAACGAAUCUCCAAUGCCCUUGUUGUCUGCUCAAUCUCAUCCAGACGAACAACAACUGUUUUCCGUUUAGCUCUCAACUUGGUGACUUCGCCUUCAAGUUCUUCCAGGUGAUUAUCCACCUUGCGUUUCUUAGUACGAAAGUAUUGGAGCUCGCGAAACUAAUCUUAUUGCAUAAGUCCGAUCUGGAAGAAGAAGAAAACAGAUUAGUGGAUUAGGAAUACAAAUAAAGGUAAAAACAUCACAGGUCGAUGACUUAUACCUGAUUGACGAAGUCCUGGGAUUCGGUCAGUGCAGCAUUAGAAGCAGAUGUCCCGAGGUAAAACGUUUUAGGCGACCUCGGGAUGAAAUUCCCAUCUGAAAUAAUAGUUGGAUGUCUUUCUCUCAAAGCAGCAGAGGCAUCCUGGGCGCAUUCAUUACAGUAGGACAAGAGGACAUCAUGCAUAGGAGCUAGUCGCUGAAAACCAUUUCUUACCCAAUCACGCGGAUGAGAUUCCAGCAAACCCAGUUUAUGAAGGAGUUCGGAUCUGCGACCUUCAUGGAAGGCCAACAGUUCGCGGUAUUCUUUAUGUCUACGCUCAACGCACGAGAGAAAACCUUCCGCCUCGCGUCUGUCCUCUGAGUUCAGCUGAAACAGGAGAGUCCACGGAACACGAACAUCUUUAAAGAAGGGCAUUCCCCGUUCGAUCGCUUCGGCAUUAGAAAAGGUUGGAACAUUGUUAUUAGCCAUGAGGGAGGAACCGGAGCUCUCCAUUCUUUAGCUAGUAGAAGACGCUUAAGUUUUUGGAUGGUAUCAAUGACAGCGAAGGGGAUAUUUAUAUCUAAAGGAUCGACUCUCUCUCCCUCUCUUCGAAGAUGAAUUUGGAAUUGAAUUUCCUUUUUCAAUAGGAAAGAAGAAAAAGGCAACAUCUUUUUUUCUUUUUCAAACAGAAAGGGACUAAUACUGGUUUUUUCUUUUUACUUCGAAUGAAGGAAAAGAAACUUACUAAAUAAAAGGAAAAAUAAUCAAGUCAAAUACAAAUUAAAAACCUCCCCAAAAUGGGUCCACGGGUAAAUCAGGUUCAAAAUACAUUAAAGAUUCGAGAGAUAAGAAGAUAGGAAAAGAAAAGAUCACUAGGCCUCAGGAUUUUGCUCAUCAACAGUGACAUGGCGAAUGUGACUUUGGCUGAUAAGCUCGGAGUUUGAGCCAUGCUGAUCAGGAACAGGAGGAGCAACCCGGGUGGAUGACCUGGUAAACCUAAAACCGAGUUGAUCGGGAGACAUGUUGAGGUCGGUGUCAACCUCAUCAUUCGCAGUUUUGGUCUCUUUAGCAAGAUUCUCCAGCUCAGCAUCCGAAAAGAUGGCACCUCUGCUUAUUAGAACCGCCAUAAUUUCUUCUGCGCCACUAGAUUGAUUCAGAACAUCCACCUUGGGUUGAACGAUCUGUUCUUGCUCUUUGAGAUAGGCAUUUACCUUGUCAAGGCGAGCCUGGGCCUUUUGAGUAGUGCGGGCGACCUUAGCAGCUCGGUCGUUCUGCAACCUGGAGCAUUCUUUCUCCUGGUAAUCUCUGGCCGCGAUCAGAUCAGCCUACAACUUGGUAGCCUCUCCCAUGAGCUCGACUUCACGAUUGCCAAGUCUGGCGACCUCAUCAUCGAGCAAGCCGACAUCAUCCUGAUGGGUCUCAGCUUCCUUCUCUAGGCGGGUAAUUUUCUUUUUCAUCUCCUCAACAUUGAGCACAACUUGAUCAAAGGUUGCGCUCAGAUUCUUGAAGGCAUAUCUGUCUGCAAGCUUCAGCUUCAGCUUCCUAUCAUAUCGAGCUAUCAGAUCGUUAGCGAACGCAGCGGUCUGAGAAAGGAAGAGUAUAACACAAACAUAAGUGUUUGACUAAAACGUAAAGGAAGAAAAACACUCGUGGCACAGAAUCGAUACCUCUAAGGAAGAUUUGGCAAAUUUUUGGUAAUCUUCUUUGAAGACCAGCUCAUCAGGAUCUGGGAAUGCCCUCGCCCCGUGAAGGGUUAUGUUCCGCCAAAGUUGGCUUGCUGCCUCGUAGAUCGGCGGUGAGGGCGUCCCUCUUCUUACCAGUCUCAGCAGCUUUUCUUCUCUCCUCCCGAGACUUUGUCCUUUGUUCUGCAGCGGCCGCCUGUUCUGCAUUAGGAUCAUCUCUGAUCGGAUCAGAGACGGUCAGGUCGAUAUCGACCUACAUCAUUUCAGGCGCGACGACCUGGGCAACGGCGACUUGAUUGUCAUCUUCAAUUUUGCCGGUGUCUACCCGGUCUUGAGUAUCCUCAGCGAUCUGGUUCUCUGCUAAAACGAGAUAAGUUUCAGCUGAACUGUCGGCUACCAUUGGUAGCUCCAAAGCCGGAGCACUGUCAGAUUCCGGGAUACGAGGAUCCUCCUCCAAGAGUCAAGCCGGAGGAAGCAGCAAACUCUGGAUCCUUGAUGCAAAACUGACAAAAUUCCUCUUCACUUUUCCCAUGAUGCGGGCGACUCGUUCUUUGGUUAUAUCUUUCCAAGAUCGGUUCUGAACACGAAAGAUGGCCGAUCUGACUUCUUCGUACUUAGCAGGGAUAUCUCGGGUAGGAGUGUGACGAUCUGAAAAAGAAACAAUAAUCGUAAGUACAAACCCAAACACAAAAUCUUAAAUGCCCAGCGGUUUAGAGAUCUACCGGGAGUCUCUUUCUACACCCCCCUCCGACCAGAGAAUGAGCGCUCAAAAGAAUGAAGAUCGACCCUAACGAAGAAGUAGUAACUCUCCCCACCCCGGUUCAAGGAGAUUUGCUAGCCUUCAGCGUUGUCAUCUCUUCGAAGCAACGAAGAUUUACCGGGUAACCUUCCUCUGUGCCGAAGGUAAGAGCCCCAAAAAAGUUGUAGAUCGCCGCCGGGGUCAAUUGAGAGAUCGCCAAAUGACGGUGAUGAAUAAAUGAGAUCAGUAGAGAUGGGAUCGUAAACCAGAGAUGAAACUGCUUGAAAUACGCCUCGUACAAGCAGACGUAACCUCUAGGCGGAUUCCAUAUCAGAUGGAUCGGGAAUUAAAUAAGUAAUCCCGCAGUUCGCCAAACCGCAGGAAGAUAGCAUCUCAGAAACUAAUAUCCCAGUAGAACAUGUAGAGAUCCCGACGAUCUCUUCAUCCCAGUUCACCACUGGAGAAAGGUCACGCUCGAAAACGCCAAGGGGAGCCAAUCUUGCCUCCACUUCGGCCUCGCUGUACUUAGGUUGAUUUGAGAACUCGUCUCCCAAAUCGAUAAGAACUUCGAAUCGAUCUGAACAGUCAACCAGAUUGUCAUGAUGAACAGUCGGAUUACAACCGUCAUCUUCUCGACUCGGUUCGUCAAUCAGUUCAGGAAUUCUAAUCUGAUGAUUUCGACUGGACUGAGCUUCAUCUCCUAGGUUUUGGACCAGACGGGAGUUACGGCGGAUCAAUACGGUGGUCUCACUGUCGGAGGAAGCAGAAGCGCUGGUAGCCUUACCCAUGAUCGGAAAUCGAUGAAAAAUGCAAAAAUAAACAGAGAAUAAUGUGUGGAGAAGAGAGAACAGAGCGAAAACUACCUUCGGUCUUUCUUUUGCAAGCGGCUGAAAGUGAAAAACACGAGAGAUUCAUCGAAUAUAUGUAGAAAGAAAGUGGGCGGCAGAGCUAGGAAAGUAAUCAUUAGGCCUAUCAGACUCUUCAGUUUCUGAAUUCCACGCGCGCGUUCGGGCGCCAGGGGUUGACACAUAUCGAAAGAAACCUGAUGCAUCCGAGAAUACGGAACGAUACGCUUAAAUCUUGUAAUUAACUCGCACCUUCCUAAGGUAUAAGCCUAUUAUUCACUUCCUUAAUUCGGGAAUUCCGAGUUAAAUUAUUCGGAUUUACCGAACUGGGGGGGGGGGACUAAUUGUUGGUGCAUGAAUUAGCACCUCCGACAAUACCAGCUUAAACCGGAGGAAUUACGAAUAAAACUUAGAUUUCAGUUAAACCGGGGUAUCCCGGUUUAGCCUGAUAAUGGGCUAAUGAAAGAAGGUCGCCUGGUAAUCUCAACUUAAAGAAGGGAGAUCGCCUAACCGACUUCCUUAUUUGAGAAAAGGAGAAUCGCGAAAAUAAAGGAAAGCAGAAGAUUUAGGCUUCGAAGAAUUAGAAGUUUAACAUAUCUCUAAACCGCCUCAACAAUGUAUAAAUAGAGGAGUUUGUCCUCUAUUCAAAGAAUCGACAAUUUAAUACUAAAGAACCCUAGUUUUCUUCAUGGUUCUGGAGCAUAACCCUAAACUUUGUCUCUAAGCAAUCUUAUUCAUCUUUUAUUGGAGUCUUUGAUUAAUAGCAAGAGAGUUAAUUGAAUUUGUUUCACCCAUUAAACAAAUUUAUUGUGUGAUUCUCGGAAUCAACACUCUCCUCUUGGGGAAGGUCCCGACUGUAAUCUAUGCUAGAUUUUGGUCUACAGAUGAUCACUGAAGUACCGAUAUCUGUAGAUUUUGAUUCUCAUCAUUUUGGAAAAAUAUCAAUAAAUUCUACAUGAACAUUACUAAGCCUUUAUUUUUUAAAAAGUAAAUUUAAGAAAAGGUAACAAAACAUCAGCGUAAAAUAAAUAACUGAGAUUAUUUCUUAAUGAGGCAUACAUACGAAAUGUUCUAAACUAAUUAAAUUUGGUUUGUCAGCUCUUAUAAGCUUUCAACCUCUUUCAUAAUAUAAAACUUUAGUGUACAUGUAUUCUGCGGCGAACUAAACGAGACAAAGGAUCACAUUUUUUCGCUUGUUCUUUCUCCUUCACGCUAUGGAUUGAUGUGUCCCAGCCUCUCCUCAAAAAAGGAUUACUCCGGACUGGAACCGCACACUCCAAGCUCUAAUCUCGAGUAGGCAUAACCUCAAUGAUUCUACUCUCCUUCAUCUCAGCUUUCAAGCAGUGAUCUAGCAUGGCGAGAACCUAAUGGGCGUGACACAACCAGAAGCAACACUCGGCCUAAAACUUGGCACAGAGCAUCAUCAAAAUCAUCUCGUGCCAUCUCACAUCCUUCAACUAUCCUCAAGGAUGGGAAGUUAGGUAGACAUCCUCAAGGAUGGGAAGUUAGGUAGUUUGGCUCAGCGAUGGGCUCAGCUACACCACUUUGUCAUUUGUUUCUUGUUGUAGCCUUUUGGCUCUGAUUUUGCUUUUCUUUCCAUCUCACUAAAAACGUUUGUACAUAUUUUUUCAGUUUUUUAUAUAUAAAUUUCACAUUUACUCAAAAAAAUAAUAUAUAUAUAUAUCUAACUUUAGUUUUUCAUCCUAAUUGUCGUAAUUAAGCAGCUUCGUAAAUUAAGUAUUAAUUAGGUAACUCAACUCCUUCCUAAUUAAAAUUACACUACAAAAAAAAACAGGGCGAAUUCCUAUGGAAUUCCGAUGAAAAAAAUCCCUUUGAAAUUUAGGAACAAUUCCUCCGAAAUUUUCGAAAGAUUUCCCUGGAAAAAACUAACUUAUCGGAAAAUUUCCGAGGUAUUUACUUCUGUCGGAAAUAUCCUCGGAAAUUGACGAUCGAAGAGUUUUAGAAAAAAUACGACCGUUGUUAAAUAAUCAUUCGUCAUCAUCUUCGUGAUUAUUGAUUCAAGAACAAACUCAGAAAAGAAAAUAUUAAUGUAAAAUUUUGGUACAAACCUUAAGAUCACUAAUCUUACUUCAAACGUAUUACCAAAGAAGAAAAUCAGAAAAUAGCCUAUUAUAUUAGGGAUUUUUGUAAAAAUGCCACUUUUUCAAUGCCACUUUUCAAAAAUACCCCUAUUUUAAACCUUAUAAAAAAUGCUCUUAAAAAUAUAAGAUUUACCCAAAUAUGUAUGUAAUAUUAUUAAAACACACACAAACUACAUUUCUAUGUAUCUAAAAUCUUAUAAAUACUUUAUAAAUAUCUUAUAAAUGCAUUUUAAAUACCUUUAAAAACCUUUAAAAUAUCUUGUAAAACCUUUGAAAAACCUUAAAAAUUCUUUAAAAUAACUUGUAAAACCUUUAAAAACACCUUAUAAAACCUUAUAAAUACUUGGAUCGAGUCUUCAAGUAGUAGUUACAAUCCAUAAGUACCUUAUAAACCUAAUAAAACUUUAUAAAAAUUUCAGAUUUAAAAAGAGGCAUUUUUGAAAAUGGACAUCUAAAAGAAACAUUUUUGAAAAGGGGCACACCAAAAAAAGGUAUUUUUAACAAUUUCCCAUUAUAUUAGUGUCUUCUUAUUCAAUAAAAAAUGUCAAUUUUCAACGUUUUGAAAACUGGACUUAUGUUUCAAAAUAUAAAGAAACUACUAGGAUAUUCUACAAAAUCUCCUUUGAAAAUUCGACUAAAUUUUUGACCUAAAUACAGAUUCUUUAAUUGAUUAGACAGAAUAGUACUGGCAUAUUGACCAAAAUAAAUAGCAAAUAAUUUUUAAUUUUAAAAGUCAAUAUAUGAUAUGUAAGAAAACACAAAUAUUGAUGGUGAAGUGGCAGUUUAGAUGGAAAUAGCUUAUUAAUAAACUAUAAAAUUUACAAGCUAAUCCCACGAAAGCCAAACUUUUGUUUCAAUGUUUUCAAAUGUAAAUUAAUGUUCAUUCUUAGCGUUGUAUUAAACAAGAUAGUGGCUCUUGAUUUGAAUUAGUCUUUGAUGGUGGGAACUCUCCUUGUCCAUAAACUAUCGAUGUCGAUAUGUCCCGUAUUCAUUACUCUAUAUAUAUACAAUAAUUUAUACAACGACCAAGAAAUUGAAUGCAAGGAAAGUCAUAGUUUGAAUAUUAUAAGAAUUUAAUUUUCAAUAGCUUCUAUAUAAAAAAGUCCAGUAUUAUUGCUAAGAAAAUAAAAAUCGCCUUAUAUCUCUAUAGAAGAAUAAUGGGUUUGAAAAUGUCAAGCAAUGUUCUUCUUCUAUCUUUGUUUCUUCUACUUCUUUGUCUCUUUUCUGAAAUUGGAGGGAGUGAGACCACUCACCGGAAAAUAGGUCUGUGCCUCUCAUAGUAUAUGUUUUUAUUCUCUUGUUUUAUAUUUCACUGAAUUUGCUUGUUCCCGUAAAGAAGAUGAUCAAUAUAUAUAUAUAUAUAUAUAUAUAUAUAUAUAUAUAUAUAUAUAUAUAUAUCUAUAUAUACAUUUUUGGAUGACUUUUAGCAAAUAAAUCCUGGAGUUCCACCUUAUUUACGGAUGAAUGCCAUUGACAUUAAUUAUUUAAAUUUGAAAAAUAUUAAUUAAAGAUAUUACCAACACGAUUUCGAGAAUCAUAAAUUCAUAUCUUCCUUAAUUUUCUGAGUCAUUAAUGUGAUAAUCUUUAGGAAAUAUUUCUCUGUAAAAAAAAAUCCACAUUAAUGAAGGCAUUAAAAUCGACACUAACAAUUAAAUUAUUUAGAUAUUCAAUUAUUUUAAGAUUCUUAUAUCUUAUUUGAUAUUUUUUUAAUAUCUCAUUCUUUAAUUACUGCGUUUAGAAUUUAUUGGUUGUUACCUAUUUUUUGGUGAAAUUUAUUGGUUGUUACUUAAUAAGUAAUUAUGGUGCGUUUAUUUUAGUUAAUAUCUAAUUUAAAGGAUUUGUUUUCUUUUAUUAUUAAUAAACGAAUAACAUGUAUAGAAAUAAAAGAUUUUUCUUGCGACUCCAUAAUAAAAAUAUUAAACUCUUAUUUUCUACAUUUCUUACACAUAAUAUCCUCUUAUUCAAUAACAAAAAAUAUAUAUUGCAUAUUUUUAAAAAUAUUUAUAAUAUUUAAAUUAUAUAAAAAGUUUGUAAUAUUAAUAUUAUUUCAACUCUAUACAAAUUUAAUAUAUAUGUAUAUAUAUCUUAUGGGAACCAUUUAAAAGAAAUUUUUAAAUUGACUUGAAUUAUAUAACUAAAUGAUGUUUAAUUUCACGGGACGGGUAAUAUGAUGGGACGGGUUUGGAUUGAUAUUUAUAAAAGAUAGUAUACCACAGAUGAAAUCCUAAAAUUAACAAUCAAAAUAAUCUAUCAAACAAAUUACAUUUUGAUUUUUUUAAGAAAAUAUAGCCCCGCGGUGUACCGCGGGUUAAAAUCUAGUAUAUAUAUAUAUAAAGACUAUGAAACUAUGAAACUAUAAAGACUAUAUAUAUAUAUAUAUAUAAAGACUCCUUCAAGUCAUACGUGGUCCUUUUAUACUAGCAAAGGAUCAAUUAUUAUAGAUAAUAGACUAUGAAACUAAGAAAGUUAUCUAAACUGAUUUUAGAACAUAUUAUAUUAAAAUUAUUCUAUAAUUACGCGUCAGUUUAAAACUACCAAAUUUUUCUACUUUUAUCAUAUAUUUUUCUACUUUUAUCAUAUAUUUUCUCUUUAAUAUUGAUACAAUUUUUUUUGUACAAUAAAUCAAGAAAAAUGUCAUUUAAAAAAAUUCACAAAUCUAUUUAAAAAUAUUCAAUGUAGAAUAUAAAUAUAAAUCUUAAUUUUGCCACUUUUCCGGUAAAUGAUAUUGUGGUUGCAUUAAUUUUCAUCAAAUUAUGAAAAAAUUCUUUGAUUGUUCUAUGAUGCUACAAAAUGAUCUAUGAAAUUUUAUUUUUAGUAAUUUAUCAUUAAUAUGAAUAGUUUCGUUUUUAAAUAUAUUACUACAAUUACAAAAAUUAGAAAAAUCAUGCACUGUUUGUUAAUUUUUUAUAUAUUAAUCCAUUAUUAGAAGUAUUAUUUACUAUUCAUACCUAAGAAAAGAGAAAACUAUUGUAUUAUAUCUUUGAUUCAAUGAUAAAAUUGUUAAAAAUGUAUAUUCUUUUGUAAAUAACUUGAAAUAUGCAUGUCUGAAUUUGGAUAAUGACUGUGACACAAACUAUCACUACAAGUAAAAUGGUGUUUUGCUUGCUUAUUUUGCAUAUUUGCAUUAGUCAUCAAUUAUAACUCGUGCAAAUGAGUUUUACAUCACUUAUAUAAGUGACUCUUGAAGUAGUGAUGCAAAUUAUUUGCAUCGGUUUAAAUAAUUGUUUCUAUCGAAUAUUGUAAUCUAUGUUAAUAUGCAUCACUUCAAAAAAAAACAUGAUGUUAGUUUUACAUCAGUUUAUAAAAAUGACGUUAAUAUUUGCAACGGUUAUAAUAAGAGAUGUUCAGUGUUUAUAUUAACUAUACACAAUUGAUGGUAAAAUUAAUAAAAUAAUAUUAAAUUAUUUUUAAGAAACAAAAUUAUUUAUUUUUAUCAAAUAAUAUUUAAGAAAAUGAUAAAAUUUAUUUUAGAUAAUAGUUGCUUAUUAAGCUUUACACUUUUUUGACACCAUUAAAAAGUAAGAUCACUAUAUAUAAGAAAACUAUGAAACCUCUUUUUCACUGGGCAUAAAGUGGGACGUAGAGAAAUUAAACAAACAAUUACAUAAAUUUUUACAACCGAUGUUUAAUCUUUAAUUAGCAUAGGAUGUUAUUGAUUUAAAUUUUGUAUCACUUUCUAAAUGAUGUUAAUUCAUAUAUUUGUAUUAGUAUUGUGAAAGUAUGUAAAUGGAUAUAGAUUUGUAUCAAUUUUAAUAAACUGAUGCCACACACAUCAAUAUGACAUCGAUUAUUGCAGUUAAUGUUAAAUUAUAUUUUUCGUAUCGAUUGUAAAUAAGUAAUCAAAUUAGUAUUAUUUAAUUUUGGGCAAUUGACAAAACUAACACUAAAAUAUGUUUGCAAUGUUCCACAAAUAGCACCCUAAUCUUUAAUUAAACUUUAAAUGAAAAUAAUUAAUUUGAAUAAAAUAAUAAAUAAAAUGUGAAAUUUUCCCGCCAAAUUUUUUUUGCAACGUACAAAAUUGUCCCGCCAAAAAUUUUGACGAUAUUCAGGAAGGAUUCCUUGAACCCCAGGAAUGAUUUCCUGAAGGAUUCCACAAAAUUCAAGAAAUUCAGGAAGGAUUUUACGAAAUUCAUGAAUGAUUUCACAAAAUUCAGGAAUGAUUUCUUGAACUUCUGAAAGGAUUACUUCCGAAAUUUUAUAGGAUCCUUCCUUAAUUUCAUAGAAUCCUUUCGGAAGUUCAAGGAUUCCUUCCUGAAUUUUUGAAAUCCUUCUUGAAUGUUUUGGAUUUUGUUUUGUGGGAAAAUUUUGACGGAAGUUUUUUUUUUGUGGAAAAAUAUUGACGGGAAACUUUUGCACGUUUCGGAGAUUUUUUCACGGAAAAAAUAAAUUUUGGCGGAAAUAUAAUAAAUUGUAGAGAAAUAAUUAAUAAUACCUAAUAAUAAUAAUGCCAUUUGUGGAAGUUUAAGUUGAUGUUAAUAAUACAUUGGUCGUUUUGACACCUAAUAAAGGUGAUGUUACAAAAAAAUGCCAAUUUGUGGAAGGUGAUGAUGUUACACCUAAUAAAACAUGAUUAUGUGCUAUUAAUUAGAGACCAUUUCUCUUUAACUUUUUUGAUGCAAUUGACCUCCUUUUUAGUAGUCGUAUUACUAAUUUAUAAAGCAUGAUUACAGCAUAACAAAUCGUAGGAUUUAAUCUUCUCAAAAAUAAUUUUGUUAUUAUAUUUUUCUUACUCCUAUAUAGUAUAUUGUAUUAAGAUUGACCUUUUUUUUGGUUUAAUGUUUAAUGUUAAGAUUUAAGAUUGUCAGAUUGAUCUUAUUCAUCAUUCCUGACAUAAAGUUUGCAUUGAUCCUUAGUGGGAGAACCUAUUAGAGAGUUAGCUGGUGCAUCUUGUUCAUGCGGAAGCCAAGGACUUGGCCCUGGAAAAACAGACCGUCAUCAACGUCCAUGUAAACGUCCACGUCCAUGUCCACCUUCACGUGCCCGCUAGACUCUUGAAGAGAAAGUAAAGAAGAAGAAGAAAAUAAGAUACUAGAAUUCUAUUUUUGUGCUUAAAAUUUUAAUUUACAGUUUCUUAGCUAUAAAAUUAUUUUUCUCAUAAAGAUUAUUACAGAAAAGAAAUUAAAUUCCAAUAAAAUGAAGCCGACAAUAUGGAUAAUUUAUAAUGGUUAUUUUUUUCGUUAGCUUUUGUUUUCUCACGAUAAACAUUAUUUAUACGUAUUUACUAUUUAAUAGUGUUUCCAUAAACGUUAGAAAACUAGUGUAACGUCCCGACCGCCAUCUCUUUUAAUGGGUCCCACGACUUCUCUCGGCCCGUGGGUCCACCAUCUUCCGACGGCCGGUCUGCUACGUCCGGGAGGCUUUAAAGACUUGUUUACCGACCCUACAAAUCACCACAUGAUCCUUCCCUUUGUUUUGUCCUCACUCACACAGUUCCGACAAUCACUUCCCGGAAGGUCAUCCAUCCUGAAAUUGCUCCAACUCAAGCACGCUUAACUGUGGAGUUCUCUCAGGACAGUUGACCGAAAAGAUAAGUGCACUUUGUUGAUAUAAGUGGUCAACUCAAUUCUUUUAAACCUCUCUGUAUGCACCACUAAAUUCCUGAAACCAGGGUGUUACAAUUCACCCCCACUAACAGAUCGAAACGUCCUCGUUGCGCACCAAGACCGUCACCCCUGACGGUGUGAGCCCUCUUGACUCUACACUCAACUGGGUUCGGCUCUGAUACCACUUGUAACGCCCUGACCACCACACCUUUCUUAAUGGGGCCUACGUCCUCUCUCGGCCCGUGGGCCCACCCGUGUUCGACGGCCGGUCCGCUACGUCCGGGAGGCUUUAAAGACUUGUUUACCGAUCCUACAAAUUACCACAUGAUCUUUCCUUGUGUUUUGUCCUCACUCACACAGUUCCGACAAUCACUUCCCGGAAGGUCACCCAUCCUGAAAGUACUCCAGCCCCAACACGCUUAACUGUGGAGUUCUGUCAGGACAGUUGGCCGAAAAGAUAAGUUCACUUUGGUGACAUAGAUGGUCAUAUCAAUUCUUUUAAACCUCUCCGCAUGCACCACCAUGUUCCUAAAACCAGUGUGUUACAACUAGUUCGUGGAACCCAUGAUCUUUUCUUACUUUUUGGUUCAGUGAUAGUUUAGUUGACACUAAAAUGUCAUCGUAGAGGUAACCGGGAAAGUAAAAAAUUCAUUAACUCCAAAAUUUUACUAAGUAACAAAAGAAAAAGAGAAAAAAAAAAAAA
rnacentral:lncRNA from 1 species